UCACGCGGAAUGAAGCCAAAAAUGUUGGCCUCCCUUUCAAUUGAAGCUAAUCUCGCCUUAAUGGCCUUCAUUUUCCGACCCAUUUUGAGACCAUAAGCAAAUUGGUUUGAGGUUGAGAAGAAAAGGCGUACCUCUUUCGUCAGCUUGUUCCCACCCGAUACAUCUUUCCGCAAAGCUUCAGUAGAGAAAUCAUCGAGCAAGUCGUCGGCAUCAUAAAGUACAUCUUUCAGAUCUUCAAGCCAAACUUUGACGAGAUUAUCGGUCACCGAUUUCUCUUCUGCGUCAAGAAGCACAGCUUUGAUUUGACAGCCAGUGCGUCUGAGGUCGUGGAUGUCAUGUUUUAGAUUCCACCACAGCCCAACUUGAGAGAGAGCACGAGAGCUCAACUUAAUAAUGAGCUCUGCGGCAAUGUCGGAAGCAAUUGCUUCGGCCAUUGUUGGUUCAAACUGAAAUCAAGGCAAAAAGUGUUUGAUUUGUGAAAGAGGAGGACUAAAAUGAGAUUGAUUCCAACAAGAUGAAACACAGAUGUGGAUCCAUCCACCCAGCAAGUUAAAGUUAUGUUGAUUAGUGGGAAAUGGUCCCUCCAUGUUUAUUGUUUGACACAAAUUUCUGAAUGGAGACAAAGUUGGGAUGAUGACACUUUGGGUGCUGUGCACAAUGUGGAGCCGUACAAAUAAUUGAAAUUAAUGAAAAAGGUAUGAAAGAAAAGAGAAAAAGGAGACAAAUCCCAUGGAAUCCAAGGUGUUUUGAUUGAAGGCCCAUGCAUUCCAGUCUUUCUAAACCUUCUUCCCACCUACUUGUGUAAUUCAAGUUUUGAUUUUUUAUUCUCAUUUUAUCGGUAUAUUUACAUUUGAAUUCAAAUACAUAUCCUAUAAUUAACUUUAAUCUCGCUAUUACAAUACUUAACCUCACUAAAUUACUUGUUUAACAUGAUUAUGGUGAAUUUAUAGAAAGAAAAAUCACAAAGCAAAUGCAGAUGCACUUAUGUUAAAAGUGUUAUUAAUAGAAAUUUUAUUAUUUUGAAAAAUAAAAGUAUAAUAACUUUUUUAGCAUUCUAACUUUAUAAAAGAAUUAUUUUAGCUAUCUAUUUAUUUUCAUUCUCUCUUAGUCUUUGAACUUAUAUUUUUUUGUUAAACCAUCCAAAAUGGGUAAAAAAGUUAACGUUUGUUAACUUUUUUGAGAUGACAUAUAGGUAGAUUACCACAUGUAUGUUACGUUAGCAAUUAAUUAUUUUAAAAAAAUAUUAAAAAAUAUUUUCUUAUAAUUUUUUAAAAUUUUAAAAUAUUUUUUUGAAUUUUUUAAAAUUUUAAAAAUAAUUAAUUGCUUAUGUGGCAUGUACGUGGCAAUCCGCGUGUAUGUCACGUCAACAAAAUCAGCAGACGUUAAUUUUUCACUCAUUUUGUGGUGAUUUAAUAAAAAUUACAAGUUGAACUAAAAGAAACGAAAAAUUAAAUGAAAAGUUGAAAUAACUUUUUCUGUAAAGUUGGAGACCAAAAGAAUCAUUAUGGAAAGAAAUAGUUGUUUUUCUUCUCUCUCUUUUUUUUUGGUAUAUUUUAGCGCUAAAAUCACAAUUAUCGGAAACCAAACCAAAUUCUAUUCUUUAUUUAAUUUAUAAAUAUUUUUAUAAUAUAAAAAUAAAUCUUUUAUUUUUAAAAAUAGUGAAAAUAAAUAAAUAAAUUUUAAAAAUAUUAUAUAAAAGUAUUUGAUUAUUUUUAUUUACUUAAAAAAUUUUAAAUAAUAUCUAUGAAAAAACUUUGAAAAUUUGUCAAAUGAUAUUUAAAAACCGUAAAAUAAAGUUUAUUUUAUUAAAAUAAUUAUAAAAAUUUAUAAUAAAAAAUCAAACUAAACUAAAUUAUAAUGGAUGGAUAAAAAAAUACAAUUGAAUUAAACUAAUAUCACUUUAUUUUAUUGCACCAAACUGGACAUAAAAGAUUUUCUUAAAAAAUUUAGCCGUGAGACUGUUUUUCUCACUAUAACCUUCUAGAGCGUGCAAUGUCCUCCCCAAGUAAGUAAAUUCAAUAGAGGUUGGAGGCUAAAGGUUGAUACAUAAAAGAAGGGGAGGGGCAUAGUUCUGCUUGAAACAAACCCCCAAAUUUAGCAUCUUGAGUUGUUAAAAUAAGUAAAUCCACCGUACUUUUUUGUUAGAUUUUGGCUCUCUUCUUCAGCAGAAUGUAGCGUACAGUACAAGAAGCAGGGACCAUCCUUUCUACCAUGAUUUGUUUAUCCGCCCACAUAUUCCAACAAAACGAAUAUGGUAAUAAAUGUCUUCAAUUUCCUUCUAAUUUCCAAUUGAUCUGAUAUAAAUGGUGUAAUUCAAGAGUACUUGUAUAAUAUAUAUGCCCAACUGAGUACUAGCUUAGAUGGAAUCUAUGCUGUUGACGGACUCUUGGAGGCAUGUUCGAGAGAGCUUAAACACAUUUGUAUUUUUCAGUGUUCCAUAGAAUAUUCUAAUGAGCUGUGUCAAGUUCAUUAAAAAUGAUGUAAAAAGUAGUAUAAAAAUAAGCAAAAAGGAAAUUAAAUUAAAUAAACUAAUAUGAUGGAUUUCAAGCUUUAAGCUCAAUUUUGUUCUAGUUUCGAACCAAUGCACGAUAACAAGUCUUCUCCUUCAACCAAUAAGUUAGUUAUAGUGAUCAAGGAUGCCUCAGACCACCAACCCUUCUAUAUGUAAUUAAUUACGAGAACGCCCAAUAGUUAAUCUUUAUCGAACGAACAACCACAAAACACGCAUCCACGAUUUAGCUCUCCGGUAGCCUUGUGAGCUAAAAGGGUCCAUCUCAAACCAACAGCGUCAAUUACGCGAGCCGUUUAGAUCCGAUUGCUAACUUCUUAGUUGGACACGCCAAUGUGUUCUUCGUAAGAUCAAAUACAACAAAUGAUCAAUCCGGUACUUCCAAUUGUACGUCUAUCAAAACCGAAUUAAUGAGCUCUUUUUAACAUGGUGUCAGCACAAUUUUGUGAGCUGCCAGCAUCUAUCUCCUAAAUCAGAGAAACAACAAAUACCGAAAUAAAAUUUUUUAUGUAUAAAUUUAGAUCUCACAGCUCUCUGCCGGAUUAUUUAUUUAGCUACUAAUGAAAAUAUAUGAAAUAAAAUAUAAAUAAAAUUUUAAAAAUAUGGAAAUAGGAUUGCGCAUGGAACAGAGAAGUAAUAAACAAGUAUGAAUAAAAGAGUGGGGCAAAUUUUCCAAUAAUAAAGAAAUAAAAAUCAUCACCCUUUAAAAAAGAGUGGGCCAAUCUCACUUUUACCCUUUAUAAAAUAUAUACCGUAAUGUUGCAAUUGAUAAUUCUGCCCAACUUCUUGUUCUUUAUUCAUAGCAUCAUGUGGUGCUAUUCAAGAAAAAUACAUUGAAAGCUGCAGAAAAUUUAUAAAGAAAGGCCGUCCGUUAACUAAGUUUUUAAUAUAAAAUUAGCAACUUUUUAUUUAAUUAUUACUUGGUGGGUGGUGACAUCUUUAAAAUACAAUAUUGACUCUACGGGUGUAUGUAUGUAUUAACGCUUUUAUUUUCAUCUUGUUCGAAUCAUUUCACUCUUCCUCCUGCAAUAAUCAAACACUUUUUGCGUGCCAUCAAUGGCUGAAGCAAUUGCUUUGGAUAUUGCUGGAGAGCUCAUUACUAAGUUGAUCUCUCGAGCUCCCUCUCAGAUUGGAGUAUGGUGGAAUUUCAAAGAUGAACUCGAUGACUUCAAACAUUGUUGUUGCUAUCUCUGAAUGGGUUGAUCUAUGAAAAUUAAACUAGCCUUGAUAUCACCUAUUGGGAUCAACCCGGUUAAGUAGCAAGUAAAAAAAUAGCGAAAUAAAUUGAGAAAUUGAACACACAAAUUUAACAUAGAAAAACUCCCUCCAAAGAGGAUAAAAAGCCACGGGCAAAUAUAAUGGUAAAAGAACGAAGAGUACAAAAGAUUGAGAUAAAAACUAAAACCCGAAAAUAAAGAACCCUCAAAACGUAAACACAAAAUUCUCUAAAUGUAUUAUGAGUUCUAAUCUCUAAUGGGUAUAUUUUCCAAUAACGUUGUAAAAGAGCCUAUUUAUAGGCUAAAUUUAUAGGUCAAAUAAUAAUAAAAUAAUCUAGACUAAUCAGAGUUUGAUUGAAACAAAUAAACAGAGUUUAAUUGAAAGAUUAUUUCUCAAAUUUAACUGAAAUAGGAGUCAUACUCAACACGGACAAAUCCACCAUGAUCUCUCAUUUACUCUUAAUAUAUAUAGUUAAAAAAAAGAAGAAGACUAUUACUAUUUUAUACUGUACUCUUAUUAUUAAUUAUUGGUAUCGUUGAUGUAGCUGAGCGUGUUAAUUUUUGUUGUUAGUGGUAGUAACAUUUUAAUUAUUUUAUUAUACAUUUAUUUGUUUAUUGUAAGUGGGUUGAUGAUUUUUAUUUGUUUAUUUUUGGAAAUUUUGUCUCAUUCUUUUGUUCCAUGUCAUGUUGGAAAAAGAGUUUGAAUAAACAGGUUAAUUUGGAGUAUUUAAAAAUGGCACGUGUUAGGGUUAUAUGAUCUAAAUUUUAAGAUAUUGUUUGCAAGUUAAAUAAAAAAAUAUUUUUUUAGAAAAUUUAGUAUUUAUUAAUAUAAUAUGUUUAACAUUUAUUAGCAUAAUAUAUUUGACAUUGAUUAGAAUUAGGUUUUUUUAACCUAUAAAUAAAUGUAGUUGAAACUCUUAUUGUAUCAUUUGAAUUCAACAUUAGUGAAUUUUUUCUUCUCCUCUGCCUUUUAUUUUUUCCGAAAAAUUUUUACGUGAGAUCUGUGUGUUCUAUUUUUCUUUGUUUUUCUUUGCGAUCUUUCUACAUUACCAUUAUCGAUGUUUAGUUUUUUACUGCACAUAUGUGUUGUUGAUUGAGAUGAUGAGAUUGAGUACAUGUCACAUAUCGGCUUUGUCUCCACAAUCAGAUGAUGAGAUUGAGUACAUGUCACAUGUUCCAUACUCUAGUGCAGUGGGAUCUCUCAUGUAUGCCAUGGUUUGUUCACGUCCAGAUUUAUCAUAUGCAGUUAGUGCAGUUAGCAGAUACACGGCGAAUCCCGAUAAAGAACAUUGGAAAGCAGUUCAGUGGGUUUUAAGAUACUUACGAGGUACUACCGAUGUUUGCUUACAGUUUGGAAAAACUAGAGAUGGAGUCAUUAGGUAUGUUGAUGUUGAUUUUGCUGGAGACCUCGAUAGAAGAAGAUCUCUCACAGGUUAUAUCUAUACAAUCGGAGGUUGUGCAAUCAGUUGGAAAGCCACUUUGCAAACUACAGUCGCUUUGUCUACCACUGAAGCUGAGUACAUGGCGAUUACUAAGGCUUGUAAAGAAGCCAUUUGGUUGAAGGGACUCUUUAGUGAACUCAAUGAAGACCUUCAAAUCAAUACAGUAUUUUGUGACAGUCAGAGUGUCAUCUUCACUACACCAAAACAGGCUUUUAGCGGGGUUUAUAGCGGCGUUUAACCCAAAAACGCCGCAAAAGAUAAACUUUUAGCAGCGCAAAAAAACAAACGCCACAAUAGACCUGCAUUAGCGGCGCUCGAAAAACAAACGCCGCAAUAGGCCUGCCUUAGCGGCGAUUUCUUUGAAACGCCACAAAAUUUUUUUGCCAAACGGCUUCGUUUUUUUGUUAUUUUAUUACUUUAGUGGCGCUUAUUAAAAACACACCGCAAAAUAUUGGGAUAUAGCGGCGUUUUGAGAGAAACGCCGGUAGAGAUAAGUAAUUUGAGGAAAAAAUUUCAGCAAAACUGUACCGUUUUAAUUUUUCCUAUUAUUGCUUUAGAGGCACUCAGUAAAAAACGCCACAAAAGAUACAGAUUUCACGGCUGUUGUUAACGAAUUCCGCUAUAAGUAACUAAUUUGCGGCGUUUCCUUUAUAAACGCCAGAAAAAAAAAUAAGCAAAACGGCUUCGUUUUAUUUCAUUAUAUUGCUUUAGUAGCGUUUUAACUCAAAACGCCACAAUAGGUAGGCUUUAGUGGCGUUUCUUUUAAAAACGUCGCAAAUAAAUUUGCAAAACGACUUCGUUCUGCUUUCACUAUAUUCCUUUACUGGCGUUUUCCGGUAAAACGCCGCAAAUAUGUCUGCAAUACGACGAUAAAACGACGCCGCUUAUGAUUGGAUCUAGUGGUAUUAGCGGUAUUUUCCGAAAAAUGCCGCAAAAAAGAAAUAAUAGAUUACGAUUUACGGAUUAAUAUUUAUAAAUAAUUGUAUAUGGUUUGGGGUUUUAGGGUUCGUUACACAAUGUUUAUUAUUUUAGGAUUACAGUUUUGACGAUAUGGGUUUAGAGUUUAGGUUUACAGCUCAGGGAUUAGUGUUCAAGGUUUAGAGUUUACAUUUCAGUGUUAAUAUCAUGUUAGGGAAUUUACGGCUUAUAAGAUAAUGAAAUUUAAUGUUUUAGGGCUUCAUGUUUAUGGUUUAUGAUUUAGCGUUAAUUAUUUAUGCGUUACGAUGUUGAUUCUUGCGUUUCAGAUUUAGGGUUUGUACGAUUUAUAGUUUAGGGUUUAAUGUUGUGGCGGUUUUAGGGUUUUUUACUAUUUUGAUACAAAAGUCAAAAAAAAUUCGAAUACCAUGUUUUUUACUUCUUAUUAUGUCAUUAUUAGGUUCAGAACUGACAUGGCAAGAUAUCAUAUAUAUAUGUUAUGUAUGAUGAAACAGUUUAAUAUUGUGUACGAGGUAGCGUACGUUAUCAAGAUUUGCAUAACUUAGAGCAUAAAAUUAAAAUUGUAAGACAUUAUUGGAAUAGUGUCAAUAAUUUAUAAAUUGGAAUGUUGAUAGUGUUUAAAUAAUACAUAUAUACUUACAUAUAUAAAAUGGAAAUUUUUUUUAAAGAUUUGUACAAAAAAAAAGAAUAUGUUAAAUCUGUGUCAUAAUUUUAAACUAUUUUAAUUGAAAUGACAUUAAUAAUUUCAUAUUAAUGCAUCAAUUUAAAAUAAUGUCAUAACAUUUAUCCAAUUUUAAAAUCCAUUAAAAAAAGAAAUAGUUAUAAAUAUAGACAUAUAAAAUAUUAUUACAAUUGAAUAAUUAGUGGCGUUCUUUUAAAAAUGCCGCAAACAAAUUUGCAAAACGGCUUCGUUCUGCUUUCACUAUAUUCCUUUACUGGCGUUUUCCGAUAAAACGCCGCAAACUUAUUUAUCAAUUUUAAUAUUGAUAGUAUUUAAAUUGAGAGUAUUUAUAAAUUUGAAUAUUUAUUAAAUAUGUAUAAUUGAAAAAAAAUGUAUUAAAUCUGUGCCAUAUUUUAAAAUAAUAGUAUUGAAAAAAAUUAAUAAUUUCAUAUUAAUGUUUCAAUUUAAAAGAAUGUCCAAACAUUUAUCUAAUUUAAAAAUCAAUUAAAAUUCAAAAUGCUUAAAAAUAAGGUGAAUAUUUAGUGGCGUUUGUAACUAAAAUGCCGCAAACGCUAAUUAAAUAUUGAACUACACGUGGCCUUUUGACUGACGCGUUUAGGGUUUAGUGGCAUUUUCUCUCAACGCGCCGCAAAACCCGUAAGAUUAGUGGCGUUUUCUUUUAAGCGCCACAAAAAGUUUAAUUAAAACGGUGUCGUUUCGAGGGGAUAUCAGAUUUGGGGUAUAUCCCCGCAGCCAGCCGCAAAUCCCCCUUUUCAGCCAAAUCCCUAAGUGUUUCUGCACAGCAUCUCCGAUUUCCCCUCAUCCUUUCUUCAUCUCUUUCACACUUCUGUUUGGGUGUUUCGCUUCCUAGCAAAAAAAAACCAUUAAAAAGGGUCAUUACAUUGUAUUUGUUGAAGAUAAUAUCACGAGGGAACAAAACAUAUUGAUGUACGGUAUCAUUUUGUUCGUGAUACUAUUGCUCGUGGUGAUAUUGUUGUGAUCAAAAUUAGUACUCAUGAAAAUCCUGUAGAUAUGAUGACUAAGUCACUUCCUAUAACCAAGUUUGAGCAUUGCUUAGACUUGGUUGGUGUUCAUUGUUGAAGAUAAACCCUUAAGGAGUUUUAUGGAAGAGGUGGAGAAACUUGUUCGCUGAGAGUUCGCGAUGAAAAACUUGUUCAUUAAGAAUUCGUGUCAAGGUGGAGAUUGUUAGAAUUAAGUGACCCGAAUCCUUAUUUAAAUAAAAUACAAUGGUAAAAUAAAAUAAAAGUAAAAUCCCUAUAGAAUUAUACUUCUUUUAUUUUAUUUUAGAAUAAGGUUUUUUAAAUCUUAUUAAACUCCAUCUAUUUGAUAUUAAUUAGAAUAAGAAGUUUCACUCCUAUUAGAAUAAGGUUUACAAGCCUGUAAAUAGGCAUAGUCUACUCCUCUUGUAAUUAAAAUUUGAAUUCGACAUAGUGAAUUUUCUUCUCAUCUGCCCGUGGUUUUUUCCCGAAAGGGUUUCCACGUAAAAUCUGUGUGUUCUUUAUUUUUUCUAUUUCUAUUUUUCUUUGCGAUAUAUUGUCAUUACCGAUAUUAUAUUUUUCACAGAAUCAAAUAUUAUUAAAUUCAAAUUCGAUAAAUAAUAAUUUAAACAUAAAUUAAUGAUUAUUAAAUCAAAUUUAAAUCUUUUUCGAAUUCAAUUCAAUUAACUUACGAAUGAUUAUCAUCUCUCUCUUUCUCACCUACGUGCUUAGCUUUGAUUUUGUCUUUUAAAGUAGCUUGGUGUCUACAAUUAUAUAUUACGACAAUGGUUACUGUCCAUUACUACUUUAGUACACUCUUAUUAUUAAUUUUUUAUAGUAAUGGGUAUGUUAAUUAUACUUGCUAUUAAUUUUUUAUAUAAUAUUAAGAGUAGGGAUGGAGGUAAUAUUGUUUGAAUCCGUGUCAAAUAGGUAUUGACAAGAGUUUUAACUACUUUUCUUGCAAGGCAAGAUAUAUUUGUUAUUGACAAUAGUAGUAGCAUUUUAUUUUCUUUUAAAUAUACAUAUAUUUAUUAAGAAAGGAUUAAAGCAUUUGAUUUGUUUAUUAUUAGGGAAAAAAAUUAAAUUUAUACAUGACUUUUAGUUCAAUAAGUAAUUUGAUAUAUGAAUUUUGAUGUGGAAUAAUUUCCACAUGAAACUUGUAUUGUGGGUCAUAUAUAUAUACAUGAAAUUUUAAUUCUGAUUCAACUGUGCACAUGUAAAAAAAUGCAUACAUAUAUAUAUAUUUACAUUAGAUUAAUAUAAUUGUUUGUCUACACAAUAUACCAAAGUAAAUUGUAAGAGGUUGAUUUGGCAUAUCCCAAAACAUUUUGUUAUAGCUUGGAUGGUCAUUCUUGACAAGUUGCCUAUCACCGGUGAAGCCUAGUAGAGACUCCUAAAAUGGUAAAUUUUUAUUUUAGACUUUUUAUAAUUUAUAAAAUUUUAAAUUAAUAAUUAUAAAAUUAUAAUUUGAUCCUCUAAAAAAUUAUAAAAAUUUAAUUUAACUCUUUAAAGUUUAUAAAGAUAUACUACUAUAAAAAUAUACAAUUUAAUUUGGAUUAAAAUCUUUUUUAGCUCGGCUGCUAUUGCCUACAAAAGAAAAAUUAAUUUCGUUUUGGACACAACAUGCGGAGAGAUAUUUGGGUUUAUGUAAGCUCCAUGGUAAUGCAUUUUAUUGGAAUUGAAGGAAAAAUCAUUACUGAUACCAUCAUGAAGAUUGCUUCCAUUGCUCAUGUCUAUUUAAUUAUUUUAAUACACAUAAAUUUGUUUUUUGUGAGUUGGGUGAUUUCGGUUUGUUUAUUUAAGAUAUUUUAUUUUUAAAUAUAUUCUUAAUUAUUUAUUUUACAUAUUUUAACUUAAUAUAUUUAAUAGUACUUUUUUUAAUAAAAAAAAACUCAAAUGUCACUACAUCAUUUUAAGUUGCAUCAUAAAUUAUAAUGUUAUGGAUAUCGCUAAGAUAAUCCAUCUUAAAAGAUAAAUUACAACACUUAGAAAGGCCCAAUUAUAAAGAGAAUCGGCUGAUUUGUUACAACCACGUUUCACCCAUUUGACCUGUAACACCCCUAACCCGUAUCCAUCGCCAGAAUAGGGUUAUAGAGUAUUACCGGAGUUUACAAAUUAAUUUACAGACAAUUCAUUUCAUCAAGCGUUCAUAUUUAUAACCAAUCAAAAUCAAAACAUAAUGAAUUAACGUUGACCAAUUUAACUUAUACAUGUCAUUAUAACCAGAAUCAAAUCAUUCAAAAUUACCGAUAGAACCAAUGGAUAGUGUGAUAUAUCUCCGAUAAGUUUCCAACCCAAUCGAGCUUCCGAUAAUCAUUUCAAUGCAUCUAAUAAUUAUACAUAUUACCAAUAAUAAUUCAAUUCCAAUAAUAAAACACAUAUUUAUAUAAUAUUCAUCACCAAAUAACGUUCACUUUAAUUAAAAUUAUACUGAAUAUAGUUCAUACGAACUUACCAAGCUAAAUUGCAGAAAUACCAAAAAUCAAGGACAUUUUGGUAAUUUUUUAUUUUCCUCGAAUUUCCAUCCAAUCUUGAUCUAAAUUAAUAUUUCAUUCAAUUUAUUAAUUUAAAUAACAAAACAAUUUAUUUCAUGCAAUUUGGUCACUUUUUGACAUUUUUUACAAAAUUACCCUAAAAAUUUUACUUUUAUUCAAUUUAGUCCCUGAACCUAAAACAUGUAAAUUAGCUAUUUUAAAAAUAAACUCAUAUUAUCUGAUUAUUCACAUAUAUUUUUCCUCCUCCUCCACUCCAUUCCACAUCCUUGAUAUAUACAUAAUACCACUAUUUACUUGUUUACUCAUAACAAGCUGUUCACUUAAGUCAUAGUCACUAAAUAAAUUAUAUAUUAAGCUACAGAACUCCAAAUUGAGAUUUUUAAAUUUUAUAUGAAACUAGACUCGCAUAUCUUAUUACUAUAAAAUUUUCAUAAUUUUUGGUUUAUCCAAUAAGUACAGUUUAUUCUUUAAAUUUUCCCAUAUUUCACUGUUCGACAAUCCCGACCCCUCUUCACUAAAAAUUAAUUAUUUCUCUGUAAAAAAUUUGGAUGAUGUUCUCGUUUGUUUCUACUGAAAAUAGACUCAUUAAGGAUUUUAAAAAUAUAAAUUAUAAGCCAUAAUUAUUUUUAUACAAUUUUAAUGAUUUUUCCAAGUCAAAACAGGGGAACCUGAAUUCAUUCUGACCUUAUCUCACAAAAUUCAUUAUAUCUCAUGAUUUAAAAUUUCAUUACUUACACCCUUUCUUCUUUGAGAAACUAGACUGAAUAAGAUUUAAUUUCAUAUUUUUUUAAUCCUCUAAUUUGAUUUCCAUGAUUUAUGGCGAUUUUUCAAAUUUAACCUACUGCUGCUGUCCAAAACUGUUUUAGUGUAAAAUGUUGAUAACUAAAUUUAUAACACCGUCCUUUCCUUUCUCUUCAAUAUUUUCCAUCAUUUCCUUUUAUUUCCCUUUGCUAACAUAACAAGAAUAUAGAACCUUAUAUAAUGAAACUCUACAUUAACAUUAAUUUCCUACUUUUUCAAAAAUAUCAAACUCAAAAGUAUAUUGAAAUCUUGAUGUUCUUAACUUGUGCUAUUGAUUUCAAUCUUUAACUUGAUUUUCUCUCUCCUCCAGCUUCUAUUUCUUGAAUCGAACUUGAUAUUCUAGCUCCCCAUAGUCUCCUUAACAUUUUUCUCUCUUGGUAGCUAUGAAAAUUCUUUUGAUUUCUAGGUGAAAAUGGUAAACUUUUGGAGGAAGGACCAAAUUGUAAAAAAAAAAAGAAAACUUUCUUUCUUUCUUUCUUCCUUCUUCUCACGUUGGCGCAUAUAUAUACUAAAUAGAAUAAUAAUAAAAUAAUAAAAUAUCAUUUAAAAAUUAAAUUAAAAUAUUAAAAAAUUAAUAUUAUUUAAUUAAUUAAUCUAAAAUAUCACCAACAUCAUCAUUGCCUUCUAGAUUUCUCUCUCUUCUAAUUUACCAUUUUGCCCUUUAUAAUCUUUAAAAAUUCCAUCAUUGAGUCAUCACUUAAUUUGGUAAAAUUGUGAUUUAGUCCCUCAAAAUUCUUCACCUUUUUAAUUUGGUCCUAAUUCAUCCAUUUUCCUUAGUUUCUAGAUCAUUCCACCCUUAAAAUAUUUUCCCUAUUGGUCCUUCAACUUUUUCAUAUUUACACUUUACCCCUUCAAAUUUUGAGUAUUUACUCUUGAUCAACAGAACUUUUCUCACUUUUGCGAUUUAAUCCUUUCUUGAAUUAAUAUAUUAUAAUAUAAUUGCUAAUGUUGCCAUAACUCAAAAUUUCCCUUUUUGUCACUUUAUUUCCAUAUUUUACUAUAUCAAGGAUACCUACUUUCUUACUAUAGUAAUUUUCGGGGUAUUACAGUAGUAAUUUUCAGGAUAUUACAGGUGCUCAUACCUAUUUAAUUAAUUUAAUACACAUAAAAUUGUUUAUUGUGAGUUGGAUGAUUUUGGUUUGUUUAUUUAAGAUAUUUUAUUUUUAAAUAUAUUCUUAAUUAUUUAUUUUACAUAUACCUGCAUUUUAACUUAAUAUAUUUAAUAGUGAUUUUUUUAAUAAAAAAAGGACCCAAAGGUUACUAUCUCAUUUUAAGUUGCAUCAUAAAUUACAAUGUUAUGGAUAUCGCUAGGAUAAUCCAUCUCAAAAGACAAAUUACAACACUUAGAAAGAUCCCAAUUACAAAGAGAAUCGGCUAAUUUGUUACAACCACGUUUCACCCAUUUGACCUCGGCGGAAACAAAAGAAUCAAGCAUCUUGUGAACUCCUUGAUGCAGUGAUCAAUGAUCGUUAUGUCCUUGUCAAAACUAAAGCAGUGGACAAUGCUAGCACAAUCUGUUUCAAAAAUGACAUUAUCGGCUUUAAGAAAUUGAGCAAGCUGAAAACCAUUGAUGAGAGCAUCUAAUUCCGCUUUAAUAUUGAUUUUUUAUUCUCAUUUUAUCAGUAUAUUUACAUUUGAAUUCAAAUACAUAUUCUAUAAUUAACUUUAAUCUCACUGUUACAAUACUUAACCUCACUAAAUUACUUGUUUAACAUGAUUAUGGUGAAUUUAUAAAAAGAACAAUCACGAAGCAAAUGCAGAUGCACUUAUUUUAAAGUGUUAUUAAUGGAAAUUUUAUUAUUUUGAAAAAUAAAAGUAUAAUAAGUUUUUUGGCAUUCCAACUUUAUAAAAGAAUUAUUUUAGCUCUAUAUUUAUUUUCCUUCUCUUUUAGUCUUUAAACUUACAUUUUUCUGUCAAACCAUCCAAAAUGGGUGAAAAAGUUAACAUUUGUUAACUUUGUUGACAUGACAUAUAGGUGGAUUACCACGUGUAUGUCACAUUAGCAAUUAAUUAUUUAAAAAAAUAUUUAAAAAUAUUUUCUUAUAUUUUUUAAUUUUUAAAAUAUUUUUUAUUUUUUAAAAUUUUAAAAAAUAAUUACUGCUUAUGUGACAUAUACGUGGCAAUCCGUGUGUAUGUCACAUCAGUAAAAUUCAAGAUAGUGUGGAAUAGUUUCUAAUCUUAUUAUUAUAUAUGUUUUCGAUCUCAUUAGAGCUAAUCUCACUAUCUAUAUAAAGAGAGCCUAAAUAUAAUUUGUUCAUCUUCUUUUAAACAUGUUAGUGCUCCUUUGUAUGAUCAUUUACCUCCCGUGAGUAGGGUUGAGUAAAUAAAAUAAUUGAAAAUCGAUCCAAAUCAAGGUGUUUAGACGGUUUAUGGAAUACAAAUUAAAAAAUCAUAAUUAUCCGAAACCAAACCAAACCAAAUUCUAUUCUUUAUUUAAUUUAUAAAUAAAUUUAUUUUUUAUAAUAUAAAAAUAAAUCUUUUAUAUUUAAAAAUAGUGAAAAUAAAUAUAUUUUAAAAAUAUUAUAUAAAAGUAUUUGAUUAUUUUUAUUUACUUAAAAAAUUUUAAAAAAAUAUCUAUGAAAAAACUUUGAAAAUUUGUCAAAUGAUAUUUAAAAGCCAUAAAAUAAAGUUUAUUUUAUUAAAAUAAUUAUAAAAAUUUAUAAUAAAAAAUCUAACUAAACUAAAUUAUAAUGGAGGAAUAAAAAAAUACAAUCAAAUUAAACUAAUAUCACUUGAUUUUAUUGCACCAAACUGGACAUAAAAGAUUUUCUUAAAAAAUUUAACCUGCAAUGAGAUUGUUUUCCUCACUAGAGGUGUUAUAUAAGUACAUAUCAUAUGAUAAUUAUAAAUUUAAUUAUUUAAUUGUUAUAAAAAUUAAAUAUAUUACAAAUUAAUAUUUAUAUAAUGAUAUAUUAAAUACAUGUAAAUUUAUUAUUAUAAAUAUAUUAUUCGUUGAAUAUUAUUAUACGUGAUUUUAUAUAUUUAUUUAUUAUUCACUGAAUAAUAUAUUUUUAUUUUAUGUAAUUAAUACAAAAAUAAUAUUAUUCAAAUUGUGGUGCAUAAUUAAAAUAGUGCAACAAUAAAAAAUUCAAACAUAAAAGUUUGAAAGUAAAUAAUAAUGAAAUAAAUUUUUUAGUGAUUUUAACUACUAAUUUAAUAAAAAAACUAAAACAUACAAUUCUUAUGUAUAUUUUAUAAUUUAAUAUAAAAUAUAAUUUUAAUUAUUUUUUAAUAUAAACAUAGUUUUGAUAUUUUUAAUUAUUAUUUAAAAUAAUUUAUUUUUAAAUAUAUUAUUAAUUAUUUAUUUUACAUAUACAUACAUUUUAACUUAAUCACUGGAUCAAUCUUGUUGUUUGUAUGAAAUCGGUCCAUUGUAUAUUUGAGGUUGUGACCAAUGACAUCUAUAAAUAAUCAUAUGAUUAGAGGAACAUGAAUUUAGCUAACCCUCACUUUUGUGGAACCGUCUUACACUAGAUCAUCAUUUCUUAAUGGCGAAUGUCACGCCAAUUCGUUUCUUGGGCUCGACAACCACUGACGCUGUAAGUUAGCGAACCGACUGUGCAACGUUCCCAAAACAUACAAAGCGGUCGUUCCUUGCACAAGAUGAGAAGAUCACUUUUGGAAGUACAUGGACGGAAGCGUCAGUCCCGUAAUGUUGAGAAACAAUAAAUACUUGUUGAGAAGGCUAAGUGCGGGUUCUAAGCCUCAUGAACCUUUUUUGAGAAAUCUCUACAACCUUUGACUAUAUGAGUUCAAUAAAGGAACAAAAACCUAGAGCUUUAGGGAAACGAAAUUUUUAUAGAAAAGAUGAGUUAAUAUUUAUGUCAUUCUAUCCCCUAUUUAGAACUCUAUCCCCUAUUUAGAGUACAUAGAAAACCUAGUUUGUUCCUAUUUAAACUCUAAAAGAUAAAUAAAUAUAUAAUCUGAAAUUAAAUAUAAAUAAUAUAUAUCAUAAUAAUCCUAUCAAUAAUCCUAAAAAUAAAAUUUAAAUUUAAAUGGAGUCUUCUGUUCAUAAAUCUCUUCUUUAAAUUUUUGCCCCAAGUCUUUCACACUUUGUAUUUUCGGCACCACUUCUUUCCUAUUUCGCAUGCUGGCCCAUUUUGUCUUCAAAUUCACGCUUUUUGUCCCCAAAUUUUCUUUUGCCUUCAAUUUAAUCCCUACGAGAUAAAAAACCAUAAAUAACUCAAAUUAGUAGAAUCAUACUCAAAACAAAUAUGUAAUUAAUACAUAAAAAUAUGUUAUUUUAAAGUAUUAUCAGUUUCUUAGCGAGCUAUGGAAAUGUAGGUCUCCGAGGAGGAUUAUAGCCCAUCAAUUUUCUCUCUGUAGCAACAAUGAACCUGCAAAUUAUAAAUGCCAAUCCAGAAAAGUAUAAAAUAUUUCUUUUGUAGAAAAUUUUAUAUAUUUUUAAUUAAAAAGAAAAAAGCAAACCCAAUUACACAACAGUCAAAACUGAAGGAAAUUUCAGAAUUAAAAAUGAAUAAAACCCAUAGAUGUAAGCAAAUUUCAUGGGUAUCAUUAGCUUAUUAUAUAGUAUAUGUCAGAGCAAACGUAUUAUUGUCUUCUUGGGAAAAAAAAUUAGACAAGUAAUUUAGACACCUUUAAAUGUCUUUUAUUUGGUAAUUUAUCCUGUAAACUUUGACAACCAAUGCAAACUCUUUUUUGGUGUAAAUGCCCCUUAAGUCCCUCUACUUUUUGCAGGUCAACAAAUUAGUCCCUCUCUAAGGAAAACAGAUUAAAGGAGACCAUGUACUCUUUUCAAAGGUGAAUAAAUAAGGACAAUUAAGAUCAGAGUUAACAAUUUCUAUUAAUACAUGACACAUCUCUAAUUAUGAUUAGUUAAAUUUGAAAACAUUUUAAAUAAAUUAAUAUAUAUAAUAUAAAAAUCUAUAAAAGAAUUCAAAAUUUCAAUUAUUAUAACAUUAAUUUUAUAUCUAAAAAUCCUAAAUUAAAUUAAAUUAAUUCAAUUGAAUUGGACAAACAAAUUCGACCUGAAAUCAUUUGAUAUUGUUGGUUGGACAACCAAUCUGGUUUUAAAAACCUUGACUAGGACAACAUCAAUAUGUUAAUUUAAUUUCUUGUUUGUUUAAUAUUGUUUAUUUAAUAAAUCUAAAUUUUGAAGCAUCUAAAAUGUUAAUAAAAUCUUAUUUCUAAUUAUUUUCAUACAUUGAAUAUGUUAUUUUACUUUGUUAGAACUUGUUUAAAAGAAUAUUGUAUGCUUCAAUGAAAGUCACAAUUUAUCUUUGACCAUGAUUGUUCGCAACUGAGCUACUUAGUAAAUUAAAAAUCAGACCUCGACUAUGUACUGUAAGUGCAUUUUCCUACAAACUUUACCCUAUGAUUCAUUAGCCAAAGGUAUUCAUCCCAUCCCCCAAAGUCAUGAGAUAGAUUUGUAAGCUUUGCUUAUGUUAUAGUUAAGGUGGAUGUGUACGCUAGUGUGUGAGUUCUAAAUUAUAUUGUAUAAAAAAAAAACCAAAAUUAAAUGUGUGUAAACAUCUUAUCUCCAUGCAAAUUUAAGCUAUUGAGCUAAUUUAUUCUUAUAAAAUAUUAAUUUUAUCCAAAAUUUUCUUCUUCAAUAUAGAAAUUAAUGUACAAAGAAAAUAAAAUUUUCUUCUUCAAUAUAGACAUUGGAUAUAGGUGUAGCUGUUUUGUAACAACCUAAAAAGGGUCGUAAUUGCUGCAGGGCUUCCGCAUUCUUAUCUCCUCAAUAUUUGAUAAUCGAAUGGAGCUAAGCUAAGCAUUCAACCAAUCAUAAGAUGAAGAUAUGGGAUUCAUUACUCAAUCUAGCAAUGUCUUCAACUUUGUACAACUCAAUCUUCAAAUUGCUUAAUAGUUCUUGCGUGAAGCCCUUUCAUUAAAUGAUAGUCUACAUAAUGUACACAAAAUUGCUUGAUAAUUAGUUGUGCUUGUGUUGGAACCUUAUUUGAGACAUCAAAAGAGAAAAAUAUGUUUUGUCCUGAGUGGACACAUAUAUAAGUAAAACUAAAGAACACAACUAAGAUAUUUACGCAGCUUGAAACUUGUCCUACGUUUGCAGCGCCUUGUUCAGAGAUAAAUCCACUAUAUAUUUUAUAGUACAAAGAAAUGAUUUAUGCCCAACUCUCAAACAUUUGGUGUGACCUCACCUUUGUACAAUGAAAUAAACUCUCUCCCAAUUCAUUUUAGCUAUACAAUUAGAAAAUCAACACUCAAAAGGUGUAUAACAAUGACACUCAAUAAUAAUUCCUCGCUAUGAGCGCAUGUACUCCGUUAAAUCCACACAUCAUCCACAAAACAAAUCAUCUAUGUAUAAGCUCCAUGUAAAGUGAAAUAACAAAUUUUCAAAUGCAAUAUCACUGGACCUUUGUAGAAACACUUACCGUUACUAAAUGCUGCUUUAUAUCAUGUGCAUAAAUGGUGGCUAACCACAAACCUAUUGUCUAUGCUUUUUCGGUGCAUUCAAAGUUUACACAUUCUGCCAAUUUAGUUUUGAUUUAAUAAAUUUAGCCCACAACAUUUACACAUUUUGUCAAUUUGAUUCUAGUUUAACAAAGUUAGCUUGCAACAUUUACACAUUAUGUAUGGGCUCAAUUUGUUAUUUUAUCGAUCAAAAUUAUGUACGAGUGAAAAAAAAUAUUAACAUUGUGGUUAAUUGUCCUUAGUUCACUUCCGAAAUUGAUAGGGAUUAAAUUACUCCUUUUAUUUUUAGAGGGGCCAAUUUGCAUAAUAUUGAAUUUGAGAGGAACAGAAGAUGUGUUUUUACCCAUUUUUAUCCUUAUUAUAAUUUGCAUAAUAUUAACUUUAUUAUAAUUUGACCUUAUUUGAUUCUUUUUAAUAGUACAUGAACUAAAUUGAUCAUUUAAUAAUAGAGGGAUUAAUUUGAUGCAGUCCCUAUAAUACAGGUACUUUCACCAUUAUAUAUAUAUUUGAAUUGUAAUUUCGAGAUGAAAUUGAACAAUUGAAAAAUGUAAAAACAAAUGAAAUUAGCUCAUUAACUUGUAAUUAUAUACAAAAUGCUUCCCUCCACAUUUAUCCGGCGGCGCUCGAGGCUCUAAUGGUCCCAUGCUGCCGUAUCAACCUCCUCCUAGGCUUCAACAGCACCAGCUUCGACGGUUCCUCCAGUUGUUCCGCCAAUACGUGGUCACCUGGCCUUCGCUUCAACGAAGCCGCGGUUUGCUCAUCUCGAUGAUUAUCACAGAUUUUCAUCCAGUAAUAGUCGUGUCAAGAAGUUGAAGCAAUUGUUGUGAGAUCUCCAGUGAGCUCAAAAAUUCUCUUUUGAAAAUGAUGGCUAUCAUGUAAUUAGUAGUAUAUUAUUUCAAUUUUGAUGAGAAUUGUACUGUCACUUAACGCUUAAUGUCAUUUGCUUAACUUUUUUUGUGUGUGAUAUUUUGAUCUGUUCAUAAAUAGAAUGUUUCAUGGUGGCUAAGUUUCUUAGGGGAUAAUUAUGAGUAGCAUUAUUUGUUUGUGCAGUGAAAUUGUGAUGUCUGUAUUUUAAUAUGUGAGGUAUUUCCGUAUUUGAUGAUGUAGUGGAGUUUUGGUAGAUUAAAGUGCUUGUUUGCUGAACUAAGUUGAAAUUGAAGGAAUGCUGGCCUCACCCAAUGUCCAAAACUUGAUGACUUCAACAUUUUGAUGCCUUAAUUUGAGAAAGCUAAGUUUUAGUAUUAUAAAAUUUUCUCAGAAUGCAGAUGAGGCAAAGAUGUAGUGAUCAAAUAUAAUUGCAAUUGAUAGUAUGUUUGUUUUAUGUACUAUAAAUGCUAUAGUAAGAGAGUUUAAAGCCGAACAUUUAGUGUCGUGCUCUAUAUGAAGAAAGGUUGAUGGGUGUUAGCUCUUUUGAUGUUUUGCCUUUGAUGGAUGUUUGAAAAAUGAUUCAGCUCAUAUCCAUAAUGUCUAUCACUAUAGUUUCCCCCUUAUGUAGAGUAUGACUGCUAGUUUGUCAGGCAAAAUUAUGUUCGUAUAUUAUAUUCUUUUUCUUAUUGUCUUCAACACGAUAACAAGUGAAUUACUAGUUACUUUGCUUGAUUUUGUCAUGCCAUUUAUCUCUUUGAGUUUCGGCCUUUCUGAAUUAACUUUUGAAUCAAGUAGUGAAGCAUUUCUGAUGGUUCUUAUGACUAACAGUAGGUUUUCUUAUACAAGCUCUCCUACAUAUGCAUUUCUUAAACUUAUGCUCUUUUUUAUUUUAUUUUCUUCAUUUCAGUUGGUUGUUAAUCUUGAUAUAACCAUGCACAAAUACUAAUACUAAGGGACCCUGUAAUUUUGCCUGCCAUUGGAAGAGGAAGAGCGCAGCAGACAAAAAUGAAGUUAAGUCUAGCCAACAUAAUACAAGAUGUGUUAUUCAACUUGUAGUUUGAUGUGUGCCAACAUAAGCAUCAACACACAAGUCAUACGUAUAUACAGCCAGGAAAUCGACAUCUUUUGGAAGAGUCCUAAUCCAAGCAUCAUAAUUGAACACAGUCUUGGAAUACUGUCUAAAAAAAUGGUUGUCUCAUAAUCAAUUGUGCAUCCCUGCAUUUGAAUGCUGUUUUGAACACUAAAAAAACAUAAAUGUGUUUUUUCUGAGUUGACAUGUAUUAUGCAACAAGGAAAACAAAGAUCACAAUUAAGAUGUUUACACAGUUCGAAACUAGUCCUACAUCUGCGGGGCCUUACCCAAAGAUGAAUACACUAUGAACUUCAUAGUACAAAGAAAUGAUUUAAGCCUAACCCUCUAACAUUGAUGCAAUCUCAACUUCAACCUCACCACCAAAUAUUCUGAAGCAGCUUCCUUUUUUUUCCUGUUUGGACCUUCAAUAACAAAUUUGGCUGGAAUUCCAAACAGCUAAAAGAGUGCCCUGCAUCAAUGAAUAUCAUGAAUUUGAAUACCUCCAAAAGCCUGUCAAUAUCACAGGUACCAUCUAAGAUAGUAAUCAGUUGGCAUUUAUUAAGAGAAAACAUAAAUAUAUAUAAAGAUAGGAUAGGUAAGUGCUUAAAUGAAGAAAAGGCCUCUCUCCACAUCAAUGAUUUUUUAGACUAAAAUUAUUAGAAGCAAUUGUCAAGUUAUUAUUAUGAUUUAAAAGUAAAAAGCAAAUAGAUAAGUUAGCACCUCUUUUUAUGCAUAUAAAAUGAUUGAAGUUCACUAAUGCCUUUCUCCAAUGCCUUACUGCACAAAUCAGCAAAAAUAUUAUGAAAGAGGAUAAGUAAAAAGUAGGAUUAAAACAAAGGGACUUUAACAAGGAAAUUAACAGUAUCCAACUUCAAUGAAAAAUGGCAUCAGACCCCUGACUUGGAGAUUCAAUAUACCACUCUUAUUUUUCUUCAAAAAAAGAUAAGGUCAUCAAAAUAAAUAAAUAGCAAAGACCAACCUGACACAACCGAAUGUUGGGGAUGUGAGCAAUCUUUUGCCAAUCAGUGCCAAUGUCCUUCCGACAUCUUUCCUCCAACUGAGGAAGUCCUUCUAUUCCUAAAAUUUGCAAAUUGGUUAGGCAACGCAUCUCGUCCGGAAGAGAUGUUAAAUUAGGCAAAUGACAGAGAUAAAGCCCUUGCAGAUUUGUUAGAUGUUGAAGCCCAAUGGGGAGAGACACCAGCUUUGGAAUACUAACAAUCUCCAAACGAGAGAGAUUCUUAAGGGGUUCCCAUUGCAUGCCCUCUAAAUCAACCUCCUUCCAAUCUCUUAUUGUUAAUCUUUCGAGGCUGGUGAGAUGUUGCAGGCACUCAUCUAGCGUGUGAGUGUCCAACCCGUCAAUGUUGUGUACAUCAAAAGAUUUCAAUUUGGAGAGACGAAGAGAAGAGGUUGAAGUUGAUGGGGCCUUAGCAUUGAUGUUCAUCUUGAUAGUCUGCUUUAACGGCCUUGAACUGGUAUUCGACAACAUUAGAUAUUCAUCGAGUGAUGGAUACAGUGGCAUGAAAUUCAAAGGGCAAUUUCUAAUGUUUAACGAGGAAAGACAAGGAAAUGCCAUGGUUGAUGUUCCCAUAACUUCUUUGGCAAUUCUUGAAGCCGGUGACACUGAUCAAGUUUCAGCGCUAGCAAAUUCUGAAUCUUGCAAAUACUCUUUGGGAGAAUCUUAAGACAGAGAUUAUAAGAAAGAUCAAGGUACCUCAAAUGUUUCAACUUGUAAAUGGAGGGUGAAAUCAUCUGAAUACCUAAACAUUGCAAAUCCAAUACACGCAAGCAUCUACAAUUUGCAAUUACAAAAUCCCAAGUUUCUUCGCUCAAUUUUGGAAAAUCAUUGUUUGGAUACUGUAACAAGGUUCGCAACUUCUUUCCCUUAAACAAAGGAAUUAGUGAAGGUUUAAUUGAUAUGUGGCGACAUUUUUCACCAACAUCACUUGCAAUUUUAUUUGAAUCUACAAUACUACUCUCCAUCCCUGCUACUGAUUCAGCUAGAUCAUGCAUUAAAUCAUGCAUUUUACAUGUUAGCCCUUCCCAUGAAUAUCUUUCUCCUACUUCUUGGAAGAAACUUCUUUCAACUAAAUCUUUAAAAUACCCAAACCCGAUCUCCUCGACAGAUUGACUUUGAUUCAAUUGCUUUAUGAAACCUUGUGCAAUCCAAAACUGAACAAGCGCUUGUACUUCAAUUCUGUAAUCUUUUGGAUACAAUUGGCAAUAAGCAAAGCAAUGCUUCAAAUAAGAUGGGAGAUGAUCAUAACUCAAUUUCAGUAUAGGUAGAAGUUCUCCUUCAAUUUGUGAUAUUUUAGCAAGUUCAUUUUCUUUGAAAGAAUACCACUCAUUUGCAGUUUUCUUCAAAGAUAAUGUACCAGCUAUCGUCCUUAUGGCUAAGGGAACCCCACCACACCUUUCCGAAAUCUGUCUCCCUACUUCCACAAAGGCUGAAUUUGUUGAGUCUGCAUAUCCUUGCUCAAAUGCUAUCCUUUUGAACAAAGACCAAGCAUCAUCAUCAGACAAGCCUUUCAGUUUCAAAACAUGGGAUUGACAUUUAUUAGUUAUCUCCGCUACCCUUAGAGAUCGAGUCGUUACUAUUAUCCUACUCCCUUUAGCCCCACCCAUCAAUAACUUCUUUAGCCUAGACCACUUUUCUGGGUCCUCAUUCCAAAUGUCAUCCAAAACAAGCAAAUAUUUUUUCCCAUCAAUUUUAUCUCGAAGUUGUUUUUGCAAUUGAUCCAUUUCAAGAUUUUGAUCAGGUGCUUGAUGAGUCACAGAUUUGAUAAUGUUUGCUACAAUAACUUUCACAUCAAAAUCAUCUGAAACACACGCAAACAUCGUUAAGUCAAAAUGAUUUUUGACCAUUUCCUGGUUAUAGACAAGUUGGGCCAAAGCAGUCUUCCCUAACCCUCCAAACCCCACAAUUGGAAUGAUAUAAACAUUCUCUUCACUUUGAAACUCCAACACGAGUUUUAGAAGAGCUGCUUUAUCAUCAUCCCUCCCUAUUAUGUCAUCUUCACGCUCAAAAGAGUGCGUUUGCUGCCUCCUUUUAGUCAUGAAAGAGGUUUCCGCGGGGCGAUCACGCGGAAUGAAGCCAAAAGUGUUGGCCUCCCUUUCAAUUGAAGUUAAUCUCGCCUUAAUGGCCUUCAUUUUCCGACCCAUUUUGAGACCAUAAGCAAAUUGGUUUGAGGUUGAGAAGAAAAGGCGUACCUCUUUCGCCAGCUUGUUCCCACCCGAUACAUCUUUCCGCAAAGCUUCAGUAGAGAAAUCAUCGAGCAAGUCGUCGGCAUCAUAAAGUACAUAUUUCAGCUCUUCAAGCCAAACUUUGACGAGAUUGUCGGUCACCGAUUUCUCUUCAGCGUCAAGAAGCACAGCUUUGAUUUGACAGACAGUGCGUUUGAGGUCGUGGAUGUCAUGUUUUAGAUUCCACCACAGCCCAACUUGAGAGAGAGCACAAGAGCUCAACUUAGUAAUAAGCUCUAGGGCGAGGUCGAAUGCAAUUGCUUCGGCCAUUGCUGGUUCAAACAGAAAUCAAGCAAAGAAGGGUUAUUGCAAGAGGAGGAGUAAAAUGAGAAUGAUUGGAACAAGAUGAAACACAAAUGUGGAUCCAUACAUGCAGAGACUUGAGUAUAUUUAUAGAUAUUACCAUCCACCCACCAAGUAGCAUAAUUAAAUAAAAAGCAUUACAUUUUUUCCUUUUUAUCCUUCUUAUAAUUAAUUUAAUAAUUUUAUUUAAUGUCAUACAAUUAACAAUUAAUGAAUAAAACGAUAUUAUAUUAUAAUAUUUUUAAUGAAUAAAUAAUUUUACUUUCUAAUAAAAUAAUCUUAUUGGGUGUAUAAUAUAAUUAUAUCAUACAUUAAACAUAAAAAUCCAUUAAUUUAAUAUCUUAAAAGUGUGCAUCUUUUAUGAUUCUAAUGUAGAAUUUUCUUUUUUACCUAAAUAUUAUAUUUUCCUUUUUGUUAAAAAACAAAAUAAGAAAAUAUUAAUUUCAUAAUAAUGAAUAAAUAAAUGUAGCAUUCGAAAACUUGGCUCACUAAUUAGUGCAUGUUUUAUUUAUUCAAAAAGUGAGGCUCAAAAAUCCUUCUUUUUCGAGUUCAAAGAAAAUACAAAAAUUAAGGUUCACAAACAUCAAUUUUCUAAAUUUAUAUAGUGCAACAAAUUACAUGGGCUUAAUUGUAAUUUUUUUAAAACGUUUCACAUACAGCUUUUUUUUUUUUUUUCUAUUGUGAACAUUGAAAAAAAAAUUAGAACAAUAAUUUAAGUUGUAAAAUUGAUCAAUUGAAUUGUUUAGAUAUUUAGUUUUCAUUUAAAACUAUACAUACUUAAGGAUUGAAUUAUUCGUUCAAUAUUCAAAUCGAUUAUUAGAUAAAUUAUUUUUUAAUUCAAAUACACAAAUAUAGAAUCACAACUCAGCUCGAUCUAUAUAGUUUCAAAAAUUACUCAGGGCAGAAUUCCCCUCCCCUAAAUUUGGAAAAUUUUCAUUAAGCCUUCAAUUUUUUUGAAAUUUUUAAUUAGACUUUACCUUAGUUUAAUUGAAAACAGCUCACAAGGUACAAAUUGAACAUAUAUAGACAUCUCUUCUCCCCUUGCUUGAGUUGUUGAACUAAACUAACUUUCUUCAUAUAAUAUUAAUUUUACCCAAAAUUUUCCUGUUCAACGAAAACAAAAUUCCUAAAAUACAAAAGUUAAUGGAAGAUAAAGAAGACAUUGGAUCUAGGUUUAAUUGUUUUGUAAUAAGCUAAAAGGGAUGCAGUGGUUGCAGGGCAUCCAUAUUUGUAUCCUCAAAAUUUGGUAACUGAAGGGAGCUAUGCUAAGCAUUCAACCAAUCAUUAGGUACUGCAACGUUUUCAUUAAAUGAUAGUCUUACAUAAUGUACACAAGAUUGCCUGUUAAUUAGUUGUGUUUCCAUGUGUUGGAUUAUUAUUUGAAACCCCGAAAGAGAAAAAUGUAUAUAUUUUUUUUAAGUUGACACACAAAAAAGUAAAAAUAAAGGAGAAUAAAGAACACAACCAAGAUGUUUCCGCAGUUCAAAACUCAUCCUACAUUUGUGAGCUUUGUCUAGAGAUAAAAUCGCUAUAAACUUCACAGUACAAUGAAAUUAUUUAUGCCCAACCCUCCAAACUUGGUGCAACCUCACCUUUGUACAAUUAACUAAAUACUCUUCCAACUUACAUUAGCUAUGCAAGAGAAAAUCAACACUCAUAAGGUGGCACUCAAAUAAUAGUUACUAAGUGUGCCUCUAAGUCCACAAAUCAUCUAUAUAUACAAGCUCCAAGAUCAGCUGAUGAAGAAUGCAUACAGAUUGACUCGUCAACAAAGAAAAACAGAAAAAGGAAGAACAAAUGUGCAUAGAGAGGAGGAUUUCAUGGGAGCACAAUGCCAUGGACAGAUCAGCUGAUGAAGAAUGCAUGUCCUGCUUUUUGGCUCUUCCAUUGAACUCGUGCUGAAAAAGAAGCAGCUUAGUCACGAGGUUAUAUUAGAUCAUUUGAAAUUAUGAGAUUAUUAUGAUUUUAAAAUGUAAAGCAAUUAAGUAAUUACCACCUAUUUUUCUGCAUCUAAAUUCUUGAAGUUGUCAAAUGCCUUUCAGAAAAAUACAUGCCAAUCGAAUAUGUGGGCAGAUAAACAAAUGAGGGUAGCAAGUAUGAUCUCUGCUUUUUGUAUUGCAUGCUAUGCUCUGCCGAAGAAUAGAGCCAAAAGCUAACAAAAAUGAAGGGUAAAAAGAUUAAUGGAAACCUUGUAGUUUUCAAAGGUGAAUAAAUAAGGACAAUUAAGAUCGGUGUUAACAAAUUUUAACUAAUAUUUUGAAAACAUUUGAAAACAUUUUAAAUAAGUUAAAAUAUAUAAUAUAAAAAAUCUAUAAAAAAAUUUCAAAAUUCAAUUAUUGUAAUAUAAAACUUUCAUAUCUAAAAACCCUAAAUUAAAUUAAACUAUUUCAAUUGAAUUCAACAAACAAAUUGGACCGAAAACCAAUUAAUUGAUUGGUUCGGCCACCGUAUGUGAAUUUAAUUUCGUAUUUAUUUAAUUUGGUUAGCACAUAUUAAUAGUUUUCAUAUUCUCUUUAGUUUUUGUAUUUUCGGAUUGUGUAAAAUUUAAAAUUUAAAUAUUUUUAUGUUCAUAUUUUUUUUUAUAAAUAUAUAGGGGUAAGCUCUCACUAACUUUUUGAAGCUUUUAGGAGUUCCUUCUAUUGAAGCAAUAUCAUGAGCGAAUCUAUAAUCAAUAUAUAUGAGAAAGAAAAAAUAUAUAAAAAAGUAAAAUAAAAAAUAAAAAUAGACUUGAACACUUAUGGAUGUUAAAUUUAUAAUAAGCUUAAGUAAAAGGGUUAAAAUAAUCAAACUAUUGUCUAACUCAUGCUAUGAAAAAGAAAUCACAGUUAAAAGAAUAUUGUAUGCUUCAAUGAAAGUCACAAUUUAUCUUUGAUCAUGCUUGUUCGCAACUAAGUAGCUAUAAUGUAACUACAUGUUCCUACAAACCUCGCACUAGUCGACUUUGCCCUAUGAUCCAUUAGUCGAAUUUGUGAUGUCUAUAUUUUAAUAUGCGAGGUAUUUAAAGAAAUAGAUACAUCAAUUUAUUUUUGUAGUGGAUAAAUAUAAUUAUUUAUUUACACAAUAUAUAAACAUAAAAUGAUGCCCUAUUAAUAAUUUAUGAAAAUUAGAUCAAAUUAAAAUUUCAUGUAUAAAAUUAUAUGUUAUGCCAAAGUUUAUAUGUAGUUUUGAGAUUUAUCCCAUUUUCCUAUUAACUUAGCCAUUAGCCUGAGCAUUAAAUGUUCGCUCAAAUAUGAUAGGGGACAUACUUAAAACACAUGUGUCCAUGCUAUAUAGGCAACUUGAAUCUAAUUUGUUAAAAGAAGAAGAAGAAGUAAUCCUCUUAAAUUUUAUAAUCUCAGCGUGUUUUUAAUAUGUUAGAAUCAAGUUAUCAAUAUGAUGAGUACACAAGUAUUUACAAUUUAAUCCAUGUCAAAUGAGAACAGAAAUUUAAAAUCUAAAUUGAUAGCUACAAAAAUGAAAUGAUUUUAUUGUUAUAAUAUUAAUACUUUCAAAACUUAAUUAAAAUAUUUUAAAAUUUACAAAUUAAUUCUAAAACAAUAUUUAAUAAAUUGAGAAUAUUUAAUACAAAUAACUUCUUAUUUGAAUAUAAAUAAUUAUAACACAUUUAUUAUUAAACAAAAUAAUAUUGUUUGGUUGGAAAUGGUCCCACCGUAUUUUACGUUUGGGGAACAAAGCGAUGGCGUUUUGGUUGGAGAAGAAGGGAGUAACGUUGUUAAGUACAUCAUUUUGUUUAUUUUCGUUUUAAAUUUGUUUUCUCGUUUUCUAUUUGAUGCCGUUAAUAUUCUUUUUUGAGUAAACUAUAUUAAAAGUCAUUCAACUAUUUUAAAAAGUACAAAAUGAUCACCAAAUUAUUAGUAAUUUCUUUUAUCUAAUUAUGAAAAGUUACAAAAUAAUCAAUAAACUGUUAUUUUUUUCCUUUUCUUUCACCCAACUAUCUUGGAUUUUUUGGUGUUUUCUAUUUUUUCAUUAGCCAACUAAUGAUAAAAAUGAUAAAAUUGAAUUGUUGGGAGACUAUUUUGUAACUUUUCAUAAUUGAGUAACCAAAAAGGAAAAAAAAAACUUAGUUGGGUGACUACUAAAGUAGGUUACCCUUUUUUAGGUUAAAAUAUGCCAUAUGUCCUUGUACUCGCCAUAAAUUUGAAAUUUAGUCUCUAUACUUGUAUUUAUAGGAAUUUAAUUCUUUUACUUUUUAAAGUUCAAAUUUCAGGUCCAAUUAUUAAUACUGUUAAAUUAACCAUUUAAUGAUAGAGGGACUAAUUUGUAUGCAGUCCCUACAGUACCGGUACUUUAACCCUUAUAUAUAUUUGAAUUUUAUUUUAGGAUUAAAUUGAAAAUUUGAAAAAAGUAAGAGUUCAAAAAGGUAAAAACAAAUGAAAUUAGCACAUUAACUUACAAUUAUAUACCCUUUCUUUUCCCUCCUUUUCUACUCUAUAUCUCUCUAAUGUCUGAACUAAAACCCUCACUUUCUCUCCCUUCCUAUUUCCCUAUUGCAAUUAUACCCACCUCGUUUCCCCUCAAUAUCAUAAACCUCCAUGUUCGGGAUGGUCUUACGCUGCCGUAUUAACCUCCUCCUACGGCUUCAACAGUACCAGCUUCGACGGUUCCUCCGGUUGUUCCGCCGAUACGUCGUCACCUGGCCUUCGAUUCGACGAAGCCGCCGUUUGUUCAUCCCGAUGAUUAUCACAGAUUUUCAUCUAGUAAUAGUCGUGGAAUCGUCACCGAUCAGGAAGUUGAAGCUGAACAUUUAAUGCUGUGCUCUAUAUGAAGAAAGCUUGAUGGGUGUUAGUUCUUUUGAUGUUUGUAGAAUAAUAAAAGAAAACUUCUCAAGUUUAUUGGAUGCUAACAUAUUGUUAUAUACAAGCAAGGAAAGGAAGUAACAGAAAGUAACAGAAAAAUAACUACUAACUGACUAACAAGAAAUUAAUUUAAAACUAUAUGACUAAUAGCCCCCCUCAAGUUGGAGAGUGAAUGGGAAACAGUCCCAGCUUGGACAAAAUAAGCUGGAAGGGAACAGCAGGCAGAGCUUUGGUGAAGAUGUCAGCAAGCUGGUCUUUGGAAGAAUAAGGAAGCAAUUUGACAACACCGGACAACACUUUUUCACGAACAAGAUGACAGUCGAUCUCAAUAUGUUUAGUACGUUCAUGAAACGUAGGGUUUGCAGCAAUUUAGAGAGCAGAAUUGUUGUCGCAAAAAAAAGCAGUAGGCCUAGAAAUAGACAGAUGCAAAUCAGACAGAAGAAAUCGAAGCCACUGAAUUUCACAAACAGUAGAUGCAAGAGCCCUAUAUUCUGCUUCUGAGGAAGAGCGAGACACGGUGCUUUGCUUCUUGGCUUUCCAACUAAUAAGGGAAUCUCCAUAAAAUAGGUAGUAACCAGUCACGGAGCGACGUGUGAGAGGACAACCAGCCCAAUCAGAGUCACUAAAUGCCUUCAGUGUAGGCGAAGAAGAAGCAGAAAAGAAAAUACCAAAGUCAAUGCAUCCUUUCAGGUAGCGAAGAAUGCGAUGGGCAGCUUUUGAAGGUGAGUGACUAUAGGUCGGUCCAAGAAUUGACUUAACUGUUGAACAACAAAAGCAAGAUCAGGUCUAGUAGAAACCAAAUAUAAUAGGCGUCCAAUAAGUUUUCUGAAAAUAGUGUUAUCAGGAAGUAAUUCGUCAGAAGCAUCGCGAGGGAUUUUAGUAACCAUAGGAGUUGUAACAGGCCUGCAAUCUGAGAAACCAAAAUCAGCCAGUAGAUCGAGAGCAUAUUUUUGCUGGCAAAGAUGAAUACCAGCAAAACUACGAGCAACUUCAAGGCCAAGAAAAUACUUGAGAUCCCCCAAGUCUUUGAUGCUAAAGGCAGAAUGCAAGAAGGCUUUUACCCGUGUGAUUUCUUCCAAAGAAUCACCAGCUAGAAUAACAUCAUCAACAUAAACCAAUAAGGCAGUAAAGGAAAUUUCAUCCUUUUUAACAAACAGAGAAAAAUCUGAAGUAGAUUGAACGUAACCAAUUGUAGUGAGAGCUGCAGUGAGUUUGGCAAACCACUGUCGACUAGCCUGCUUGAGACCAUAUAAUGAUUUUUGCAACUUACAAACCUUAUGGGAAGUGGAGGAAGCAAAACUAAGAGGCAAAAGCAUAUAAACUUCUUCAGUCAAAUCUCCAUGCAGAAAUGCAUUGUUAACAUCAAGCUGGUGCAAAAACCAGUCUUUGGAAGCAGCAAUAGCAAGCAAUAAUCGAACAGUAGUAAUCUUGGCCACAGGGGAAAAAGUAUCAAAAUAAUCAACACCCUCAGUUUGUGUGAAACCUUUAGCAACCAAACGAGUCUUGUAACGCUCAAUAGAACCAUCGGCUCGAUAUUUCACACGAUAGACCCAUUUGCAACCGAUUGCAAUUUUGCCUGAAGGUAAGUCCAUAAUGAUCCAGGUGUUAUUUUGUUCAAGAGCAGAAAUUUCAGCUUGCAUUGCUUCUUGCCAAUGGGGAAUUUUGCUAGCUUGUAAAUAGGUUGUAGGUAUGGGAGAAGCAUUGAUAGCAAGAGUAAUAGGUGUGGCGCAUCGAAGAUGAUUGGCAACAGCUUUGCUGGAAAAGCAGUGAUACUGGUCUAAAUAUGAAGGAGGUUUCCUAAGACGAGGUGGCCUAGAGGGUUGUAAAGGAACGGGAGGUGAGGGUUGUGAUUGAAUUGGCAAGUCAUAGGUAAUGGUGGGGUCAAAGGUUAACUGUGGGAUGGAAGAGGAAGAAGAUGGUUGUUGAGAAAAAGGGAAAACGGACUCAUGGAAAUGGACAUUUUUGGAUAUAAAAAUGGCAUGGGUUGAUAGAUCAAAAAGAAUAUAGCCUUUGACAUGAGGUGGAAAACCAAGAAAGACACACUCACGUGCUCGAGGAUCCAACUUAUGACGAUGAGCAGUAAGAGUGGUUGCAAAACAAAGACAGCCAAAGACACGGAGGUGCUGAAAAGAUGGCUUAGUUUGGUAUAACUUGUCAAAAGGGGUAAGGUUAGCCAAAAUGGGAGUAGGGGUACGAUUAAUAAGAAAAACAACAUGAAGAAUAGCAUGUCCCCAAAAAUGCUUAGGCAAAUGAGAAUGAAAUAAGAGAGCCCGUGCAACAUUAAAAAUGUGUUGGUGCUUGCGUUCUACAAGACCGUUUUGUUGUGGGGUUUCAACACAUGUAGUUUGAUGAAUUGUGCCUUUGGAAGCAUAAAAGGCUAGAAUGACAAACUCACAACCAUUGUCAGAUCGAAUGACUUUAAUUUUAGAUGAAAAUUGAGUUUCAACAAGUGUGAAAAAAUUCUGAAUGUGAGUACGAACUUCAGAUUUUGCUUUCAAUAAAAUAAUCCAAGUAAAGCGACUAAAAUCAUCAACAAUGGUUAAAAAAUAACGAUGACCAGUAAUGGAAAUAACAUCAGUUGGACCCCAAAUAUCAACAUGAACAAGUUCAAAAAUUUUAUUGGAAAUGGAAGUGCUUACAGGAAAAGAUAAUUUCUUUUGUUUGGCCAAAUGGCAGGCUGUACAAGGUGCAUUAUUUGACAAAGACAAAGAAGGAAUGUAAGGGAAAAGUAGUUUUAGUCGAGAAUCAGAAAGAUGACCGAGACGAUGAUGCCAAAGGGAACAUGAAGAUGUGUUGGCUGACAAGGCAAUGGGAGCAGAAAUGGAAAAAGUUUGAGCUGGGAAAUCCAAAAUAUAAAGACCAUGGAGCACUCUAGCUGUACCAAUCAUAUUCGAAGAAGGAAGAGCCUGUAUAGAACAAUGAUUUUUAUGAAAAGUAAAGGAACAAGGUAAUAUAGCAGUGAGUUUAGUAACAGAUAAAAGAUUAAAGGUAAAUUGAGGAACAUAGAGAACAUUAGUAAUGUAAAGACUAUUAUUGAAAAUGACUGUACCAGAAAUUCGAGCACAAACUUUAGUGCCAUUUGGAAGGUUGAUGUAUAUAGGUUUAAUGGAAUGAAAAGAAGCAAAAAACGAUAAAGAGUGAGCAAUGUGAUCAGUGGCACCUGUGUCAAUGAUCCAAUGAUGGGAUUGAAGAGAAAAGAGGUUACCUGAGGAUGGGAAAGGGUUCGGUUGUGAGGAAGAAUCAGUAUUGGUAACAUGAGGUGGGGAGGUAGAUGCUGGAAGUAAUGCAAGUAGCUGUUGCAACUGAUCUUGUGUCAAAGUAACAGAAGGAUCAGAUGGCAAAAUAUCAACAUGCUGCGAAGAGUCCAAAGGUUGUGAAGCACAAUCAUUAAGCGCUGUAUGUGCACGAGAGGCCCGACCUCGAGACUUGUAACCAGGUGGAUAUCCAUGCUUUUCAUAACAAGUAUCAACAGUAUGCCUGGAUUUGCCACAGAAGGUACAUUACCGUGAAUCAGUAAAUGAUUUAGCCUGAGGUUUCUUUGAAGAACUGUGGUGGCGCAGUGUGUUGCUAACAAACAACUGAGAUGAGCCAGUAGGAAGGUGACGUUCUUGUUGAAUAACCAGGGAAAAUACUUUGUUGAUUGGAGGCAAGGGAUCAAUAAGCAUGAUUUGAGAACGAACAGCAGCAAAUCGAUCAUGAAGACCCUUAAGAAAACGAAUAACGUAGUCGUUAUCAUGAUAUUUCUGGAGAGUGACAAAAACACCGCAAGAGCAAGAUGGUGAACAAGAACAAACUGGAAUUGGUCGAAAAUUCAUCAACUCAUCCUAGAGAAUUUUUAACUCAGUAAAGUAAUCAGUAACGGAACGAUCAUCUUGCUUGAAAGCAUUGAUCUCUUCUUGGAGAGCAGAAAUGCGGAAAACAUCACUUUGAGAAAAGCGUUCACGAAGAUCGCGCCAAACAUCAUAAGCAAAGUCGAGCCAAAGAACACUGUUCAUGAUCGAGGGCGAGAUGGAAUGGUGCAACCAAGAAAGCACCAUAGUGUUACAUCGUUCCCAGGCAGAAUAAAGAGGAUCCGUUCGAGGUGGAACCGUGAUGGUGCCGUCAACAAACUGAAGCUUGUUCUUGGAUAGAAAUGCCAUUGUCAUAGCUCGAGACCAAGAGUGAUAGUUUGAGCUUGAUAAGACAGGAGAAACAAGAACCAAAGCUGGAUUUUCAUUUGGAUGCAGAUAGUAUGGGCUAGAAGGCAGCAUAGUAUCAUGAAAUGCCAUUGGAAGAAAAGGGAAUCAAGAAUGCAGAUUAUGGAGAAAGCAAAAUAUAACGUCUGAUACCAUGUAGAAUAAUAAAAGAAAACUUCUCAAGUUUUUUGGAUGCUAACGUAUUGUUAUAUACAAGCAAGGAAAGGAAGUAACAGAAAGUAACAGAAAAAUAACUACUAACUGACUAACAAGAAAUUAAUUUAAAACUAUAUGACUAAUAAUGUUUUGUCUUUGAUGGAUGUUUGAAAAAUGAUUCAGUUGAUAUCCAUAAUGUCUAUCACUAUAGUUUCCCCCUUAUGCAUAAUUCGACUGCUCUGCUAGUUUUGUCGGACAAAAUUAUAUUCGCAUAUUAUAUUCUUUUUCUUUAUUGUCUUCAACGCGAUAACAAGUGAAUUACUAGUUACUUUACUUGAUUUUUUCAUGGCAUUUAUCUCUUUGAGUUUUGGCCUUUGUGAAUUAACUUUUGAAUCAAGUAGCGAAGCAUUUCUGAUGGUUCUUAUGGCUAACAGUAAGUUUUCUUGUACAAGCUGUCGCACUUAUGCAUUUGUUAAACUUAUGCUCUUUUUUAUUUUAUUUUCUUCAAUUCAAUUGGUUGUUAACGUUGACAUAACCGUGCACAAAUACUAAGGGACCUUGUAAUUUUGCCUGCCAUUGGCGGUACUUUGAAAUAUUGCUGAUUUUUCUCAGCAAUUAAAAAGGAAGAGCGCAGCAGACAAAAAUGAUGUUGAGUCUAGCCAAUGGACAAGCAGUCCGGGGGUUACCUGUAUAUGCUAAAGGAGGAAGGAUAAAUAAUAGAUCAAAGACAUCAAAAGCCAAUAAAUCAAUGCCUCACACACCUGUGUCAAAUGCUGGUGCGAUACUAUUUCCUACUGGCUUUGUCCAUAGAAGGAAACUUAUGAUUCACCCCACGGCUCUAUCAUCAAUGCCUCAUUGCUCCAAUUAAGAGAGAUGGAUUUUGUAGAAGAGGAAUCACUGACAUUAUAAAUGAUAAUUGGCAGGUUGUCCAUCUCCUCUUACACCUGUGGCAGCUGCUGUUUAGAUAGUCCUUUAGUUAAUCUUUACUGCCCAUUCUUUUUUCUUUUACUAUAGUCUGUUUUAGCUCCUUAACCUGCUAUGGAUGGUGAGAACGACAAUAAUGCAGUCCCCAUUUUUAGGUCUGUUGACGAAAAAGUUUGUCAAUCUGAUGAAGCAUGCUGAUUUGUCAAUCUGAUGAAGCAUGCUGAAGAUGGUAUCCUUGACCUAAAUAAGGCUGCAGAAACAUUGGAGGUAAUGAAAUACUAGCGAGCUUAUGUAUCAUUGGGUGUUUGUUGAGUAUUUUUUUCAUGUUACUUAAAGGGUUCUUUUGUCCUUUAUUUUUCCCUGUAAAUGUUGUAACAGGUGCAGAAGAGGAGGAUAUAUGAUAUAACAAAUGUCUUGGAGGGCAUCCCUUCAUUUGAAUACUGUUUGGAACCCUAAAAAAACAUAAAUGUGUUUUUUCCUGAGAUGGCACGUAUUUUGCAAUAAGAAAAAUAAAGAGUACAAUUAAAAUGUUUAUGCAGUUCGGAACUUGUCCUAUGUCUGCGGAGCUUUGCCCAAAGAUGAAUCCACUAUGAACUUUAUAGUACAAAGAAAUGAUUUAAGCUUAACCCCUCAAACACUUUAUGCAAAUUCUCACUUUUGUACAAUUAAGUAAAUUCUCUCCCAACUCAUUUUAGCUAUGCAAGUGAAAAUUCACAUUCAACACUCACAUGAUUUUCCUACUAUGAAUAAGUUCUUAAUAAGCUCCAUGUAAAGUGGAAUAAUAAAUUUUCAAAUGCAAUAUGUCUGGGAAUUGUCAUGCUUGAACAACGACUCUUCCAAAAGCAUCAAUGAAUCUGAAAAUUAUAAAUGCCAACAUAGAAUAUGUUACAAAUCCCGUUAUUAUCAGCCUUAUAUUUACACAUAUGUCUGUUUAGUAUAAUGCUGUUGAUAUAUAAAUAAUGAAACAUUUUAUCAACUUCAACCUCACCACCGAAUAUUCUGAAGCAUUUUCCUUUUUUUCCUGUUUGGACCUUCAAUAACAAAUUUGGCUGGAAUUCCAAACAGCUAAAAGAGUGCCCUGCAUCAAUGAAUAUUAAGAUGGUAAGCAAAAACAUAAAUAUAUAUAAAGAUAUGAUAGGUAAGUGCUUAAAUGAAGAAAGCAGAGCAUAUAGUACAACCAUUUUGAAGGCUUCAUGGGCCUCUCUCUCCACAUCAAUCAUUUUUUAGAAUCAAAAUAUUAGAAGCAAAUAGAUGAAUUAUCACCUCUUUUUAUGCAUAUAGAAUGAUUGAAGUUGACUAAUGCCUUUCUCCAAUGCCUUACUGCACAAAUCAGCAAAUAUAUUAUGAAAGAUGAUAAGUAAAAAGUAGGAUGAAAACAAAGGGAUUUUAACAAGGAAAUUAACAGUAUCCAACUUCAAUGAAAAAUGGCAUCAGACCCCUGACUUGGAGAUUCAAUAUACCACUCUUAUUUUUCUUCAAAAAAAGAUAAGGUCAUCAAAAUAAAUAAAUAACAAAGACAGACCAACCUGAUAUGACCCAAUGUUGGGGAUGUGAGCAAUCUUUUGCCAAUCAGCGCCAAUGUCCUUCCGACAUCUUUCCUCCAACUGAGGAAUUCCUUUUAUGUGUAAAUACUCCAAACUGGUUAGGCAACGCAUCCCGUCCGGAAGAGAUGUUAAAUUUGGCAAAUUAACAAGAUGAAGCCGUUGCAGAUUUGUUAGAUGUUGAAGCCACUCCGGAAGAUGCCGACACUUUGGAAUAUAUUCCAGCCGUAGAGAGCGUAGUCUUGUAUGAUCUUGGAAUAUUUGGAUGCCAGCUCCAGAUAACUCCAGCUCCUCGCAGUUCCUUACUUCAAACUCUUCAAGGAAAGUGAGAUGUUGGAACACAGGAAGCAGUGACCUCAAUCCAUUCCAGUUAUGAAUUUUUAAUGUUUUCAAUUGAACAAGAUGUUGAAGCCCAAUGGGGAGAGACACCAGCUUUGGAAUAUUAUCAAUCUCCAAAUGAGAGAGAUUCUUAAGGGGUUCCCAUUGCAUGCCCUCUAAAUCAACCUCCUUGCAAUCUCGUAUUGUUAAUCUUUUGAGGCUGGUGAGAUGUUGCAGGCACUCAUCUAGCGUGUAAGUGUCCAACCCCUCAAUGUUGUGUACAUCGAAAGAUUUCAUUUUGGAGAGUGGAAGAGAAGAGGUUGAAGUUGAUGGGGCCUUAGCAUUGAUGUUCAUCUUGAUAGUCUGCUUUAACGGCCUUGAACUGGUAUUCGACAACAUUAGAUCUUCACCGAGUGAUGGAUACAGUGGCAUUAAAGUCAAAGGGCAAUUUUGAAUUGUUAAAGAGGAAAGACAAGGAAAUGCCAUGGUUGAUGUUCCCAUAACUGUUGUGUCGUCCUCGUUGGAAUCAUCAUCGAUUGGUUUUGUCGUCCUCCACCAACUCUUCAUAUUUGGGCAAUCCUCGAGGUUAAGAAGCUUAAGCGAUGGGAAGAAUGAUUGUGGUUCUCCUUGACUUCCUUUUGGGCUAUUAUCAUCCAUGUACUCCAGCUUAGUACAAAACAUAAUAUCCAGCAGUUCAAGACAGGGCAAUUGAGCAAAGGACGGGAAAUAUUUGAAAUUACCACCACUUAUGAAAAUUUUGACGAGAUUUGUGAGCAAAGGAAGCCAACUUGGAAACUUGGCAUCACCCCUCCAUCCUCGAAUACAGAGCUCCUUUAGAUUAGGAUGGGGUUGGAGGUCUUCAAGUGAUUUAUCAUCAUCAUAUUCAUCAUCGUUAAAAUCAAAAUAAAAGCUCCAUUGUAAAACCAACGAUCUCAAAUGUUGCUUCUCAUUCAAAUUAGCAGCCUUAAACUUCUCUUUUGCAUUUUUUACGAAUCCCAAAUUUGCUAUUUCUAGAUGUCCCCUUAAGUUGUUAAGCAGUCUCAAUUCACUUAGAUCUGCACCGCCAUGGGACCCAUCUUUAUCCACUACAAACAUGCUUAACGUCUCAAGUGAAGUCAGCUUCCCUAUUCCACGUGGCAUAUGAGUUAAACUAAAACAAGCGUCACACCCAAUAUGGGUAAGCUUCACCAAUUUUUCAACCUUCUUUGGCAAUUCUUGAAGCCCACAACACCAGUCAAGUUUCAGCGCUAGCAAAUUCUGAAUCUUGCAAAUACUCUUUGGGAGAAUCUUGAUAUUGUAAUUGGAAGAAAGAUCAAGGUGCCUCAAAUGUUUCAACUUGUAAAUGGAGGGUGAAAUCAUCUGAAUACCUAACGAAUGCAAAUCCAAUACACGCAAGCAUCUACAAUUUGCAAUUAUCAAAUCCCAAGUUUCAUAGCUGAAAUCAUCACUCAAUUUUUGAUCUAUGUUGUCUUGAAAAUGUAACAAGGUUCGCAACUUCUUUCCCUUAAACGAAGGAAUUAAUGAAGGUUUAAUUGAUAUGUGGCGACAUUUUUCACCAACAUCACUUGCAAUUCUAUUUGAAUCUACAAUACCACUCUCCAUCCCUGCUACUGAUUCAGCUAGAUCAUGCAUUAAAUCAUGCAUUUUACAUGUUAGCCCUUCCCAUGAAUAUCUUUCUCCUACUUCUUGGAAGAAACUUCUUUCAACUAAAUCUUUAAAAUACCCAAACCCAAUCUCCUCCAGAGAUUGACUUUGAUUCAAUUGCUUUAUGAAACCCUCUGCAAUCCAAAAUUGAACAAGCGCUUGUACUUCAAUUCUGUAAUCUUUUGGAUACAAUCGGCAAUAAGCAAAGCAAUGCUUCAAAUGAGACGGGAGAUGAUCAUAACUCAAUUUCAGCAUAGGUAGAAGUUCUCCUUCAAUUUGUGAUAUUUUAGGAAGUUCAUUUUCAUUGAAAGAAUGCCACUCAUUUGCAGUUUUCUUCAAAGAUAAUGUACCAGCUAUCGUCCUUAUGGCUAAGGGAACCCCACCACACCUUUCCGAAAUCUGUCUCCCUACUUCCACAAAGGCUGAAUUUGUUGAGUCUGCAUAUCCUUGCUCAAAUGCUAUCUUUUUGAACAAAGACCAAGCAUCAUCAUCAGACAAGCCUUUCAAUUUCAAAACAUGGGAUUGACAUUUAUUAGUUAUCUCCGCUACCCUUAGAGAUCUAGUCGUUACUAUUAUCCUACUCCCUUUAGCCCCACCCAUCAAUAACUUCUUUAGCCUAGACCACCUUUCUGGGUCCUCAUUCCAAAUGUCAUCCAAAACAAGCAAAUAUUUUUUCCCAUCAAUUUUAUCUCGAAGUUGUUUUUGCAGUUGAUCCAUUUCAAGAUUUUGAUCAGGUGCUUGAUGAGUCACAGAUUUGAUAAUGUUUGCUACAAUAACUUUCACAUCAAAAUCAUCUGAAACACACGCAAACAUCGUUAAGUCAAAAUGAUUUUUGACCAUUUCAUGGUUAUAGACAAGUUGGGCCAAAGCAGUCUUCCCUAACCCUCCAAACCCCAAAAUUGGAAUGAUAAAAACAUUCUCUUCACUUUGAAACUCCAACACGAGUUUUAGAAGAGCUGCUUUAUCCUCGUCCCUCCCUAUUAUGUCAUCUUCACGCUCAAAAGAGUGCGUUUGCUGCCUCCUUUUAGUCAUGAAAGAGGUUUCCGCGGGGCGAUCACGCGGAAUGAAGCGAAAAGUGUUGGCCUCACUUUCAAUUGAAGCUAAUCUCGCCUUAAUGGCCUUCAUUUUCCGACCCAUUUUGAGACCAUAAGCAAAUUGGUUUGAGGUUGAGAAGAAAAGGCGUACCUCUUUCGUCAGCUUGUUCCCACCCGAUACAUCUUUCCGCAAAGCUUCAGUAGAGAAAUCAUCGAGCAAGUCGUCGGCAUCAUAAAGUACAUCUUUCAGAUCUAAUCAAGCCAACUUUGACGAGAUUGUCGGUCACCGAUUUCUCUUCUGCGUCAAGAAGCACAGCUUUGAUUUGACAGACAGUGCGUCUGAGGUCGUGGAUGUCAUGUUUUAGAUUCCACCACGGCCCAAGUUGAGAGAGAGCACGAGAGCUCAACUUAAUAAUGAGCUCUGCGGCAAUGUCGAAAGCAAUUGCUUCGGCCAUUGUUGGCUCAAACUGAAAUCAAGGCGAGAAGUGUUUGAUUAGUGAAAGAGGAGGACUAAAAUGAGAAUGAUUCCAACAAGAUGAAACACAGAUGUGGAUCCAUCCACCCAGCAAGUAGUAUAAUGAAAAAAAAAGUAAUGUUCAUUGGUGGGAAAUGGUCCCUCCAUGUGACACAAAUUUCUGAAGGGAGACAAAGUUGGGAUGAUGACACUUGGGGUGCUCUGCACAAUGUGGAGCCGUACAAAUAAUUGAAAUUAAUGAAAAAGCUAUGAAAGAAAAGAGAAAAAAGGAGACAAAUCCCAUGGAAUCCAGGGUGUUUUGAUUGAGGCACAUGCAUUCAAGUCUUUCUAAACCUUCUUCCCACUUACUUUGUGUAAUUGAGUGGGUCUGAAUACUCGGUUCUAACUUAAAUUUAAUAUUUUAUUUUUGAGGGUGAUUGCAGACUGUGAGAUACAACAUGAAGAUUGGGUUUAUGUCAGCUCCAUGGGAAUGUAUUUUAUUAUACCAUCAUGAAGAUUGCUUCCAGUGCUCAUAUCUAUUUAAUUAUUUUAAUACACAUAAAAUUGUUUAUUGUGAGUUGGAUGAUUUUGGUUUGUUUAUUUAAGAUAUUUUAUUUUUAAAUAUAUUCUUAAUUAUUUAUUUUACAUAUUUUAACUUAAUAUAUUUAAUAGUGAUUUUUUUUAAUAAAAAAAAGGACCCAAAGGUUACUACCUCAUUUUAAGUUGCAUCAUAAAUUACAAUGUUAUGGAUAUCGCUAUGAUAAUCAAUCUCAAAAGACAAAUUACAACACUUAGAAAGAGCCCAAUUACAAAGAGAAUCGGCUAAUUUGUUACAACCACGUUUCACCCAUUUGACCUUGGCGGAAACAAAAGAAUCAAGCAUAUUGUGAACUCCUUGAUGCAGUGAUCAAGGAUCGUUAUGUCCUUCUUGUCAAAACUGAAGCAGUUGACAAUACUAGCACAAUCUGUUUCAAAAAUGACGUUAUCGGCUUUAAGAAAUUGAGCAAGCUGAAAACCAUUUAUGAGGGCAUCUACUUCCGCUUUAAUAUUGAUUUUUUAUUCUCAUUUUAUCAGUAUAUUUACAUUUGAAUUCAAAUACAUAUUCUAUAAUUAACUUUAAUCUCACUGUUACAAUACUUAACCUCACUAAAUUACUUGUUUAACAUGAUUAUGGUGAAUUUAUAGAAAGAACAAUCACGAAGCAAAUGCAGAUGCACUUAUCUUUAAAGUGUUAUUAAUGGAAAUUUUAUUAUUUUGAAAAAUAAAAGUAUAAUAACUUUUUUGGCAUUCCAACUUUAUAAAAGAAUUAUUUUAUUAUUUUGAACUUACAUUUUUUUGUCAAACCAUCCAAAAUGGGUGAAAAAGUUAAUGUUUGUUAACUUUGUUGACAUGACAUAUAGGUGGAUUACCACGUGUAUGUCACGUUAGCAAUUAAUUAUUUUUAAAAAAUAUUAAAAAAUAUUUUCUUAUAAAUUUUUUAAUUUUUAAAAUAUUUUUUUGAAUUUUUUAAAAUUUAAAAAAUGAGUAAUUGCUUAUGUGACAUACACAUGGCAAUCAGCGUGUAUGUCACAUUAGCAAAAUUAAUAGACAUUAAUUUUUCACUCAUUUUGGGGUGAUUUGACAAAAAUUACAAGUCUAUGGACUAAAAGAAACGAAAAAUUAAAUGGAGAGAUGAAAUUACUUUUUCUCUAAAGUUGGAGACCAAAAUAAUCAUUAUGGCAAAAAAUAGUUGUUUUUCUUCUCUCUCUUUCUUUUUGGUAUUUUUUAGUGCUAAAAUUUAAGAUGGUGUGGAAUGUUUAUAAUCUUAUUAUUGUUAUAUAUGUUUUCGAUCUCAUUAGAGCUAAUCUCACUAUCUAUAUAAAGAGAGCCUAAAUAUAAUUUGUUUAGCUUCUUUUAAACAUGUUAGUGUUCCCUUGUAUGAUCAUUUACCUCCCGUGAGUAGGGUUGAGUAAAUUAAAUAAAAUAAAAUAAUUGAAAAUCGAUCCAAAUCAAGGUCUUUAGAUGGUUUUUGGAAUACUAAUUAACAAAUCACAAUUAUCCGAAACCAAACCAAAUUAUAUUCUUUAUUUAAUUUAUAAAUAAAUUUAUUUUUUAUAAUUUAAAAAUAAAUCUUUUAUAUUUAAAAAUAGUGAAAAUAAAUAAAUAAAUAUUUUUAUUUACUUAAAAAAAAUUUAAAAAAUAUCUAUGAAAUAAAUUUUGAAAAUUUGUCAAAUGAUAUUUAAAAGCCGUAAAAUAAAGUUUAUUUUAUUAAAAUAAUUAUAAAAAUUUAUAAUAAAAAUCAAACUAAACUAAAUUAUAAUGGAAAGACAAAAAAAUACAAUCGAAUUAAGCUAAGAUUUUCUUAAAAAAAUUAACUUGCAAUGAGAUUGUUUUCCUCACUAUAACCUUGUAGAGGUGUUAUAUAAGUACAUAUCAUAUGAUAAUUAUAAAUUUAAUAAUUUAAUUUUUUAAAAUUAAAUAUAUUACAAAUUAAUAUUUAUAUAAUGAUAUAUUAAAUACAUGUAAAUUUAUUAUCAUAAAUAUAUUUUUAAUUAUUAUUUAAUAUAAAUAAUUUUAUUAUAUUUUAUUAUUUUCAUUUAUAUAAAAUAUAGAAUUUUGAGUUUAUAAUAAUUUCAAAAAAUAUAUAAUUUUCAUAUUCAAAUUUUAUAUAAAUUAAAUCUAAAUAAGUAGAUAUGUAAUAAUAAAUAAAAAUUAAUAAAAAAUAUAUUUAUUAAUAAAUUUAUUAUUUACCAUGAUUGCAAAUUUAGUAUAUGUUAUAUUAUUUAAUGUUAAAUAUAAUCUUUCAUUUUACAAAUAUAAUUUAACAUCCUUAAUAAUCAAUUUAAGGUGAAAACACCUCUCUAGUCCCUUUCAAUUUUGAUAUCAUACAAAUUGGUCCUUCUAAAAAAUUUAGAGCAAUUUUAUCGUUAUUAAUUUUGAAAUUGAGCAACUAAGGAUAAUUAAUCACAACAUUAAUAUUUUUUGUCAUCUGUACACAUUUUUAUUGGUAUAAUAACAGCUUCAGCCCUAAAAGUUUACACAUUCUGUCAAUUUAGUUCUAGUUUAACAAAAUCAAUUUGCAACAUUUACACAUUAUGUAUGAACUGAAUUUGUUAUUAUACUAAUCAAAAUUAUAUACGAGUGACAAAAAAUAUUAACAUUAUUUUUAAUUGUCCUUAGUUCACCUUUGAAAUUGAUAAGGAUUAACUUGUUCCAUUUUUUAGAAAGGGCCCAUUUGCAAAAUAUUGAAUUUAAGAGGGAUCGAAGAGGUGUUUUUAUCCAUUUUUAGCCUCACCUCACUACUACAAUUGUUAUUGAAUCCAAAUAUAUAUCCAACACUGAUUAUUAUCACAUCACUACGGUAUUCAAUCUCACUAUUAUAACAACUAAUAUUACCACCAACGUUAUUUUUCAUUUCACUAGACUUGAUCCAAGUAUACAUCCAAAGAAAACCAUAAACUUAUCUAAAUACAAAUAAAACUAUAAAAAAACUUAUUUAGACAUAAAUUGAAAAUAUAAUUACUUGCUUGAGUUACACAUUUGUCCAAUUAUUCAAUUUGGUCAGAUUGAAGGUUAUUCUUUGAUAAGAUAUUAUUAUUAUUAUUAUUAUUAUUUGCUCUGGGCAAACUUAAUACAACUUGAUUUACUCUUUAUUAAUUAAAAUCAUUUUAUUUAUAUUUAAUUAUAAAAAUGUGUAAAUAUUAUUAAAACAUUAAUUUUUAAUAUUCAAUGAAUAGUGAAAUAGGGUCAACUUAUAAAGCUUAAAGUAUUUAGGAAGUCCCUAUAUUAUAGACUGUAUCAAAAUAGUCUAUUGAUUAUUAAACAGAUCAAAUUUAUUCUUGUAUUAUUAAAAAAGAAUCAAAUUAUAUCAAAUUGUAACAGAAUUAACAUUUAUUGUAACAGAAUUAAUAUUAACAGAGUUAACAAUUUUCAAUACAUUUUUAUGCAAUAAAUGUUAAUUUUGUUGUAAUUUGGUUUUAUUUGAUCAUUUUUAAUAAUACAGAGACUAAUUGACCAUUUAAUAAUAGAGGGACUAAUUUGAUGUAGUCCCUAUAAUACAGGUACUUUCACCCUUAUAUAUGUAUUUGAAUCUUAUUUUGGAUGAAAUUGAACAAUUGAAAAAGAUAAGAGUUCAAAAAGGUAAAAAUAAAUUGUAAUUACAUACAAAAUAAAUCUCCUAUUGUUUAUCUUUUGAGGCUGGUGAGAUGUUGCAGGCACUCAUCUAGCGUGUGAGUGUCCAACCCCUCUAUGUUGUGUACAUGGAAAGAUUUCAAUUUGGAGAGUGGAAGAGAAGAGGUUGAAGUUGAUGGGGCCUUAGCAUUGAUGUUCAUCUUGAUAGUCUGCUUUAACGGCCUUGAACUGGUAUUCCUCAACUCUAGCUUAUCAUCGAGUGAUGGAUACAGUGGCAUCAAAGUCAAAGGGCAAUUUACAAUCCAUAAAGAGGAAAGACAAGGAAAUGCCAUGGUUGAUGAUGUUCCCAUAACGGUUGUGUCGUCCUCGUUGGAAUCAUCAUCGAUUGGUUUUGUCGUCCUCCACCAACUCUUCAUAUUUGGGCAAUCCCGUAAGCAAAGAUACUUAAGCGAUGGGAAGAAUGAUUGUGGUUCUCCUUGACUUCCUUUUGGGCUAUUAUCAUCCAUGUACUCCAGCUUAGUACAAAAGCCAAUCUCCAGCAGUUCAAGACAGGGCAAUUGAGCAAAGGACGGGGGAUAUUUGAAAUUACCACCACUUAUGAAAAUUUUGACGAGAUUUGUGAGCAAAGAAAUCCAACUUGGAAACUCAGCAUCACCCCUCCAUCCUCCAAUAAAGAGCUCCUUGAGAUUAGAAUGGGGCUGGAGGUCUUCAAGUGACUUCUCAUUAUCAUGGUUACCACGGACCCAUAUUAAAACCAACGAUCUCAAAUGUUGCCUCUCUUUCAAAUUAGCAGCCUUAAACUUCUCUUUUGCAUUUUUUACGAAUCCACUUAAGUUGUCAAGCAGCCUCAAUUCACUUACAUCUGCACCGCCAUGGGACCCAUCUUUAUCCACUACAAACAUGCUUAACGUCUCAAGUGAAGUCAGCUUCCCUAUUCCACGUGGCAUAUGAGUUAAGCGAUUACAAUAACGACAAGAAAGAUGGGUAAGAUUCACCAAUUUUUCAAUCUUCUUUGGCAAUUCUUUAAGCCCAGUACACCAGUCAAGUUUCAGCGCUAGCAAAUUCUGAAUCUUGCAAAAACUCUUUGGGAGAAUCUUAAUAUUGUAAUUGGAAGAAAGAUCAAGGUAUCUCAAAUGUUUCAACUUACAAAUGGAGGGUGAAAUCUUUUGAAUACCUAUAGAAUUCAAUUUCAAUACACGCAAGCAUCUGCAAUUUGAAAUUAUAAAAUCCCAAGUUUCAUCACUCAAAUUUUGAUCUAUCUUGUUUGGAAAGUGUAACAAGGUUCGCAACUUCUUUCCCUUAAACAAAGGAAUUAAUGAAGGAGCAAUUGAUAUGUGGCGACAUUUUUCACCAACCUUGCUUGCAAUUUCAUUUGAGUCUACAAUACUACUCUCCGUCCCUGCUACUGAUUCAGCUAGAUCAUGCAUUAAAUCAUGCAUUUUACAUCUCAUAUUCCCAAUUCCAUAUUCUUCUACCUCUUGGAAGAAACUUCUUUCAACUAAAUCUUUAAAAUACCCAAACCCAAUCUCCUCGAGAGAUUGACUUUGAUUCAAUUGCUUUAUGAAACCCUGUGCAAUCCAAAAUUGAACAAGCGCUUGUACUUUAAUUUUGUAAUCUUUUGGAUACAAUCGGCAAUAAGCAAAGCAAUGCUUCAAAUGAGACGGAAGAUGAUCAUAACUCAAUUUCAGUAUAGGUAGAAGUUCUCCUUCAAUUUGUGAUAUUUUAGCAAGUUCAUUUUCUUUGAAAGAAUGCCACUCAUUUGCAGUUUUCUUCAAAGAUAAUAUACCAGCUAUCGUCCUUAUGGCUAAGGGAACCCCACCACACCUUUCCGAAAUCUGUCUCCCUACUUCCACAAAGGCUGAAUUUGUUGAGUCUGCAUAUCCUUGCUCAAAUGCUAUCUUUUUGAACAAAGACCAAGCAUCAUCAUCAGACAAGCCUUUCAAUUUCAAAACAUGGGAUUGACAUUUAUUAGUUAUCUCCGCUACCCUUAGAGAUCGAGUAGUUACUAUUAUCCUACUCCCUUUAGCCCCACCCAUCAAUAACUUCUUUAGCCUAGACCACCUUUCUGGGUCAUCAUUCCAAAUGUCAUCCAAAACAAGCAAAUAUUUUUUCCCAUCAAUUUUAUCUCGAAGUUGUUUUUGCAAUUGAUCCAUUUCAAGAUUUUGAUCAGGUGCUUGAUGAGUCACAGAUUUGAUAAUGUUUGCUACAAUAACUUUCACAUCAAAAUCAUCUGAAACACACGCAAACAUCGUUAAGUCAAAAUGAUUUUUGACCAUUUCAUGGUUAUAAACAAGUUGGGCCAAAGCAGUCUUCCAUAACCCUCCAAACCCCACAAUUGGAAUGAUAUAAACAUUCUCUUCACUUUGAAACUCCAACACGAGUUUUAGAAGAGCUGCUUUAUCAUCAUCCCUCCCUAUUAUGUCAUCUUCACGCUCAAAAGAGUGCGUUUGCUGCCUCACUUUCAAUUGAAGCUAAUCUCGCCUUAAUGGCCUUCAUUUUCCAACCCAUUUUGAGACCACAAACAAAUUGGUUUGAGGUUGAGAAGAAAAGGCGUACCUCUUUCGUCAACUUGUUCCCACCCGAUACAUCUUUCCGCAAAGCUUCAGUAGAGAAAUCAUCGAGCAAGUCGUCGGUAUCAUAAAGUACAUGUUUCAGCUCUUCAAGCCAAACUUUGACGAGAUUGUCGGUCACCGAUUUCUCUUCUGCGUCAAGAAGCACAGCUUUGAUUUGACAGACAGUGUGUUUGAGGUCGUGGAUGUCAUGUUUUAGAUUCCACCACAGCGCAACUUGAGAGAGAGCACGAGAGCUCAACUUAAUAAUGAGCUCUGUGGCAAUGUCGGAAGCAAUUGCUUCGGCCAUUGUUGGUUCAAACUUCAAACUGAAAUCAAGGCAAAAAGUGUUUGAUUCGUGAAAGAGGAGGACUAAAAUGAGAAUGAUUGGAACAAGAUAAAACACAGAUUCGAAGGCUUUGUUUUGAAAGUAAGAUUACACUGCACCUGUUCAUAGACUCGAAGGCUCCUUCGAAAUUCGGAAAGGUUUGGGCAAAAAAUAUUAAGCCCAAAAAUAGACUUGGGUAAAAAAAAAUAUGCUUCCUUAAAAUAUGGGUCGGGCUUGAGCUUGAACAUUUAAGGCAAAAGCUUGACCCAAUCCGAUCCGUUUUAAGUUUAUGUUAUUUUUAUAAAUUAUGUAAUUCAUAACACAUUAAAAAAAUAAAUAUAUAAUACUACUCUAAUGUAAACUUUUAAAAAAAUAUUAAGAUGACUAUAUAAAAAAUUUCAAUAAAUAAAAAAGUAUAAAAUUAUUAAAUAUUAAAAUAAUAUAAUAUAAAUAUUUUUAAAAAUUUUUAAAAAAACAAUAUGGGUGGGCCUAAAAUAGGCUUAGGUUAGUAUUUUACAAAUAUGUACGAGUUUGGACAAAAUUUUAAGUUUAGAUUUCGAGUUGGAUCGGGCCUGGACAAGCAUAAAGUAUAUUAAUAUCAUACUUAGACUUAACCCGAACCCAAUCAACCUAGCCCAUAAACACCUCUAAAAUACACUUUAAAAGAUAAUAUUUGGAUAAGGAUAAAAAUGUUUAAUGAUCUCAAAUUUCUCUACUUCUUCUCUAAAUCAUUCAUAAAAAGGAUGACAAUCAUUUCAUAAUUUUGGUACAAAAUUCCUCUUCAUUUAAAAUUAAACCAACAACAACCAAGUAAAAAAUUGCCAAUAUAAAAUCUUUCACUGCUCCAAACCUAUUAUUCAAACUCUUUUUUCCAACAUGACAUAAAAAUGUGUAACAUGUUAGAAUAAUUAGGUGUUAUUGUAUUAAUCUAAAACGAAAUCUGAUUAAGAGGUCUAAUUUGAAAAUAGUAUGUUUUAAUUAACGUUAGUUUUAAAUUCACAAAAUUAAGAUAGCCAUUUGUGUAAAACGAGUUUAGUAUUGAUAAUUGAUAUUUUAAAAAGAUCAAGCCACCUAUACGGUUAAUGUGAUCUCUUCAGCUCGGUUCUACUGUCUAGGCCGGGUUGAGAAGGUUACAGAAUAAGGUAAAAUUUCCAAUAAUAAAAUGAUGUUAUAGAAAGUGGUUGUUCUAUGAAUAGUAUGUGUCGGUAAUGUUGCCUAAUGCAUUAUUAUCUCUUUCUUCUUCUUUUUAGAUCCUUACAAUUUCCAUGGUAGUAAUGGAAGCAUAAGCAUGUAGAAGCAAUGGUGGCCAACAACAGGUGCAACACAAGGCAUUUCAUCAAAAGAUCGUAAAUGCUUAUAUUCCCAUUCACACUAUUCUAUUUAUCAUCAAAAGAUUCUUAAGGGUGAGUAGGAAUAUGGAUGCUUAACCAUUAAGCCAAACAUAUCGUAAGAUGAAGCUUCAAUUUUGGUUUGCUAACAAUCUUCUUUUUUGGAGGUCGUAGCAAUUACGACAAUUUUCAAUUUAUCCAUUUUGUGAUGAUUUUACAAAUAGUUCAAGUUUAUGAACUAAAUUGAUUUUUCAUAAAGUUGGAAGGUCAAAUAAAUAAUUAUGCUAAAAUAUAAUAGAUGAUUUAAAACCAAAUGAAAAUAUUUAUUUAUUAGAAUUUGAAGUUGCAAUUUCUUGAAAGUUUUUUUAAAAAUAAAGAUGUCUAUUUAUUUGUUUUCUUCACCAAAACUAUUCACAGCUUUAUCUUAAAAGAGAAAGAAAAAAGAAAUCUGAAGUAAAAAAAAAAAUGAGAAAAUAGUAAUCUUAAAGCUUGAUUCAAUCACUUUUUCCUUUUCUUUUUUUUUAAUUGAAAUGUUUUUUCCUCUACUGCAUCCUUAAAAAAAUAGAUCAAUAAAUAAUAAUUAAAAGGGUAAACUAUCAAAAUAGUCAUAUUUAUUUGCCUCAGGUUACAUUUUAGUCAGUGAGUCAUUAAUUGUUAUUAACGGUGUACCAGUAAGCUGAUGUGGCAAGUUAAAUCAUCAUUUCAAAUGAAAAUUUUAGGUUAAAUUCUAUAAUUGGUCCCUAUAUUUUUUCAUUUGAGCAACUUAAUUUUCUUUUAUGUUUAUUUAACUUCUUUUUUUUUCUUUAUUUUACUUUCUCUUCUGCUUCUCUCUCUGUUUUCCUCCCUUAUUCAUUUUUUUAACGUAAUUUUUCUAUGAUUUUCAUUUGUUAAAACUAGUCCCUAUACUUUAAUAAAUCAAUAAAUCAUAAUUAAAACACUAACUUUGAGUAAUAUAAUUUUUUUAACUUAAUAAAUUUUCAUUCCGGAACAAAUAUGAUUUCAAUUAAUAUAUAUAAUCAUUUAGGUGGAGCAAGGAAAUAAUUUUGAUUGGACUAAUAAUAUUAUACGAGUCAAUAAAACUCAUUGAAAUAUUAUUUCAAAUUGCAGAGUUGUAAGAUUAAAUUAGAUGUGAUCAUGGGUCGGGUUUAGACAUAAUAUUAACUCAUUUUAUAUUUCGUCCGUCAAAAUUUGAAUGUUCAUGCUUGGAAACCGUAACAAGAAGGAAAUAAUGAAGGAUUAAUUGGUAAGUGGAGAUAUUUUUCACCAUCCUUAAAUUUAAAGUUGUCAAAGAAAAUCUGUAGCGAAGAGUAGUAAUGGGAGCAUAAGCAUGUAGAAGCAAUAUUGGUGGGAUUUCAUCUUAUUAGCUGCUUUGGAAGAGGUUCUUAAGGAUGAGUAGGAAUAUGGAUGCUUAACCAUUCAGCUUAAUUCUCAUUAAGCUGUUUAAAAUUUUUGAAAAUUUUAAUUCCAAAUUUGACUUCAUUUAUUCUCUUAUAGUUAUAGUUUAUUUGAAUGCUUGGAACUAAGCUUUCACGUUGUUACAUUAUUGAAAAUUACUUGUAUUUUGAUAAGGAAAAUAAAGAGAAAAAUAACAAUUGAUUUUUUUAUCUAUUUUAUCUAUUUUAGAGUGAUUUGAAAAAUAAUACAAGUUUAAGGACUAAAUUAAUUUUAUAAGGAUGAUUAUAUAUUAAAGUUUGACAAUGAUUGUACAAAGCUAUUUUAUUCAUAACCAAGUCAAGAAAUUGUCACUCCACACAGUUGUCUACUUUUUCAAAAUCUACUUUAAAAGAUAGCACCUCCCCUUCUUCACAUCUUUGAAUAUAGUUCACAGUUUCGUUUUUACUGGAGCACGAUCCAGGAUUUAUCAAUCUGAAAUAAAAGUAAAAUUGAAUUUUAUCGAUUGUUCUGAGCCGAGCUUUGAAUCUAUAAAGUCAAAAUUUUUCAAUGGGGUUAGUGGACUUUACUUUAGUUUAAUUGAAAAUAGCUUUGAACAUAUAUAGACAUCUUUUCUCCCCUUGCUUGAGCUGUUGAACUAAACUAACUUUAUUCAUAUAAUAUUAAUUUUACCCAAAAUUUUCCGUUUCAACGAAAACAAAAUUCCUAAAAUACAAAAGUUAAUGGAAGAUAAAGAAGACAUUGGAUCUAGGUUUAGUUGUUUUGUAAUAAGCUAAAAGGGAUGCAGUUGUUGCAGGGCAUCCAUAUUUGUAUCCUCAACAUUUGGUAACUGAUGGGAGCUAUGCUAAACAUUCAACCAAUCAUUAGGUACUGAAACGUUUUCAUUAAAUGAUAGUCUUACAUAAUGUACACAAGAUUGCCUGAUAGUUAGUUGUGUUUCCAUGUGUUGGAUUAUUAUUUGAAACCCCAAAAGAGAAAAAUGUAUUUUUUUUUUUAAGAUGGCACACACAAAAGUAAAAAUAAAGGAGAAUAAAGAACACAACCAAGAUGUUUACGUAGUUCAGAACUCAUCCUACAUUUGUGAGCUUUGUCUAGAGAUAAAAUCGCUAUAAACUUUACAGUACAAUGAAAUUAUUUAUGCCCAACUCUCCAAACUUGGUGCAACCUCACCUUUGUACAAUUAAGUAAACACUCUUCCAACUUAGUGAAAAUCAACACUCAUAAGGUGGCACUCAACUAAUAGUUACUAACUAAAUGUUCCUUUUAAGUCCACAAAUCAUCAAUUUAUACAAGCUCCAAGAUCAGAUGAUGAAGAAUGCAUACAGAUUGAGUCUUCAACAAAGAAAAAAAGAAAAAGAAAGAACAAAUGUGCAUAGAGAGGAGGAUUUCAUGGGAGCACAAUGCCAUGGACAGAUCAGCUGAUGAAGAAUGCAUGUCCUGGUUUUUGGCUCUUCCAUUGAACUCAUGCUGAAAAAGAAGCAGCUUAGUUACGAGGUUAUAUUAGAUCAUUUGAAAUUAUGAGAUUAUUAUGAUUUUAAAAAUGUAAAGCAAUUAAGUAAUUACCACCUAUUUUUCUGCAUCUAAAUUCUUGAAGUUGUCAAAUGCCUUUCAGAAAAAUACAUGCCAAUCGAAUAUGUGGGCAGAUAAACAAAUGAGGGUAGAAAGUAUGAUCUCUGCUUUUUGUAUUGCAUGCUAUGCUCCGCCGAAGAAUAAAGCCAAAAGCUAACAAAAAUGAAGGGUAAAAAGAUUAAAAAUUUCAAGAUAAAACAUAAAAUUGUAUGUACAUAUGAUUAAGAUUUAAAUUAGGAAAAUGAACAAAGCAGAGCAUGAAGUAGAAGCAUAUUGAAGGCUGGCAUGCAAGCAUUUUGGAAAAUGCCCAUUGGGUACCAAUAAAGAUUUUUUAGAAUUAAAGUAUUAGAAGCUAUGAAAUGAUAGAUAUGAACCACCAAAAUGCUUCACACUACAUCUAAAUUAUUCAAUUUUGUUUUAUGGAAUCAAAUAGAAAAUAAAUGAGUGGCAUGAAUUACCUGUCAUUCCUUGUUGGUAUUUGGUGUAAGCUGCAAUUUCAAAUGUGUAUACACAUAUGGAUUUCAUCAGAUCAUUGCGAUGGUGAGAUUAAUAUAAUUUAAAAGCGUAAAGCAAUUAGCUAGAUUACCACUUUUUUUUUCUGCGUUUGAAUUCUUGAAAUUGCCAAAUUCGUUUCACUAAAAGUCUUCGAUGCUUACUGCACAAACUAGCCAAAUAAAAUGAUAAAUAAAGAAAUUGCACCAAAAGCUUGUUCUAUUUUGGCAAAAGAGGCUGUAGUUGGAGAGUCAAUAUACCAACCUGUAGCGAUCUGAGCAAUAUUAUGCCAAUCGGCACCAAUCCCCUUUCGAUAUCUUUCCUCCAACUGAGGAAUUCGUUUCAUAAAGAACUCUUCCAAACUGGUUCUCGUCCGGAAGCGAUGUUAAAUUAGGCAAAUAAGAGAGAAUAAGCCUUGGAAGAUUUGUUCGAUGUUGAAGCCACUCCGGAAGAUGGCGACACUUUAGAAUCUUUGCCAGCGUUAGAGAGCGCAGGCUUAUAUGAUCUUGGAAUAUUUGGAAGUUAGGUGCAGAUAACUCCAGCUCCUUGCAGUUACUUAUUGCAUGCCCUCUAAAUCAACCUCCUUGCAAUCUCCUAUUGUCAAUUUUUUGAGGCCGGUGAAAACAGAUUAAUGGAAACCAUGUAGUUUUCAAAGGUGAAUAAAUAAGGAAAAUUAAGAUCGGUGUUAACAAUUUUUACUAAUAUUUUGAAAACAUUUUAAAACAUUUUAAAUAAUAUUUUAGCUAACCAAAUUAAAAAUUGUACCCUAACCAAAUUAUAGACAAGUGUAUUUGAUUAAUUUAAAAAAAAAUUAUUUUAGCUUAUAUAAGGGUUAAAAUAUUUGGAAAGUUUAAAAUUAGUCCCUCUAUUAUUAAAUGGACCAAUUUUAUCCCAAUACUACUAAAAAGAACUAAAUAAGGUUAAAUUGUAACAGAUUUAACAUUAAUAGAAUUAACAAAUUUCAAUAUAUUUUUUAUAAAAUAAACCUUGAAUUUGUUAUAAUUUAACUUUAUUUGAUCAAUUUUAAUAGUACAGGUAAUAAAUUAAUAGCAUUAACAAAUUUCAAUAUAUUUUUUAUAAAAUAAAUGUUUUGCCUUUGAUGGAUGUUUGAAAAAUGAUUCAGUUGACAUCCAUAAUGUCUAUCACUAUAGUUUCCCCCUUAUGUAGAAUAUGACUGCUAGUUUGUCAGGCAAAAUUAUGUUCGUAUAUUAUGUUCUUUUUCUUAUUGUCUUCAACACGAUAACAAGUGAAUUACUAGUUACUUUACUUGAUUUUGUCAUGCCAUUUAUCUCUUUGAGUUUUGGCCUUUCUGAAUUAACUUUUGAAUCACGUAGUGAAGCAUUUCUGAUGGUUCUUAUGACUAACAGUAGGCUUUCUUAUCCAAGCUCUCCUACAUAUGCAUUUCUUAAACUUAUGCUCUUUUCUUCAUUUCAGUUGGUUGUUAAUCUUGAUAUAACCAUGCACAAAUACUAAUACUAAGGGACCUUGUAAUUUUGCCUGCCAUUGGAACUAUUCUGAAAUAUUGCUGAUUUUUCUCAGCAAUUAAAGAGGAAGAGCGCAGCAGACAAAAAUGAAGUUGAGUCUAGCCAACAUAAUACAAGAUGUGUUAUUCAACUUGUAGUUUGAUGUGUGCCAACAUAAGCAUCAACACACAAGUCAUACAUAUAAACAGCCAGGAAACCGACAUCUUUUGGAAGAGUCCUAAUCCAAGCAUCAUAAUUGAACAUAGUCUUGGAAUACUGUCUAAAAAAAUGGUUGUCUCAUCAUCAAUUGUGCAUCCCUGCAUUUGAAUGCUGUUUCGAACACUAAAAAAACAUAAAUGUGUUUUUUCUGAGUUGACACGUAUUAUGCAACAAGGAAAACAAAGAGCACAAUUAAGAUGUUUACACAGUUCAAAACUAGUCCUACAUCUGCGGCGCCUUACCCAAAGAUGAAUACACUAUGAACUUCAUAGUACAAAGAAAUGAUUUAAGCCCAACCCCUCUAACACUUGAUGCAAUCUCAACUUCAACCUCACCACCAAAUAUUCUGAAGCAUCUUCCUUUUUUUCCUGUUUGGACCUUCAAAAUAACAAACUUGGCUGGAACUCCAAACAGCUAAAAGAGUACCCUACAUCAAUAAAUAUUAUGAAUUUGAAUACCUCCAAAAGCCUGUCAAUAUCACAGGUACCAUCUAAGAUAGUAAUCAGCUGGCAUAUAUUAAGAGAAAAUAUAAAUAUAUAUAAAGAUGUGAUAGGUAAGUACUUAAAUGAAGAAAGCAGAGCAUAUAGUACAACCAUUUUGAAGGCUUCAUAGGCCUCUCUCUCCACAUCAAUGAUUUUUUAGAAUUAAAUUAUUAGAAGCAAUUGUCAAGUUAUUAUUAUGAUUUAAAAGUAAAAAGCAAAUAGAUAAAUUAGUACCUCUUUUUAUGCAUAUAAAAUGAUUGAAGUUGACUAAUGCCUUUCUCCAAUGCCUUACUGCACAAAUCACCAAAAAUACUAUGAAAGAUGAUAAGUAAAAAGUAGGAUUAAAACAAAGGGAUUUUAACAAGGAAGUUAACAGUAUCCAACUUCAAUGAAAAAUGGCAUCCAGACCCCUGACUUGGAGAUUCAAUAUACCACUCUUAUUUUUCUUCAAAAAAAAGAUAAGGUCAUCAAAAUAAAUAAAUAACAAAGAUAGACCAACCUGAUACAACCGAAUGUCGGGGAUGUGAGCAAUCUUUUGCCAAUCAGCGCCAAUGUCCUUCCGACAUCUUUCCUUCAACUGAGGAAUUUCUUGUACUUGUAAAUACUCCAAACUGGUUAGGCAACGCAUCUCGUCCGGAAGAGAUGUUAAAUUGGGCAAAUUAACGAGAUAAAGCCGUUGCAGAUUUGUUAGAUGUUGAAGCCACUCCGGAAGAUGCCGACACUUUGGAAUAUAUUCCAGCCGUAGAGAGCGUAGGCUUGUAUGAUCUUGGAAUAUUUGGAUGCCAGCUCCAGAUAACUCCAGCUCCUCGCAGUUCCUUACUUCAAACUCUUCAAGGAAAGUGAGAUGUUGGAACACAGGAAGCAGUGACCUCAAUCCAUUCCAGUUAUGAAUUUUUAAUGUUUUCAAUUGAACAAGAUGUUGAAGCCAAAUGGGGAGAGACACCAGCUUUGGAAUAUUAUAAAUCUCCAAAUGAGAGAGAUUCUUAAGGGGUUCCCAUUGCAUGCCCUCUAAAUCAACCACCUUGCAAUCUCCUAUUGUUAAUCUUUUGAGGCUGGUGAGAUGUUGCAGGCACUCAUCUAGCGUGUGAGUGUCCAACCCCUCAAUGUUGUGUACAUGGAAAGAUUUCAGUUUGGAGAGUGGAAGAGAAGAGGUUGAAGUUGAUGGGGCCUUAGCAUUGAUGUUCAUCUUGAUAGUCUGCUUUAACGGCCUUGAACUGGUAUUCCUCAACUCUAGCUUAUCAUCGAGUGAUGGAUACAGUGGCAUCAAAGUCAAAGGGCAAUUUACAAUCCGUAAAGAGGAAAGACAAGGAAAUGCCAUGAUUGAUGUUCCAAUAACUGUUGUGUCGUCCUCGUUGGAAUCAUCAUCGAUUGGUUUUGUCAUCCUCCACCAACUCUUCAUAUUCGGACAGUCCCAGAGCGAAAGAUGCUUAAGUGAUGGGAAGAAUGAUUGUGGUUCUCCUUGACUUCCUUUUAGGCUAUUAUCAUCCAUGUACUCCAGCUUAGUACAACGCUCAAUCUUCAGCAGUUCAAGACAGGGCAAUUGAGCAAAGGACGGCAAAUAUUUGAAAUUAUCACCGCUUAUGAAAAUUUUGACGAGAUUUGUGAGCAAAGGAAGCCAACUUGGAAACUUGGCCUUGCCCCUCCAUCCUGCAAUACAGAGCUCCUUGAGAUUAGGAUGGGGCUGGAGGUCUUCAAGCGACUUCUCAUCGUCAUCAUCAAAACGAAGGCUCCAUUCUAAAAGCAACGAUCUCAAAUGUUGCUUCUCUUUCAAAUUAGCAGCCUUAAACUUCUCUUUUGCAUUUUUUACGAAUCCCAAAUUUCUUAUUCUUAACUCUCCCCUUAAGUUGCUAAGCAGUCUCAAUUCACUUAGAUCUGCACCGCCAUGGGACCCAUCUUCAUCCACUACAAGCAUGCUUAACGUCUCAAGUGAAGUCAGCUUCCCUAUUCCACGUGGCAUAUGAGUUAAUUCCCAACAAUCUUUACACCUAAGAUGGGUAAGAUUCACCAAUUUUUCAAUCUUCUUCGGCAAUUCUUUAAGCCCAGUACACCAGUCAAGUUUCAGCGCUAGCAAAUUCUGAAUCUUGCAAAUACUCUUUGGGAGAAUCCUAACGGGAUUCUCAGAAAGAUCAAGGUACCUCAAAUGUUUCAACUUACAAAUGGAGGGUGAAAUCUUAUGAAUACCUAUAGAAUUCAAUUUCAAUACACGCAAGCAUCUGCAAUUUGCAAUUAUCAAAUCCCAAGUUUCAUAGCUGAAAUCUUGACUUAAUCCGUAUUGAAAAUGUAACAAGGUUCGCAACUUCUUUCCCUUAAACAAAGGAAUUAACGAAGGAUUAAUUGAUAUGUGGCGACAUUUUUCACCAACAUCACUUGCAAUUUUAUUUGAAUCUACAAUACUACUCUCCAUCCCUGCUACUGAUUCAGCUAGAUCAUGCAUUAAAUCAUGCAUUUUACAUGUCAUAUUCCCAAUUCCAUAUUCUUCUACCUCUUGAAAGAAACUUCUUUCAACUAAAUCUUUAAAAUACCCAAACCCGAUCUCCUCCAGAGAUUGACUUUGAUUCAAUUGCUUUAUGAAACCCUGUGCAAUCCAAAAUUGAACAAGCGCUUGUACUUGAAUUGUGUAAUCUGUUGGAUACAAUCGGCAAUAAGCAAAGCAAUGCUUCAAAUGAGACGGGAGAUGAUCAUAACUCAAUUUCAGUAUAGGUAGAAUUUCUCCUUCAAUUUGUGAAAUUUUAGCAAGUUCAUUUUCUUUGAAAGAAUGCCACUCAUUUGCAGUUUUCUUCAAAGAUAAUGUACCAGCUAUCGUCCUUAUGGCUAAGGGAACCCCACCACACCUUUCCGAAAUCUGUCUCCCCACUUCCACAAAGGCUGAAUUUGUUGAGUCUGCAUAUCCUUGCUCAAAUGCUAUCUUUUUGAACAAAGACCAAGCAUCAUCACCAGACAAGCCUUUCAAUUUCAAAACAUGGGAUUGACAUUUAUUAGUUAUCUCCGCUACCCUUAGAGAUCGAGUAGUUACUAUUAUCCUACUCCCUUUAGCCCCACCCAUCAAUAACUUCUUUAGCCUAGACCACCUUUCUGGGUCCUCAUUCCAAAUGUCAUCCAAAACAAGCAAAUAUUUUUUCCCAUCAAUUUUAUCUCGAAGUUGUUUUUGCAAUUGAUCCAUUUCAAGAUUUUGAUCAGGUGCUUGAUGAGUCACAGAUUUGAUAAUGUUUGCAACAAUAACUUUCACAUCAAAUUCAUCUGAAACACACGCAAACAUCGUUAAGUCAAAAUGAUUUUUGACCAUUUCAUGGUUAUAGACAAGUUGGGCCAAAGCAGUCUUCCCUAACCCUCCAAACCCCACAAUUGGAAUGAUAUAAACAUUCUCUUCACUUUGAAACUCCAACACGAGUUUUAGAAGAGCUGCUUUAUCAUCAUCCCUCCCUAUUAUGUCAUCUUCACGCUCAAAAGAGUGCGUUUGCUGCCUCCUUUUAGUCAUGAAAGAGGUUUCCGCGGGGCGAUCACGUGGAAUGAAGCCAAAAGUGUUGGCCCCACUUUCAAUUGAAGCUAAUCUCGCCUUAAUGGCCUUCAUUUUCCGACCCAUUUUGAGACCAUAAGCAAAUUGGUUUGAGGUUGAGAAGAAAAGGCGUACCUCUUUCGUCAGCUUGUUCCCACCCGACAGAUUUUUCCGCAAAGCUUCAGUAGAGAAAUCAUCGAGCAAGUCGUCGGCAUCAUAAAGUACAUGUUUCAGCUCUUCAAGCCAAACUUUGACGAGAUUGUCGGUCACCGAUUUCUCUUCAGCAUCAAGAAGCAAAGCUUUGAUUUGACAGACAGUGCGUCUGAGGUCGUGGAUGUCAUGUUUGAGAUUCCACCACAGCCCAACUUGAGAGAGAGCACGAGAGCUCAACUUAAUAAUGAGCUCUGCGGCAAUGUCGGAAGCAAUUGCUUCGGCCAUUGUUGGUUCGAACUGAAAUCAAGGCAAAAAGUGUUUGAUUCGUGAGAGAGGAGGACUAAAAUGAGAACAAUCCCAGCAAGAUGAAACACAGAUGUGGAUCCAUCCACCCAGCAAGUAGUAUAAUUAAAUAAAAAGUAAUGUUGAUUGGUGGGAAAUGGUCCCUCCAUGUUUACUGUUUGACACAAAUUUCUGAAUGGAGACAAAGUUGAGAUGAUGACACUAGGGGUGCUCUGCACAACGUACAAAUAAUUGAAAUUAAUGAAAAAGCUAUGAAAGAAAAGAGAAAAAGGAGACAAAUCCCAUGGAAUCCAAGGUGUUUUGAUUGACGCCAAUGCAUUCUGGUCUUUCUAAGGAUGGGUUUGGAUGGGCGAUUGGGUGCGGUGCGGUGCGUUUAACUUACUUUUGGUGUCACGCUACAGUAUCGCUACAGUAUUUAAUCUCACCACCACCUCUGUUUUUACACUAUCCACAGAUAAACGCACCGCCAAUCCAAACUCAUCCUAAACCUUCUUCCCACUUACUUUUGUGUAAUUGAGUGAGUCUCAAUACUCGGUUCUAACUUAAAUUUAAUAUUUUAUUUUUGAGUUUAACUUCGGUUAAAUAUAUAAAAUUAAAAUUAAAAUUCAUUGGCCAUUAGAAUCAAAUAUUAUUAAAUUCGAAUAUGAUUAAAUCAAUAAUUUAAACAUAACUUAUUGACUACUAAAUCAAAUUUAAAUCUUUUUCGAAUCGAAUUUAAUUAACUUACAAAUAUGAUUAUCAUGUCCUCCUUGUGAAAACUAAAGCAGUUGACAGUGCUAGUACAAUCUGCUUCAAAAAUGACAUUAUCGACUUUAAGAAAUUGAGCAAGCCGAAAACCAUCGAUGAGGGCAUCUAAUUCUGCUUUAAUAGUGAUUUUUUAUUCUCAUUUUAUCGGUAUAUUUACAUUUGAAUUCAAAUACAUAUUCUAUAAUUAACUUUAAUCUCACUGUUACAAUACUUAACCUCACUAAAUUACUUGUUUAACAUAAUUAUGGUGAAUUUAUAGAAAGAACAAUCACGAAGCAAAUGUAGAUGCACUUAUGUUUAAAAUGUUAUUAAUGAAAAUUUUAUUAUUUUAAAAAAUAAAAGUAUAAUAACUUUUUUGGCAUUCUAACUUUAUAAAAGAAUUAUUUUAGCUCUCUAUUUAUUUUCCUUCUUUUUUAGUCUUUCAUUUUACAUUUUUUUGUCAAACCAUCCAAAAUGGGUGAAAAAGUUGACGUUAAUUAACUUUGUUGACAUGACAUAUAGGUAGAUUACCACGUGUAUGUCACUUUAGCAAUUAAUUAUUUAAAAAAUAUUAAAAAAAUAUUUUCUUAUAAAUUUUAAAAUAUUUUUUAAAUUUUUUUAAAAUUUUAAAAAAUAUUUUAUUGCUUAUGUGGCAUAUACGUGGCAAUCUGCGUGUAUGUCACAUCAGUAAAAUCAAUGGACGUUAAUUUUUCACUCAUUUUGAAGUGAUUUGACAAAAUUUACAAGUUUAAGAACUAAAAGAAACGAAAAAUUAAAUGGAGAGUUAAAAUGACUUUUUCUAUAAAGUUGGAGACCAAAAGAAUCAUUAUGGCAAAAAAUAGUUGUCUUUCAUCUCUCUCUCUCUCUCUUUUUUGGUUAUUUUUUAGUGUUAAAAUUCAAGAUGGUAUGGAAUAGUUUUUAAUCUUAUUAUUGUUAUAUAUAUAUAUAUAUAUAUAUAUAUAUAUAUAUUUUCGAUCUCAUUAGAGUUAAUCUCACUGUCAAUAUAAAGAGAGCCUAAAUAUAAUUUGUUCAUCUUCUUUUAAACAUGUUAGUGCUCCUUUGUAUGAUCAUUUACCUCCUGUAAGUAGGAUUGAGUAAAUAAAAUAAUUAAAAAUCGAUUCAAAUCAAGGUGUUUAGACGGUUUACAGAAUACAAAUUAAAAAAUCACAAUUAUCCGAAACUAAAUCAAAUUCUAUUUUUUAUUUAAUUUAUAAAUAAAUUUAUUUUUUAUAAUAUAAAAAUAAAUCUUUUAUAUUUAAAAAUAGUGAAAAUAAAUAUAUUUUAAAAAUAUUAUAUAAAAGUAUUUGAUUAUUUUUAUUUACUUAGAAAAAAUUUAAAAAUAUCUUUGAUAUAAACUUUCAAAAUUUUUCAAAUGAUAUUUAAAAACUGUAAAAAAAAAGUUUAUUUCAUGAAAAUAAUUAUAAAAAUUUAUAAUAAAACUUUGAACUAAACUAAAUUAUAAUGGACGGAUUAAAAAAUAGAAUCGAAUUAAACAAAUAUCACUUGAUUUUAUUGCACUAAACUGGACAUAAAAGAUUUUCUUAAAAAAUUUAACCUGCAAUGAGAUUGUUUUUCUCACUAUAACCUUCUAGAGGUGUUAUAUAAGUACAUACCAUUGAUAAUUAUAAAUUUAAUUAUUUAAUUGUUAUAAAAAUUAAAUAUAUUACAAAUUAAUAUUUAUAUAAUGAUAUAUUGAAUACAUGUAAAUUUAUUAUCAUAAAUAUAUUUUUAAUUAUUAUUUAAUAUAAAUAAUUUUAUUAUAUUUUAUUAUUUUCAUUUAUAUAAAAUAUAGAAUUUUAAGUUUAUAAUAAUUUCAAAAAAUAUAUAAUUUUCAUAAUCAAAUUUUAUAUGAAUUAAAUCUAAAUAAGUAGAUAUGUAAUAAUCAAUAAAAAAUUAAUAAAAAUAUAUUUAUUAAUAAAUUUAUUAUUUACCAUGAUUGCAAAUUUAGUAUAUAUUAUAUUAUUUAGUGUUAAAUAUAAUCUUUCAUUUUACAAAUAUAAUUUAACAUCCUUAAUAAUCAAUUUAAGGUGAAAACACCUCUCUAGUCCCUUUCAAUUUUGAUAUCAAGCAAAUUGGUCCUUUUAAAAAAUUUAGAACAAUUUUAUCAUUGUUAAUUUUGAAAUUGAGCAACUAAGGAUAAUUAAUCACAACGUUAAUAUUUUUGUCAUCUAUACAUAAUUUUAUAGGUAUAAUAACAACUUUAGCCCUAAAAUUUUACACAUUUUGUCAAUUUAGUUCUAGUUUAACAAAAUCAAAUUGCAACAUUUACACAUUAUGUACGAACUGAAUUUGUUAUUAUACUAAUCAAAAUUAUAUACGAGAGACAAAAAAAUAUUAACAUUAUUGUUAAUUGUCCUUAGUUCACUUUUGAAAUUGAUAGGGAUUAAAUUGCUCCAUUUUUUUAGAGGGGCCAAUUUGCAAAAUAUUGAAUUUAAGAGGGAUUGAAGAGGUGUUUUUAUCCAUUUUUAACCUCACCUCACUACUACAAUUGUUAUUGAAUCCAAAUAUAUAUCCAACACUGAUUAUUGUCACAUCACUAACGUAUUCAAUCUCACUAUUACAACAACUAAUUUUACCACCAACGUUAUUUUUAAUUUCUUUAGAAUUCAUCCAAUUAUACAUCCAAAGAAAACCAUAAACUUAUCUAAAUAAUUGUUAUAAAAAUUAAAUAUAUUACAAAUUAAUAUUUAUAUAAUGAAUACAUGUAAAUUUAUUAUCAUAAAUAUAUUAUUCAUUGAAUAUUAUUAUACGUGAUUUUAUAUAUUUAUUUUUUAUUCACUGAAUAAUAUAUUUUUAUUUUAUGUAAUUAAUACAAAUAUAAUAUUAUUCAAAUUGUGGUACAUAAUUAAAAUAGUGUAACAAUAAAAAAUUCAAACAUAAAAGUUUGGAAGUAAAUAAUAAUGAAAUAAAAUUUUUAGUGAUUUUAACUACUAAUUUAAUAAAAAAUUAAAACAUACUAUUCUUAUGUAUAAUUUAUAAUUUAAUAUAAAAUAUAAUUUUAAUUAUUUUUAAUAUAAACAUAGUUUUGAUAUUUUUAAUUAUUAUUUAAAAUAUUUUAUUAUAAUAUAUAAAUUAAUAUAUAUAUAAUAUAAAAAUCUAUAAAAGAAUUCCAAAUUUCAAUUAUUAUAAUAUAAAUUUUAUAUCUAAAAAUCCUGAAUUAAAUUAAAUUAAUUCAAUUGAAUUGGACAAACAAAUUCGACCGAAAAUCAUUUGAUAUGAUUGGUUGGAUUACCAAUCUAAUUUUAAAAACCUUGACCAGGACAACAUCAAUAUGUGAAUUUGUUUAAUAUUGUUUAUUUAAUAAGUCUAAAUUUUGAGCAUCUAAAAUGUUAAUAAAAUCUUAUUUCUAAUUAUUUUCAUACAUUGAAUAUGUCAUUUCACUUUGUUAGAACUUGUUUAAAAGAAUAUUGUAUGCUUCAAUGGAAGUCACAAUUUUACGGAAAAAUUUCGUAAAAAUUUCGUUCGAAAAUUUCGACGUUUGGGCACUCAAUUUAGUCAAAAGGACUAAAUUGUAAAAAGUGCCAAAGUUGAGUUCUACAUGUUAGAAGUGUCUAAUUGUUAUGAGAUUAUAAGUUGGGGGUCCUUAUGUGGUAAUUAGACCAUUAGUUAAUUUAUGGACAAAAAUAGACAUAAGAAAUGGGUGAAAUAUAUAUUUUUUAAGUAGGGGCAUUUUAGUCAUUUGGUAAUAAAAAGAAUAAAAUGGGAAAAAGAUGACAAAAAUCAUCAUCUUCUCCAUAAGUUGCUGUCAAAUUUGAAGAGUCACCAUAGCUAGGGUUUCUUCACUUUCUCAAGCUCAUAGUAAGUGCAUCCUAGCCCUGUUUUUAAUGUUCUUCGCAUUUUUGGAAUCCUCGUAGCUCGGUUUAGCUUAUUCUAUCAAUAAUUCAUGUUAGGGUUCAUAUUUGGAAAAAUAUCCAUAGGUGAAAUGUGUUUAUUUUUCUGUUUUAUGGUAGAAUAUGAAGCUAGAAAUUAUGUUAAACAACUUUUGCUAAGUGAUUUUAAGCAAAAACGAGUAAAUCGACAUAAUCGGUAAAAAUAUUUAUUGUUCAUAAGUGUAUGUUAGAGUGAGAAUUUGAUGUUGCCAUAGAAGGGAAAAGUGUUCAGCAUGUUGUAAAACAUAAGAAUAAGGUGUGAAAUUUAAUUUUCGAGCUUGGGGACAAAAAUGUAAUUAUGCAAAAGUUUAGGGGCAAAAUUGUAAUUUUAUAAAAGUUGAGUCGAAGCUUGUUUUAAUAAAUGUGAAUAUUAAACAAGCUCAAUUUUCUGUUAUAGAUCAAGAAAGAUGAGAAAUCAACCUUAAUCGGGGAAAAGAGAAGAUUGAGGAUUAAAUUGCAAAAUCUUUACAUUUUGUAUCGAGGUAAGUUGUAUGUAAUUAAUAUUGUUAUAAUUGUUUUCGUUAUAUUUUGUGACAAUAUACGUGAAAGGGUUGAUAUUAUAAUGUGUUUUGAAUGAGUUGUAAAUAUAUUUGGAAAGUAAGAAUCUUUGUGGAAAUGUCGUAAUGCUAAAGAUUUGAGUAAGGUAUCGAUGAACACGUGUGUAGUAUUGUGUGAAGGCUACUACGUGUAUCGAUAAGUAAUGUUCACAUGGGUAGUACUAAGUGAAGGCUACUAUGUGUACCAAGAAGCUUUGAGCACGUGUGUAGUACUGUGUGAAUGCUACCACGUGUCUCGGUAAACUACGGUCACAUGUGUAGUACUAAGUGAAGGCUACUAUGUGUACCAAGAAGCUUUGAGCACGUGUGUAGUACUGAGUGAAGGCUACUACGUGAGCCGUAAAACUUGAUCACGUGUGUAGUACUAUGUGAAGGCUACUACGUGAAUUGUAAAACUGAUCACGUGUGUAGUACUAUGUGAAGACUACUACGUGUAUCGAAUGAUAAAAAUAAUAUGAGUAGUACUAUGUGAAAAGCUCCGAAUAUUAUUUUAUAUAUACCGUCAUGAUGAUGAAAUUUGAGUAUGUGAUCGGAAUGUAAUAAGUUGUGAAAAUCGAUUGAAGUGAUGAAAUUUGCGUUGUGUUAUAAAAUAAGUGGUUAUAGUGCUAUGUGAAUAAGGAAUGUUGGAAUAGAACAGAUUUGGACAGUGACAGUGAUGUUAGUUUGAAAAAUCACCAAAAACUAUAAAAAUUGAGUUAGAGGUUGAAUAAUAUAUGAGAUUGAAGCUGAAUGAAUCUAUUUUCAUAUGGAAGAAACAAAGCAAGCAAAGGAGUUGUAUGUUUGGAGAUAUUUAAACUUUAUUGAGACAGGGUUGGAUUGAUUUCGAAAUCCCAUGUUUCAACUUUGGAAAAUCACCAAAAAUUGUAAAAAAAUAAUUAUGGCUUGAAAUUUAUAUUCUUGAAUUCCUUAAUGAGUCUAUUUUUAAUAGAAAGAAACAAGAACAUUGUUUAAAUUUUGUACAAAGAGUUAAAUAAAUUUUAGUGAAGAGAGGUCAGAAGUGUCAAAGAGUGAAACAGGGGAACAUUUAGAGAAUAAACUGUACUAAUUGGCUAAAAAAAAAUUCUGAAAAUUUUAUGGUAAGAAUAUAUGUGAGUCUAGUUUCAGAGAAAAUUUACGGAUCUCAAUUCGGAGUUCUGUAUCUCCGGAUAAAAAUAAUUUACCGACUGUGAUGUAGAAAAACAGUUUGUUGGAAGUUGACUAAAUGAUAGAUUUAUGUGUGAUAGAAAUGAUAUAAUAUAUGAUACUAUCUUAGAAAUUUAUUUAUCGAUUACAUACAUACUUACUAAGCUGUAAGCUUACCCCUCUUUAUUUUUCCUUUGUUUUAUAGUGAUAUUAAUCAACUCGGGAAUUGGACGGAGUUAGAACAUCAUCCUCACUAUCAUCACCAACUUUUGGGUAUUUUGCAAUCAAUACUUUUGAAAAAUGGCAUGUAUAGAUGACUUAAUGCAAUGUAGUUUAAACUUAUAUAUAUAUAUAUAUAUAUAUAUAUGUAUAAAAUAUCGUUUGGUUUAAAAUGUCGGUAUCUAUAAUUGAUGAAUUAUUUCCUUAAAUCUUUUGUUCAUAUAGUUUAGGAUGUUAUGGAUGAAUUAAUCAUGUCAGAACAUAUGAUUGUGUUUGGUUGAAAUAUCGAUGUUGCUUGAGAUUGUGUUUCGAAAAUUUGCAGGAGGAAUUGAAUAUUUAUGAAAAGAAACUAUGUCAAAAUUUUUGUAAAAGAAAAAAAAAAUUUGAUCGCUUGAUAACACUUCUCGCCUUGUUUCGACGAUGAAUACGGGUAAGAGGUGUUGCAAUAAACUUAUCUAAAUAAUUGUUAUAAAAAUUAAAUAUAUUACAAAUUAAUAUUUAUAUAAUGAAUACAUGUAAAUUUAUUAUCAUAAAUAUAUUAUUCAUUGAAUAUUAUUAUACGUGAUUUUAUAUAUUUAUUUUUUAUUCACUGAAUAAUAUAUUUUUAUUUUAUGUAAUUAAUACAAAUAUAAUAUAUUCAAAUUGUGGUACAUAAUUAAAAUAGUGUAACAAUAAAAAAUUCAAACAUAAAAGUUUGAAAGUAAAUAAUAAUGAAAUAAAUUUUUUAGUGAUUUUAACUACUAAUUUAAUAAAAAAAUUAAAACAUACUAUUCUUAUGUAUAAUUUAUAAUUUAAUAUAAAAUAUAAUUUUAAUUAUUUUUAAUAUAAACAUAGUUUUGACAUUUUUAAUUAUUAAUUAAAAUAUUUUAUCAUAAUAUAUAAAUUAAUAUAUAUAAUAUAAAAAUCUAUAAAAGAAUUCCAAAUUUCAAUCAUUAUAUUAUAAAUUUUAUAUCUAAAAAUCCUGAAUUAAAUUAAAUUAAUUCAAUUGAAUUGGACAAACAAACUCGACCCAAAAUCAUUUGAUAUGAUUGGUUGGAUUACCAAUCGAUUUUAAAAACCUUGACCAGGACAACAUCAAUAUGUGAAUUUGUUUAAUAUUGUUUAUUUAAUAAGUCUAAAUUUUGAAGCAUCUAAAAUGUUAAUAAAAUCUUAUUUCUAAUUAUUUUCAUACAUUGAAUAUGUCAUUUCACUUUGUUAGAACUUGUUGAAAAGAAUAUUGUAUGCUUCAAUAGAAGUCACAAUUUAUCUUUGAUCAUGAUUGUUCGCAACUGAGCUACUUAGUAAAUUAAAAAUCAGACCUCGACUAUGUACUGUAAGUGCAUUUUCCUACAAACUUUACCCUAUGAUUCAUUAGCCAAAGGUAUUCAUCCCAUCCCCCAAAGUCAUGAGAUAGAUUUGUAAGCUUUGUUUAUGUUAUAGUUAAGGUGGAUGUGUACGCUAGUGUGUGAGUUCUAAAUUAUAUUGUACAAAAAACAACCUAAAAAGAAGACAAAAGAAGACAUUGGAUAUAGGUAUAGCUGUUUUGUAACAACCUAAAAAGGGUCGUAAUUGCUGCAGGGCUCCCGCAUUCUCGUAUCCUCAAUAUUUGAUAAUCGAAUGGAGCUCAGCUAAGCAUUCAACCAAUCAUAAGAUGAAGAUGUGGGAUUCAUUACUCAAUCUAGCAAUGUCUUCAAUUUUGUACAACUCAAUCUUCAAAUUGCUUAAUGGUUCUUGCGUGAAACCCUUCCAUUAAAUGAUAGUAGAUCUACAUAAUGUACUCAAAAUUGCUUGAUAAUUAGUUGUGCUUGUGUUGGAACCUUAUUUGAAACAUCAAAAGAGAAAAAUAUGUUUUGUCUUGAGUGGACACAUAUAUAAAUAAAACUAAAGAACACAACUAAGAUAUUUACGCAGCUUGAAACUUGUCCUACGUUUGCAGCGCCUUGUUCAGAGAUAAAUCCACUAUAUAUUUUCUAGUACAAAGAAAUGAUUUAUGCCCAACUCUCAAACAUUUGGUGUCACCUCACCUUUGUACAAUGAAGUAAACUCUCGCCCAAUUCACUUUAGCUAUACAAUUGAAAAUCAACACUCAAAAGGUGUAUAACAAUGACACUCAAUAAUAAUUCCUCGCUAUGAGCGCAUGUACUCCUUUAAAUCCACACAUCAUCCACUAAACAAAUCAUCUAUAUAUAAGCUCCAAAAUGCACCAAGCUUUACAUAAGCUCCAUGUAAAGUGGAAUAACAAAUUUUCAAAUGCAAUAUCACUGGACCUAUGUAGAAACACUUACUGUUACUAAACGCUACUGUAUAUCAUGUGCAUAAAUGGUGGCUCACAGCAAACCCAUUGUCCAUGCUUUUUCAGUGCGUUCAAAGUUUAUACAUUCUGUCAAUUUAGUUUUGAUUUAAUAAAUUUAGCCUACAAUAUUUACACAUUUUGUCAAUUUGAUUCUAGUUUAACAAAAUUAGAUUGCAACAUUUACACAUUAUGUAUGAGCUCGAUUUGUUAUUAUACCAAUCAAAAUUAUAUACGAGUGAUAAAAAAUAUUAACAUUGUGGUUAAUUGUCCUUAGUUCACUUCCGAAAUUGAUAGGGAUUAACUUACUUAUUUUAUUUUUAGGGGGGCCAAUUUGCAUAAUAAUGAAUUUGAGAGGAACAAAAGGUGUGUUUUUGCCCAUUUUUAUCCUCACCUCACUACUACAAUUGUUAUUGAAUCCAAACAGGUAUCCAACAAUAAUUUCAAUCACAUCACUAUGGUAUUCAAGCUCACUAUUACAACAAUUAAUCUCACCACCGCUGUUAUUUUUAAUUUCACUAGAGUUGAUGGAAUUGUCCAUCCAAUGAAAGUCAUAGACCUAUCUAAACACAAAUACAAAGAUAAAAACUUAUUUAGAUAUAAAUUGAAAAAUAAUUUUUAUUAUUUGACACAAUUAAAAUGUAAUUACUUGCUUGAUUGAUACAUUUGCUCAAAGGUAAUGUAGCCCCUUCCAUUUUAUUAUUUGCUUAAUUUUUUUUGUAUGUGAUAUUUUGAUCUGUUCAUAAAUGGAAUGUUUCAUGGUGGCUAAGUUUCUUAGGGGAUAAAUUAUGAGUAGCAUUAUUUGUUUGUGCAGUGAAAUUGUGAUGUCUAUAUUUUAAUCUAUUUCUGUAUUUGAUGAUGUAGUGGAGUUUUAAUAUAAUUGUAAUUGAUGGUUUGUUAGUUUUAUGUACCAUAAAUGCUAUAGUAAGAGAGUUUAAAGCCGAACAUUUAAUGUCGUGCUCUAUAUGAAGAAAGGUUGAUGAGUGUUAGUUCUUUUGAUGUUUUGCCUUUGAUGGAUGUUUGAAAAAUGAUUCAGUUGAUAUCCAUAAUGUCUACCACUAUAGUUUCCCCCUUAUGUAGAAUAUGACUGCUAGUAUGUCAGGCAAUAUUAUGUUCGUAUAUUAUGUUCUUUUUCUUAUUGUCUUCAACACGAUAACAAGUGAAUUACUAGUUACUUUACUUGAUUUUGUCAUGCCAUUUUUCUCUUUGAGUUUUGGCCUUUCUGAAUUAACUUUUGAAUCACGUAGUGAAGCAUUUCUGAUGGUUCUUAUGACUAACAGUAAGUUCUCUUAUACAAGCUCCCCUACAUAUGCAUUUCUUAAACUUAUGCUCUUUUCUUCAUUUCAGUUGGUUGUUAAUCUUGAUAUAACCAUGCACAAAUACUAAUACUAAGGGACCUUGUAAUUUUGCCUGCCAUUGGAACUACUCUGAAAUAUUGCUGAUUUUUCUCAGCAAUUAAAGAGGAAGAGCGCAGCAGACAAAAAUGAAGUUUUGUCUAGCCAACAUAAUACAAGAUGUGCUAUUCAACUUGUAGUUUGAUGUGUGCCAACAUAAGCAUCAACACACAAGUCAUACGUAUAUACAGCCAGGAAACCAACAUCUUUUGGAAGAGUCCUAAUCCAAGCAUCAUAAUUGAACAUAGUCUUGGAAUACUGUCUAAAAAAAUGGUUGUCUCAUAAUCAAUUGUGCAUCCCUGCAUUUGAAUGCUGUUUCAAACACUAAAAAAACAUAAAUGUGUUUUUUUCUGAGUUGACACUUAUUAUGCAACAAGGAAAACAAAGAGCACAAUUAAGAUGUUUACACAGUUCAAAACUAGUCCUACAUCUGCGGGGCCUUACCCAAAGAUGAAAACACUAUGAACUUCAUAGUACAAAGAAAUGAUUUAAGCCUAACCUCUCUAACACUUGAUGCAAUCUCAACUUCAACCUCACCACCAAAUAUUCCGAAGCAUCUUCCUUUUUUUCCUGUUUGGACCUUCAAUAACAAAUUUGGCUGGAACUCCAAACAGCUAAAAGAGUGCCCUGCAUCAAUAAAUAUUAUGAAUUUGAAUACCUCCAAAAGCCAGUUACCAUCUAAGAUAGUAAUCAGUUGGCAUAUAUUAAGAGAAAACAUAAAUACAUAUAAAGAUAUGAUAUGUAAGUACUUAAAUGAAGAAAGCAGAGCAUAUAGUACAACCAUUUUGCAGGCUUCAUAGGCCUCUCUCUCCACAUCAAUGAUUUUUUAGAAUUAAAUUAUUAGAAGCAAUCGUCAAGUUAUUAUUAUGAUUUAAAAGUAAAAAGAAAGUAGAUAAAUUAGCACCUCUUUUUAUGCAUAUAAAAUGAUUGAAGUUCACUAAUGCCUUUCUCCAAUGCCUUACUGCACAAAUCAGCAAAAAAUAUUAUGAAAGAUGAUAAGUAAAAAGUAGGAUGAAAACAAAGGGAUUUUAACAAGGAAAUUAACAGUAUCCAACUUCAAUGAAAAAUGGCAUCAGACCCCUCACUUGGAGAUUCAAUAUACCACUCUUAUUUUUCUUCAAAAAAAGAUAAGGUCAUCAUAAUAAAUAAAUAACAAAGACAGACCAACCUGAUACAUCCGAAUGUUGGGGAUGUGAGCAAUCUUUUGCCAAUCAGCGCCAAUGUCCUUCCGAUAUCUUUCCUCCAACUGAGGAAUUUCUCGUAUUUGUAAAUACUCCAAACCGGUUAGGCAACGCAUCUCGUCCGGAAGAGAUGUUAAAUUGGGCAAAUUGACGAGAUAAAGCUCUUGCAGAUUUGUUAGAUGUUGAAGCCACUCCGGAAGAUGCCGACACUUUGGAAUAUUUAGCAGCCGUAGAGAGCGUAGACUUGUAUGAUCUUGGAAUAUUUGGAUGCCAGCUCCAGAUAACUCCAGCUCCUUGCAGUCCUUUACUUCAAACUCUUCAAGGAAAGUGAGAUGUUGGAACACAGGAAAGAGUGACCUCAAUCCAUGGCAUUCACGAAUUUCUAAUGUUUUCAAUUGAACAAGAUGUUGAAGAGAAAUGAGGAGAGACACCAGCUUUGGAAUAUUAUCAAUCUUCAAUUGAGAGAGAUUCUUAAGGGGUUCCCAUUGCAUGCCCUCUAAAUCAACCUCCUUGCAAUCUCUUAUUGUUAAUCUUUUGAGGCUGGUGAGAUGUUCAAACACAGGAAGCAGUGACCUCAAUCGAUUGCAGUUCUGAAUUUUUAAUGUUUCCAAUUGAACAAGAUGUUGAAGAGAAAUGGGGAGAGACACCAGCUUUGGAAUAUUAUCAAUCUUCAAAUGAGAGAGAUUCUUAAGUGGUUCCCAUUGCAUGCCCUCUAAAUCAACCUCCUUGCAAUCUCUUAUUGUUAAUCUUUUGAGGCUGGUGAGAUGUUGCAGGCACUCAUCUAGCAUGUGAGUGUCCAGCCCCUCAAUGUUGUGUACAUGGAAAGAUUUCAAUUUGGAGAGUGGAAGAGAAGAGGUUGAAGUUGAUGGGGCCUUAGCAUUGAUGUUCAUCUUGAUAGUCUGCUUUAACGACCUUGAACUGGUAUUCGACAACAUUAGAUCUUCAUCGAGUGAUGGAUACAGUGGCAUCAAAGUCAAAGGGCAAUUUACAAUCCAUAAAGAGGAAAGACAAGGAAAUGCCAUGGUUGAUGUUCCCAUAACUGUUGUGUCGUCCUCGUUGGAAUCAUCAUCGAUUGGUUUUGUUGUCCUCCACCAACUCUUCAUAUUUGGGCAAUUCUCGAGGUGAAGACGCUUAAGCGAUGGGAAGAAUGAGUUAAUCUCACCACCAACAUUAUUUUUAAUUUUACUAGAAUUGAUCCAAUUAUACAUCCAAAGAAAACCAUAAACUUAUCUAAAUACAAAUAAAACUAUUAAAAAAACUUAUUUAGACAUAAAUUGAAAAAUAAAUUUUAUUAUUUCACACAGUAAAAAUAUAAUUACUUGCUUGAUUUAACCCAUUCAAUUUGGUCAGAUUGAAGGUUAUUCUUUGAUAAGAUAUUAUUAUUAUUAUUUGCUUUGGGCAAACUUAAUACAACUUGAUUUACUCUUUAUUAAUUAAAAGCAUUUUAUUUAUAUUUAAUUAUAAAAAUGUGUAUAUAUUAUUAAAAUAUUAUUUUUUAAUAUUAAAUGAAUAGUGAAAUAAGGUCAACUUAUAAGGGUUAAAGUAUUUAGGAAGUCCCUAUAUUAUAGACUGUAUCAAGUUAGUCUCUCAAUUUAAAAAGAAUCAAAUUAUAUCAAAUUGUAACAGAGUUAACAAUUUUCAAUACAUUUUUUAUGCAAUAAAUGUUAACUUUGUUGUAAUUUGGUUUUAUUUGAUUCUUUUUAAUAGUAUAGAGACUAAAUUGACCAUUUAAUAAUAAAGGGACUAAUUUGAUGUAGUCCCUAUAAUAGAGGUACUUUCACCCUUAUAUAUGUGCUUGAAUCUUAUUUUGGAUGAAAUUGAACAAAUGAAAAAGAUAAGAGUUGAAAAAGGUAAAAAUAAAUGAAAUUAGCACAUUAAAUUGUAAUUAUAUACAAAAGAUUCUUAGGUAUGAGUAGGAAAAUGGAUGCCAAACAUAUCGUAAGAUAAGAUGAAGCUUCAAUUUUGGUUUGCUGACAAUCUUCUUUUUUGGAAGUCAUAUCAAUUACGACUGUUUGAAUUUUUAACAUCUAGAGAUGAUUGUCAAAAUAUUAUACUAACAAAUUAGCCAUAAUCACUUAUUUAGCUCUCCAACUUUACAAUAAAAAUCAUUUUAGCUCUUCAAUUAAAUUUUUGUCUCUUUUAGUCCUUAACCUUGCAUUAAUGUUUAUCUAUUUUAGAGUGAUCUGAUAAAUAAUGCAAGUUUAAGGACUAAAUCGAUUUUUCAUAAAGUUAAAUAUAAUAGAGAAUUUAAAAACAAAUGAAAAUAUUUAUAUUUUAUUUUAUAUUUGUUUAAGUUCGGCCUGGUCCAAAAUAUAAACUUAAAAAAUCUGUUUAAAUUUGUAAACAGCUAACUCAAACUCAUUUUAAAUCCACUCGUUCUAUUUUUUUAAAAAAAUUAAAAUGUAUUUAUAUUAUUUUUAACUUAAUAUUUAAUAAUUUUAUAUUUUUAUUAAAAUUUUAUAUAUAGUCAUCUUAAUAUUAAUAAUUUUAUUUUUAAUAGUUUUAUUAAAAUUAAAACCUUGACCAGGACAACAUCAGUAUGUGAAUUUAGUUUCGUAUUUAUUUAAUUUGGUUAGCACAUAUUAAUAGUUUUCAUAGUCUCUUUAGUUUUUGUUUUUUUGGGAUUGUGUAAAAUUUAAAAUUUUAGAUAUUUUUAUGUUCAUAUUUUCUUUUAUAAAUAUAUAUAUUGUAAGCUCUCACUAAUUUUUUCAAGCUUUUAGGAGUUCCUUCUAUUGAAGCAAUAUCAUGAUCAAAUCUAUAAUCAGUAUAUAUGAGAAAGAAAAAAAAUAUAAAAUAAAAUAAAUUAAAAAUUAAAAAUAGACUUGGACACUUAUGGAUGUUAAAUUUAUAAUAAGUUCAAGUAAAAUGGCUAAAAUAAUCAAACUACCGUCUAACUCAUGCUAUGAAAACAUAUAAUCACAGUUAAAAAAAUAUUGUAUAUUUUGAUGAAAGUCACAAUUUAUCUUUGGUCAUGCUUGUUCGCAACUAAACCGCUAUAAUGUAACUACAUGUUCUUACAAAUCUCGCGCUAGUCGACUUUGCCCUAUGAUCCAUUAGUCAAAGGUAUUUAUCCGAUUGAUUUGUCAGUUUUACCUUUUUUAUACUUUUAAGUAAAUGUGUACGAAGUGUGUGAGUUCCAAGUUAUACUGUAACAAAAAUUGAAAAUACCUGACAAGACCAAAAUGAAACAAUUAAUACCCAAAAUUUUAUUCUUCAAUAUAGAAACUAAUGCACAACGAAAAUAAAGUUAGUAAAUUAGUAGGAGAUAAAAGAAGGGUAUAGAUGUUUUGUAAGAAGCUAAAAAGGGUUGUAAUUGUUGCAGGGCAUCCAUAUUGUCAUAUCCUCAACACUUGGUAAUUGAAUGGAGCUAAGCUAAGCAUUCAUUACUCUUGGAAUUGCUCAAUGGGUGUUGCGUGAGGCCCUUUCAUUAAAUCAUAGUCCACAUAAUGUACACAAAAUGGCUUGAUGGAGGGGCGAGAUACAACUAAAAAUAUGUCAGGGGAUAAAGCUAAUAAUUUAAGAAUUUUAUUUAACAAUUAAUGAAUCAAACGAUAUCAUAUUAUUAUAUUUUUAAUGAAUAAAUAAUUUAUUGUUUUAAUAAAGUGAUAUUAUGUGUGUAUAAUAUAAUUAUAUGAUACAUCAAAUAUAAAUCAUUAAUUUAUAUACUUAAAAGUGUGUUUUGUUAAUCUAAUGUGUUUAAAAAAGAAAGAAGAAAUAAUCCUCUUAAAUUUUAUAAUCUCGUCGUGUUUUUAAUAUGUUAGAAUCAAGUUACCAAUAUGAUGAGUACACAAGUAUUUACAAUUUAAUCAUGUCAAAUGAGAACAAAAUUUAAAACUUAAAUUGACAGCUACAAAUGAAAUAAUUUUAUUGAUAUAAUAUAAUACUUUCAAAUUUUAAUUAAAAUAUUUUAGAAUUAUAAAUUAAUUUUUAAAAAUUAAUAAUAAAUUGAGAAUAUUUAAUACAAAUAACUUCGUAUAUGAAUAUAAAUAGUUAUAACACAUUUAUUAUUAAAUGAAAAUAAUGUUGAGAAUCAAGUUACCAAUAUGAUGAGUACACAAGUAUUUACAAUUUAAUCCAUGUCAAAUGAGAACAAAAAUUAAAACUUAAAUUGACAGCUACAAAAAUGAAAUAAUUUUAUUGAUAUAAUAUUAAUACUUUCAAAUUUUAAUUAAAAUAUUUUAGAAUUUAUAAAUUAAUUUUUAAAAAAUUAAUUAAUAAAUUGAGAAUAUUUAAUACAAAUAACUUCGUAUAUGAAUAUAAAUAGUUAUAACACAUUUAUUAUUAAAUGAAAAUAAUGUUGUUUGGAGUUUUCUAUUUUUUCAUUAGCCAACUGAUGAUAAAAAUGAUAAAAUUGAAUCGUUGGGGUGACUACUAAGUAGGUUACCUUUUUUUAGGUUAAAAUAUGCCAUAUGUCCUUGUACUCACCAUAAAUUUGAAAUUUAAUCUCUAUACUUGUAUUUAUAGGAAUUUAAUUCUUUUACUUUUCAGAGUUCAAAUUUUAGGUCCAAUUGUUAAUACUGUUAAUUUUUUUUGUUGAAUUUGUUAGUGUGACUGUUUGAAAUAAAAAAAAACUUACUUGGUAGCCAUGUAACUAAGAAUAUGACAUUUUAAUGAACCUGAAUUUAAUAAAAUAAUUUUAACAGUAUUAACAGUUGGACUUGAAUUUUAAAAUUUAAAAAGUAUAGGGACUAAAUUCUUUAAAAUAAAAAUAUACAAACUAAAUUCUAAACUUACAAAUAUAUAUAUAUAGGACUUGGGGGAUUUUAAUUUUGUUAUGGUAAAUAAGGGGAAAUAGAGAAAAAAAAAAAGGCAAUUAAUAUGUGAACAAAAUCUACAUGUUUGCAAUUUCUAGAUAAUUUUGUGAUUAAUAGAAAUUAUUUUUCGAUUCAUUAAGGUUAAAAUUUUUUCAGAAUUUUUAUAGCAGAAUUUAAACCUUAUUUCUUCAAUUCUUGCAUCUUCGAUUAAGGUCCACUUAGCAAUACAAUUUUAGAGAUUAAAAAAGUUACAUUUCCAUAUAAUGUUUCUUGAGAAAUUUUUUUUCUUUUUCAAAGUUUCAUUAAUAUACAUGCAUUGUACGUGAUUUAUAUAUUUAUUUUUAUUCACUAAAUAAUAUAUUUUUAUUUGAUGUAAUUAAUGCAAAAAUAAUAUUAUUCAAAUUGUGGUACAUAAUUAAAAUAGUGCAACAAUAACAAAUUCAAACAUAAAAGUUUGAAAGUAAAUAAUAAUGAAAUAAAUUUUUUAGUUAUUUUAACUACUAAUUUAAUAAAAAAAUUUAAAACAUACAAUUCUUCUGUAUAUUUUAUAAUUUUAUAAUUUUAAUUUUUUUAAUAUAAACGUAGUUUUGAUAUUUUUAAUUAUUAUUUAAAAUUUUUUAUUUUAAAUAUAUUCUUAAUUAUUUAUUUUACACAUACAUACAUUUUAACUUAAUGUUCUUAAUAGUAAUUUUCUAUUUUUAUUCCAUUGCUACAUUUGCAUUUGAAUUUAAAUACAUAUUUCACAAUUAACAUUAAUCUCACCGCUACAAUAUUCAAACUCACUAAAUUACUUAUUUAACACUAUUAUAAAAAUAUAUAUAAAUAUUACUAAAUUAUCAAUUUUUAAUAUUAAAAGAACAAUGAAAUAGGGUCAGCGUGAAGAAAACUUAAAAAAAAAUUUGUACCCUAACCAAAUUAUAGACAAGUCUAUUGAUUAAUUUUUAAAAAAUAAUAUUUUAGCUUAUAUAAGAGUUAAAAUAUUUGGAAAGUUUAAAAUUAGUCUCUCUAUUAUUAAAUGGACCAAUUUUAUCACAGUACUAUUAAAAAGAACUAAAUAAGGUUAAAUUGUAACAGAUUUAACAUUAAUAGAAUUAACAAAUUUCAAUAUAUUUUUUAUAAAAUAAAUGUUGACUUUGUUAUAAUUUAACUUUAUUUGUAUGCAGUCCCUAUAGUACCGGUACUUUAACCCUUAUAUAUAUGUUUGAAGUUUAUUUUAGGAUGAAAUUGGAAAAUUGAAAAAAGUAAGAGUUCAAAAAGUAAAAACAAACGAAAUUAGCACAUUAACUUACAAAAUAUAUUUUUUAUAAAAUAAAUGUGUUUGGAACAUUAAAAAUGUGUUUUUUUUCCUGAGUUGGUACAUAUUAUUUCAAUUUUGAUGAGAAUUGUACUCUCACUUAACGCUUCAUGUCAUUCGCUUUUUCUUUUCUUUCCCUUUUUUUUUUUUUGUGUGAGAUCUUUUGAUCUGUUCUCAAAUAGAGCUUUUCAUGGUGGCUAAGUUUCUUACGGGAUAAAUUAUGAGUAGCAUUAUUUGUUUCUGCAUUGAAAUUGUGAUGUCUGUAUUUUAAUCUGUGAGGUAUUUCCGUUUGUGAUGAUGUAUUUGAUGAUAUAGUGGAAUUUUGGUAGAUUAAAGUGCUCGUUUGCUGUACUAAGUUGAAAUUGAAUGAAUGCUGGCCUCAUCCAAUGUCCAAAACUUGAUGACUUCAACAUUUUGAUGCCUUAAUUUGAGAAGACUAAGUUAGAGUACUAUAAAACUUUCUAAGAAUGCUGAUGAGGCAUAGAUCUAGUGAUAUAAUAUAAUUGCAAUUGAUAGUAUGGAGAAACCUAAGUUUUAGUACCAUCAAAUAAAAUUGCUAUUGCUAGUAUGUUUGUUUUAUGUAAUAUAAAGCCAUAGUAAGAGAGGAAGGCUAUGUUAUGCUAUUCCAUUCUCGGUUUAAAGCUGAACAUUUAAUGCCGUGCUCUAUAUGAAGAAAGGUUGAUGGGUGUUAGUUCUUUUGAUGUUUUGUCUUUGAUGGAUGUUUGAAAAAUGAUUCAGUUGAUAUUCAUAAUGUCUAUCCCUACAGUUUCCCCCUUAUGUAUAAUGACUGCUAGUUUGUCGGUCUUCGUAUAUUAUAUUCCUUUUGUGUGAAAUUCCAAACUGCGUAAACAUCUUAAUUGUGUUCUUUAUUUUCCUUGUUGCAUAAUAUGUACCAACUCAGGAAAACACACAUUUUUAAUGUUCCAAACAUCAAUGCUUGAGCUAAGGAAAUCAAAGUCUCCUAGGAGGAUUCUAGCCCAUCAAUUCCCUCUAUAUAUCAACAAUGAACCUGCAAACUGUAAAUAUCAAUAUACAGUAUGAUAAAAUUGAUCUCGUAUAGACCGAGCAGUGUCCAAAUGUAGAAGAAGCACUUACUGUUACUAAAAACAUAACUCCAUAUUUUGUGCACAAAUGGUGGCCAAACACAUAUCCGUUGUCUAUGCUUUUUGAUUCCAAGUUUAAGAAAGGGCCAAACAUUGGGCGUCCUCAUCCUCAUCUGUAAUAGUAACAAAUUCACAUUCCCAUUCCAAGUUUAAGGAAAUGCCAUGGUAACAAAUUCACAUAACUGUUGUGUCGUCCUCGUUGGAAUCAUCAUCGAUUGGCUUUGUCGUCCUCCACCAACUCUUCAUAUUUGGGCAAUCCCGUAGGCAAAGAUGCUUAAGUGAUGGGAAGAAUGAUUGUGGUUCUCCUUGACUUCCUUUUGGGCUAUUAUCAUCCAUGUACUCCAGCUUAGUACAAUCAUAUAUCUCCAGCCCUUUAAGACAAGGAAAUUGCGCAAAGGACGGGAUUUGUUUGAAAUUACUACCACUUAUGUCAAUUGUGACGAGAUUUUUGAGCAAAGGAAGCCAACUUGGAAACUUGCCAUCACCCCUCCAUCCUGCAAUACAGAGCUCCUUGAGAUUAGGAUGGGGCUGGAGGUCUUCAAGUGACUUCUCAUCGUCAUCAUCAAAACGAAGGCUCCAUUCUAAAAGCAACGAUCUCAAAUGUUGCUUCUCUUUCAAAUUAGCAGCCUUAAACUUCUCUUUUGCAUUUUUUACGAAUCCCAAAUUUGUUAUUUGUAGACGUCCCCUUAAGUUGUUAAGCAGUCUCAAUUCACUUAGAUCUGCACCGCCAUGGGACCCAUCUUUAUCCACUACAAACAUGCUUAACGUCUCAAGUGAAGUCAGCUUCCCUAUUCCACGUGGCAUAUGAGUUAAACUAAAACACUACGACACCCAAUAUGGGUAAGAUUCACCAAUUCUUCAAUCUUCUUUGGCAAUUCUUUAAGCCCAAAACAGCAGUCAAGUUUCAGCGCUAGCAAAUUCUGAAUCUUGCAAGUACUCUUUGGGAGAAUCUUAAUAUUGUAAUUGGAAGAAAGGUCAAGGUACCUCAAAUGUUUCAACUUACAAAUGGAGGGUGAAAUCUUUUGAAUACCUAUAGAAUAUAAUUUCAAUACACGCAAGCAUCUACAAUUUGCAAUUAUCAAAUCCCAACUUUCUUCACUAAAAUCUUGAUAUAUGCUGUUUGGAAAGUGUAACAAGGUUCGCAACUUCUUUCCCUUAAACAAAGGAAUUAAUGAAGGAAUUAAUAAAGGAUUAAUUGAUAUGUGGCGACAUUUUUCACCAACAUCACCUGCAAUUUUAUUUGAAUCUACAAUACUACUCUCCAUCCCUGCUACUGAUUCAGCUAGAUCUUGCAUUAAAUCAUGCAUUUUACAUCUCAUAUCCCCAAUUCCAUAUUCUUCUACCUCUUGAAAGAAACUCCUGUCAACUAAAUCUUUAAAAUACCCAAACCCGAUCUCCUCCAGAGAUUGACUUUGAUUCAAUUGCUUUAUGAAACCCUGUGCAAUCCAAAAUUGAACAAGCGCUUGCACUUGAAUUGUGUAAUCUGUUGGAUACAGUCGGCAAUAAGCAAAGCAAUGCUUCAAAUGAGACGGGAGAUGAUCAUAACUCAAUUUCAGUAUAGGUAGAAUUUCUCCUUCAAUUUGUGAAAUUUUAGCAAGUUCAUUUUCUUUGAAAGAAUGCCACUCAUUUGCAGUUUUCUUCUAAGAUAAUGUACCAGCUAUCGUCCUUAUGGCUAAGAGAACCCCACCACACCUUUCCGAAAUCUGUCUCCCUACUUCCACAAAGGCUGAAUUUGUUGAGUCUGCAUAUCCUUGCUCAAAUGCUAUCUUUUUGAACAAAGACCAAGCAUCAUCAUCAGACAAGCCUUUCAAUUUCAAAACAUGGGAUUGACAUUUAUUAGUUAUCUCCGCUACCCUUAGAGAUCGAGUAGUUACUAUUAUCCUACUCCCUUUAGCCCCACCCAUCAAUAACUUCUUUAGCCUAGAUGUUGAAGUCAGCUCCCAUAUAGCAGCAAAGGUGGCCAUGCAAGGAACGUGCUUCAGCAGCAAAUUGAUGCAGCAAGCUGAAGCUAUUCAUUUGGUUUCCUUAAUUGAAUGUUUUGUAUUUAGUUAGGAUCAAACUUAGUUGGUAGCUGCAUUUUGAUGUAAUUAGGUGCUGAAUGACAAGCUUAGGUAGAAGCUUUUUUGUUUUUCAAUCAAGUUUACCAAGUUACUAGGCAUUUUAGUGGUGUUAGGUAUGUUAGUAGGUGAUUACUUGUUUGUUUUACUUAUUGACUGAUAUAUGUAAUGGCUUAAUGCCUUGUUCAUGUGUUAAUGAAAAAUAUCAGCUCAUUUUCAUUCAAUCUCUUUCUCUCUUUUCUGUUUUCACUUGCUAGCUUCAUCUUUCUAUUUUUUCUGCUUCCGAGUUUGCUUCUUCACCAAGCCUCGAGCCUUACUACUCAAGCAAGACUAGAAACAGCUUGCUGCUGCCUCUUGCACCAACAAUUGGUAUCGAGAGCUCUUGUCUUAGUGGACCUGUUGCUUCAAAACAAAGAACUUGAUGGCUUCUUCAGGAUUUUCACCAGCAGCCCCACCAGUCUUCAAUGGAGAAGGCUUUCACAUAUGGCUGGUCAAGAUGAAGACUUACCUACAGGCUUUUGAUCUGUGGGAAGUUGUCAACACAGAUACUGAGCCAGCACCACUGAGGGCUAAUCCCACAGUAGCUCAGAUUAGGCAACAUGCUGAUGAGAGGACCAAAAGGCACAAAGCCAUGUCCUGCAUCCAGAACUGUGUGUCAGAUGUCAUCUUCACCAGAAUCAUGGCCUGUGAGACUCCAAAACAGGCCUGGGAUAAGCUUAAGGAGGAGUUUCAAGGCACUGAGAGAACAAGGCAACAGCAGCUGCUAAACUUGAGAAGGGAUUUCGAGAAUUUGAAGAUGAAGGAAGAAGAAACAGUGAAGCAGUACUCAGAUAGAAUUAUGGCAGUGGUUAACAGCAUAAGGCUCCUAGGUGAGCACUUUGAUGAGGCAAGAAUUGUGGAGAAAGUCCUCUCCACUUUGCCUGAGAGAUAUGAGGCCAAGAUAUCCUCUCUAGAGGACUCAAGAGAUCUUGCUAGCAUCUCUUUGACUGAGCUAAUCAACACCUUUUAUGCUCAGGAACAAAGAAGAGCUAGCAGAGCUGAAGAUCACCAAGAAGGUGCAUUUCAAGCCAAGGCCAGAGAAACCUCGAGCACUAAUGCUCAAAGAGGCAAAAGGCCUUGGAAAAACAGGCCUAAGCCUGAUGCUGCAAGGAGCAAUGACCAGCCCUGCAAAUAUUGCAAGAAGCCUGGCCAUCCAGAAGACAGAUGCUGGUUUAGGCCAGAUGCAGUAUGCCAACACUGCAAGAAGAAGGGCCAUGUUGAAAGGGUCUGCAAAAACAGAAGUAAGCCAAGGCAGAAUCAAUUUCAGCAGUCAAAGGUUGAAGCUCGAGUAGCUGAGGACAGUAGUGACCAAGAAGAACAGGUCUUUGCUGUUUCCUGUGUAGCUUCUGAGAAGAAAUGCUCUAAAGGCUGGCUGCUGGACAGUGGUUGCACUAACCACAUGUCACCAGAUGCCUCCUUGUUUAAAACCUUGGACAGAAGUUAUAAAACCAAGGUCAAGGUUGGACAUGGUCAGUUUAUAAGGGCUGAAGGAAGAGGAGAAGUGCUGAUAUCUACUCCCACAGGCAACAAGAUCAUUCCAAAUGUGCUGUUGGUACCACAGAUUGACAGAAACCUUCUCAGCAUAGCUCAACUGCUCGAGAAAGGUUAUUCUGUUGUGUUCAAGGAUAAACAAUGCCAUAUUACUGAUCCAAGUGGAUCAAGCCUUAUGACAGUCACAAUGACUGAUAAAUGCUUUGAGGUUCACUGGGCAAAUGACUCAAACUCAGCAUACACAGCCUCUGUUGAAGACUCCAAGCUUUGGCAUCAAAGGCUUGGACAUGCCAACUUCAGAUCAAUGGCUCGAUUGGCCAAAGAGGGCAUGGCAGAGAACUUCACCAGCUCAGUGGAGCAUGAUGAUGUGUGUGAAGUCUGCCAAAUGGGGAAACAGGCAAGACUGCCAUUUCCUACAAAUUCAGCUUGGAGAGCUACUGAAAGACUACAGCUGGUGCACUCUGAUGUAUGUGGCCCGAUGAGGACUGAAUCACUCAGCAAAAACAGGUAUCUCAUCCUCUUUAUUGAUGAUCUUACAAGGUUUUGCUGGAUUUUCUUUUUAAAACACAAGUCUGAGGUAGCUCAAGUGUUUGUGAAGUUUAAAAAUGCUGUAGAAACAGAAACAGGUUGCAAGCUGAAAUCGAUAAGGACAGACAAUGGCACUGAGUACACUUCAGCUCAGUUUCAAGCCAUUUGCAAUGAUGCUGGUAUCAAACAUCAGCUUACAAAUGUCUACACACCUCAGCAGAAUGGGGUAGCUGAAAGAAAGAAUAGAAGUCUGAUGGAUAUGGCCAGAUGUCUGCUGUUUGAGAAGAAACUGCCCAAGACCAUGUGGGCUGAGGCAGUAAACACUGCUGUUUACCUUCAGAACAGGCUUCCCACUAAAGCUCUUGCAUCCGAGACACCUUUUGAGGCUUGGUUUGGUUUCAAGCCUUCCUUGGCACACCUGAAGGUGUUUGGUUGCCUGUGUUAUGCACAAAUACCAGCAGCAAAGAGAGACAAGCUCUCUAAAAGGGCUCAACCAGGUGUUCUAGUAGGCUACAGCUCAGUCAAAAAGGGCUACAGGGUUCUGGAUCCCUUGACAAACAAAGUCCAAGUGAGCAGAGAUGUCAUCUUUGAUGAAAAAGCCUGCUGGAAUUGGGAGAAAAAUGAGCCAGAAGCAAUUUCAGAAGACCUAGUGACUAAUCAAGCUGAACUUGAGCAGCUAGAACCUGAAAUGGAUGUUGAUGAUGUGCCUGUGAGAGGCACAAGGCCCCUAGAAGAUAUUUAUGAAAGGGCACAGGUUGCAUUAGCAGAACCUAGCAGUUUUGAAGAGGCUGAGGCAGAUGAAGGUUGGAAACAAGCUAUGGUUGAUGAAAUCAACAUGAUUGUAAAGAAUCAGACAUGGGAGUUGGUUGAAAAGCCUGCCAACAGAAAGACUAUCAGUGUAAAAUGGGUCUAUCGAGUGAAGCACAAUGCAGAUGGAAGCUUAAACAAGCUAAAGGCCAGGCUAGUUGUAAAGGGCUUCAGUCAAAGGUAUGGUCUGGACUACAUGGAAACAUUUGCUCCAGUAGCCAGACUCGAUACAAUCAGAUUGCUGAUUGCAGUUGCUGCUCAGAACCAGUGGACAAUCCACCAAAUGGAUGUCAAGUCUGCAUUCCUCAAUGGAUUUCUAGAAGAAGAGAUAUACAUCGAGCAACCCCCAGGUUUUAUAAUGCCUGGUAAGGAACAAUUGGUGUAUAGGCUAAGAAAGGCCUUGUAUGGCCUAAAACAGGCCCCUCGAGCCUGGUAUGCUCGAAUUGACUCAUAUUUGGUCAGUUUGGGAUUUGAAAGGAGUGCUAGUGAGCCAACACUCUAUGUUAAGAAGAAUGGAGCUGAAACACAGCUUAUUGUGUCACUAUAUGUUGAUGAUCUUCUCGUGACUGGAGGAGACAAGCUUAUGAUGGUUGAUUUCAAAGCAAGAAUGAAGAAAAUGUUUGAGAUGUCAGACCUGGGAUUGAUGACAUAUUUCCUAGGAAUGGAAGUCAAUCAAAUAGAAGGAGGAAUCUUCUUGAAACAAAAGACAUUUGCCUUGAAAGUGCUGGCUAAAUUCUCAAUGGAGAAUUGUAAACCAGUGAGCACACCAAUGGCUAUUGGCAUAAAGCUAUCGAGCCAGGAGGAACAUGAAUCUGUCUGUGAAACAGAUUACAGAAGCCUUGUUGGGUGUUUAUUGUAUUUGACAGCAACAAGACCCGACAUUUUGUUUGCUGUAAGCAUGCUAUCAAGGUUCAUGCACUGCUGUAACCAGCAACAUUACAAGGCUGGGAAAAGGGUGCUAAGAUACAUUAAAGGUACCUUAAACCAUGGAAUACAGUUUAGAAAGGCUGAAGAGUUGAAACUGAUUGGCUACACUGAUAGCGAUUGGGCUGGUUCAAAGGAUGACAUGAAGAGCACUUCUGGCUAUGCUUUUACACUUGGCUCAGCUAUGAUUUGUUGGAGCUCAAGAAAACAAACAAUGGUGGCUCAAUCGACAGCAGAAGCAGAGUAUGUAGCAGCUGCCAAUGCUGUUAAUCAAGCCAUGUGGCUGAGAAAAAUUUUGAGUGACUUGAAUCUACAGCAGAAUGAAGCAACUGUGAUACAUUGUGACAACAAGUCAGCAGUUGCUAUUGCUAAAAAUCCUGUCUUUCAUGGCAGGACAAAACAUUUCAACAUCAAACUCCAUGUGAUAAGAGAAAUGGAACAAGCUCGAGAAAUUGAGCUAAUCCAUUGCAGUUCUGAAAAUCAGAUUGCCGAUAUCUUCACAAAGCCUAUUGGUGUAUCAAGAUAUCUAAGCCUGAAGAGGAAGCUAGGAGUCUGCUGCAUAGAAGCUGAGGAGGAGUGUUGAAGUCAGCUCCCAUAUAGCAGCAAAGGUGGCCAUGCAAGGAACGUGCUUCAGCAGCAAAUUGAUGCAGCAAGCUGAAGCUAUUCAUUUGGUUUCCUUAAUUGAAUGUUUUGUAUUUAGUUAGGAUCAAACUUAGUUGGUAGCUGCAUUUUGAUGUAAUUAGGUGCUGAAUGACAAGCUUAGGUAGAAGCUUUUUUGUUUUUCAAUCAAGUUUACCAAGUUACUAGGCAUUUUAGUGGUGUUAGGUAUGUUAGUAGGUGAUUACUUGUUUGUUUUACUUAUUGACUGAUAUAUGUAAUGGCUUAAUGCCUUGUUCAUGUGUUAAUGAAAAAUAUCAGCUCAUUUUCAUUCAAUCUCUUUCUCUCUUUUCUGUUUUCACUUGCUAGCUUCAUCUUUCUGUUUUUUCUGCUUCCGAGUUUGCUUCUUCACCAAGCCUCGAGCCUUACUACUCAAGCAAGACUAGAAACAGCUUGCUGCUGCCUCUUGCACCAACACUAGACCACCUUUCUGGGUCCUCAUUCCAAAUGUCAUCCAAAACAAGCAAAUAUUUUUUCCCAUCAAUUUUAUCUCGAAGUUGUUUUUGCAGUUGAUCCAUUUCAAGAUUUUGAUCAGGUGCUUGAUGAGUCACAGAUUUGAUAAUGUUUGCUACAAUAACUUUCACAUCAAAAUCAUCUGAAACACACGCAAACAUCGUUAAGUCAAUUGAAGCUAAUCUCGCCAUAAUGGCCUUCAUUUUCCGACCCAUUUUGAGACCAUAAGCAAAUUGGUUUGAGCUCGAGAAGAAAAGGCGUACCUCUUUCGUCAGCUUGUUCCCACCCAUUAGAUCUUUCCGCAAAGCUUCGGUAGAGAAAUCAUCGAGCAAGUCGUCAGCAUCGUAAAGUACAUCUUUCAGCUUUUCAAGCCAAUCUUUGACGAGAUGGCUGGUCACGGAUCGCUCUUCUGCGUCAAGAAGCACAGCUUUGAUUGUAGAGACGGUGCUUUUGAGGUCGUCAAGGUCAUGUUUUAGAUUCCACCACAGCCCAACUUGAGAGAGAGCACGAGAGCUCAACUUAAUAAUGAGCUCUGCGGCAAUGUCGAAAGCAAUUGCUUCGGCCAUUGUUGGUUCGAACUGAAAUCAAGGCAAAAAGUGUUUGAUUCGUGAGAGAGGACUAAAAUGAGAAUGAUCCCAGCAAGAUGAAACACAGAUGUGGAUCCAUCCACCCAGCAAGUAGUAUAAUUAAAUAAAAAGUAAUGUUGAUUGGUGGGAAAUGGUCCGUCCAUGUUUACUGUUUGACACAAAUUUCUGAAUGGAGACAAAGUUGAGAUGAUGGCACUAGGGGUGCUCUGCACAACGUACAAAUAAUUGAAAUUAAUGAAAAAGGUAUGAAAGAAAAGAGAAAAAGGAGACAAGUCCCAUGGAAUCCAAGGUGUUUUGAUUGAAGUCUUUCUAAACCUUCUUCCCACUUACUUUGUGUAAUUGAGUGAGUCUCAAUACUCGGUUAAAUUCAAUAUUUUAUUUUUGAGUUUAACUUUGGUUGAAUAUAUAAAAUAAAAAUUCAAUAAAACUCAUUCGCCAUUAGAAUCAAAUAUUAUUAAAUUCGAAUCCGAUUAAAUCAAUAAUUUAAACAUAACUUAAUGACUACUAAAUCAAAUUUAAAUCUUUUUUUAAUCGAAUUUAAUUAACUUACAAAUGAUUAUCAUGUCCACCUUUCUCACCCACCUACUUAGCUUUGAUUUUGUCUUUUAAAGUAACUUGGUGUCUAUAAUUAUAUAUUACGACAAUAGUUACUGUUAUAAUUGUUUGUCUAUGCAAUAUAUCAAAGUAAAAUAUAAGAGUUUAACAUUUGUUAACCCUGUUAUAAAAAUUUAAUUUAACUCUUUAAAAAUUAUAAAGAUAUAUUACUAUAAAAAUAUAUAAUUUAAUUCCAACUAAAAUUUUUUUUAGCUUGGCUACUAUUGAAAAAUUAAUUUAGUUUUUGAACACAACAUGUGGAAAGAUAUUGGGUUUAUGUCAGCUCCAUGGGAAUGUAUUUAAUUGGUAUUGAAGGAAAAAUCAUUACUUAUACCAUCAUGAAGAUUGCUUCCACUGCUCAUAUCUAUUUUAUUAUUUUAUUACACAUAAAAUUGUUUUAUUGUGAGUUGGAUGAUUUUGGUUUUUUUUUAAGAUAUUUUAUUUUUAAAUAUAUUUUUAAAUAUUUAUUUUACAUAUACAUGUAUUUUAACUUAAUACAUUUAAUAGUAUUUUUUUAUAAUAAAAAAACCCAAAGGUCGCUACCUCAUUUUAAGUUGCAUCAUAAAUUACAAUGUUAUGAUUAUCGAUCACUAAGAUAAUUCAUCUCAAAAGACAAAUUACUACACUUAGAAAGAGCCCAAUUACAAAGAGAAUCAGCUAAUUUGUUAUAACCACGUUUCACCCAUUUAACCUCGAAAGAAACAAAAGAAUCAAGCAUCUUGUGAGCUCCUUAAUGCAGUGAUCAAGGAUCGUUAUGUCCUCUUUGUGAAAACUAAAGCGGUUGACAAUGCUAGCACAAUCUGUUUCAAAAAUGACAUUAUGUUUAAAGUGUUUAUUAAUUAUUUUGAAAAAUGAAAGUAUAAUAACUUUUUUGGCAUUCCAACUUUAUAAAAGAAUUAUUUUAGCUCUCUAUUUACUUUCAUUUUCUUUUAGUCUUUAAACUUAUAUUUUUUUUUGUCAAACCAUCCAAAAUGGGUGAAAAAGUUAACAUUUGUUAACUUUGUUGACAUGACAUAUAGGUAGAUUACCACGUGUAUGUCACGUUAACAAUUAAUUAUUUUAAAAAAAUAUUUAAAAAUAUUUUUUUGAAUUUUUUUAAAAAAUAAUUAAUUGCUUAUGUGGCAUAUACGUGGCAAUCCGCGUGUAUGUUACAUUAGCAAAAUCAACAUACGUUAAUUUUUCACUCAUUUUGAGGUGAUUUGACAAAAAUUACAAGUUUAAGAACUAAAAGAAACGAAAAGUUAAAUGGAGAGUUGAAAUAACUUUUUCUAUAAAGUUAGAGACCAAAAGAAUCAUUAUUGCAAAAAAAAUAGUUGUUUUUCUUCUCCUUUUUUUUGUAUUUUUAGUGCUAAAAUUCAAGAUGGUGCGGAAUAGUUUUUAAUCUUAUUAUUGUUAUAUAUGUUUUCGACCUCAUUGGAGCUAAUCUCACUGUCUAUAUAAAGAGAGCCUAAAUAUAAUUUGUUCAGCUUCUUUUAAACAAGUUAGUGCUCCUUUGUAUGAUCAUUUACCUCCCAUGAGUAAGGUUGAGUAAAUAAAAUAAAAAAAUACUUGAAAAUUGAUCCAAAUCAAGGUGUUUAGACGGUUUAUGGAAUACAAAUUAAAAAAUCACAAUUAUUCGAAACCGAACCAAAUUCUAUUCUUUAUUUUAAUUUAUAAAUAAAUUUAUUUUUAUAAUAUAAAAAUAAAUAUUUUAUAUUUAAAAAUAGUGAAAAUAAAUAAAUAUAUUUUAAAAAUAUUAUAUAAAAGUAUUUAAUUAUUUUUAUCUACUUAAAAUAAUUUUAAAAAAUAUCUAUGAAAAAAACUUUGAAAAUUUGUCAAAUGAUAUUUAAAAGCCGUAAAAUAAAGUUUAUUUUAUUAAAAUAAUUAUAAAAAUUUAUAAUAACAAAAUCGAACUAAACUAAAUUAUAAUGGACGGAUAAAAAAAUAGAAUUGAAUUAAACUAAUAUCACUUGAUUUUAUUGCACCAAACUGGACAUAAAGGAUCUUCUUAAAAAAUUUAACCUGCAAUGAGAUUGUUUUCCUCACUAUAACCUUCUAGAGGUGUUAUAUAAGUACAUAUCAUAUGAUAAUUAUAAAUUUAAUUAUUUAAUUCUUAUAAAAAUUAAAUAUAUUACAAAUUAAUAUUUAUAUAAUGAUAUAUUAAAUACAUGUAAAUUUAUUAUCAUAAAUAUAUUUUUAAUUAUUAUUUGAUAUAAAUAAUUUUAUUAUAUUUUAUUAUUUUCAUUUAUAUAAAAUAUAGUCCUUGAAUGUUGAAGUCUAAACCCAACCCUUAAACAAAGGAAUUAAAUUUAAAGUUGAGAAAGAUAUGGAUGGUAGUAAUGGGAGCAUAAGCAUGUAGAAGCAAUGCUGGCAUUUCAUCUUAUUAGCAGCUUUGGAAUAGAUUCUUAAGGAUGAGUAGGAAUCUGUAUGCUUUUUUUUUAAUUUUUAUAUUUAAAACAUUAGUUAAUUGCUAAUGUGGCAUCCAUGUGUAUGCCAUGUAAGUUUAAGGACUAAAUUGAUUUUUUCAUAAAGUUAGAAGGUUAAAUAAAUCAUUUGCCAAAAUAUAAUAGAGAACUUAAAAAAAUGAAAAUAUUUAUAUUUUAUUUUAUAUUUGUUUAAGUUUGGCCUGGUCCAAAAUAUAUACUUAAAGUUUGUUCAAAUUUGUAAACCGUUAACUCAAACUCAUUUUAAAUCCACUCAUACUAUUUUUAAAAAAAAAUUAAAUGAAUUUAUAUUAUUUUUAACUUAAUAUUUAAUAAUUUUACAUUUUUAUUAAAAAUUUAUAUAUAGUCAUCUUAAGAUUAUAAUAGUAUUAUAAUUUUUAUUUUUAUUUGUUACAAAUUACAUAACAUAUAAAAUUAACAUAAUAUAAAAUAUUGCUAACUUAAAAAUUGGGUCGGGCCCAACUUAGGCUUUGAAUAUUCAAAUUCAAGCUCGACUCAUAUUUUAAAUGGGCCUAUUUUUUAAAUUUAAUAGUUUUAUCCAAAUCUUCCAAAAUUUCAAAUGAGCCUUUGAGCUUGACAAAGAACAGUAAGUCUCUUUCCCUUUUCUUUCCCUAUUAUUUUGGCUAAACAAUACAGUAAGAUCAGCUGAUGAAGAAUGCAUACAGAUCGACUCUUCAACAAAGAAAAAGAAAGAACAAAUGUGCAUAGAGAGGAGGAUUUCAUGGGAGCACAAUUCCAUGGACAGAUCAGCUGAUGAAGAAUGCAUGUCCUGCUUUUUGGCUCUUCCAUUGAACUCAUGCUGAAAAAGAAGUUGCUUAGUUACGAGGUUACAUUAGAUCAUUUGAAAUUAUGAGAUUAUUAUGAUUUUAAAAAUGUAAAGCAAUUAAGUAAUUACCACCUAUUUGCCUGCAUCUAAAUUCUUAAACAAAUGAGGGUAGAAAGUACGAUCUCUGCUUUUUGUAUUGCAUGCUAUGCUCUGCCGAAGAAUAGAGCCACAAGCUAACAAAAAUGAAGGGUAAAAAGAUUAAUGGAAACCUUGUAGUUUUCAAAGGUGAAUAAAUAAGGACAAUUAAGAUCGGUGUUAACAGUUUUUACUAAUAUUUUGAAAACAUUUGAAAACAUUUUAAAUAAGUUAAUAUAUAUAAUAUAAAAAAUCUAUAAAAAAUUUCAAAAUUCAAUUAUUGUAAUAUAAAACUUUCAUAUCUAAAAACCCUAAAUUAAAUUAAACUAUUUCAAUUGAAUCCAACAAACAAAUUAGACCGAAAACCAAUUAAUAUGAUUGGUUCGGCCACCUAUCUAGUUUUAAAAACCUUAACCAGCACAACAUCAGUAUGUGAAUUUAAUUUCGUAUUUAUUUAAUUUGGUUAGCACAUAUUAAUAGUUUUCAUAUUCUCUUUAGUUUUUGUAUAUUGGGAUUGUGUAAAUUUUAAAAUUUUAGAUAUUUUUAUGUCCAUAUUUUGUUUUAUAAAUAUAUAGGGGUAAGCUCUCACUAAUUUUCUCAAGCUUUUAGGAGUUCCUUCUAUUGAAGCAAUAUCAUGAGCGAAUCUAUAAUCAAUAUAUAUGAGAAAGAAAAAAAAUAUAAAAAAGUAAAAUAAAAAAUGAAAAUAGAUUUGGACACUUAUGGAUGUUAUCAAACUAUUGUCUAACUCGUGUUAUGAAAAAAAAAUCACAAUUAAAAGAAUAUUGUAUGCUUCAAUGAAAGUCACAAUUUAUCUUUGAUCAUGCUUGUUUGCAACUAAGUAGCUAUAAUGUAACUACAUGUUCCUACAAACCUCGCACUAGUCGACUUUGCCCUAUGAUCCAUUAGUCGAAUUUGUGAUGUCUAUAUUUUAAUAUGCGAGGUAUUUAAAGAAAUAGAUACAUCAAUUUAUUUUUGUAGUGGAUAAAUAUAAUUAUUUAUUUACACAAUAUAUAAACAUAAAAUGAUGCCCUAUUAAUAAUUUAUGAAAAUUAGAUCAAAUUAAAAUUUCAUGUAUAAAAUUAUAUGUUAUGCCAAAGUUUAUAUGUAGUUUUGAGAUUUAUCCCAUUUUCCUAUUAACUUAGCCAUUAGCCUGAGCAUUAAAUGUUCGCUCAAAUAUGAUAGGGGACAUACUUAAAACACAUGUGUCCAUGCUAUAUAGGCAACUUUAAUCUAAUUUGUUAAAAGAAGAAGAAGAAGUAAUCCUCUUAAAUUUUAUAAUCUCAGCGUGUUUUUAAUAUGUUAGAAUCAAGUUAUCAAUAUGAUGAGUACACAAGUAUUUACAAUUUAAUCCAUGUCAAAUGAGAACAGAAAUUUAAAAUCUAAAUUGAUAGCUACGAAAAUGAAAUGAUUUUAUUGUUAUAAUAUUAAUACUUUCAAAACUUAAUUAAAAUAUUUUAUAAUUUAUAAAUUAAUUUUAAAAAAAUUAAUUAAUAAAUUGAGAAUAUUUAAUACAAAUAACUUCUUAUAUGAAUAUAAAUAAUUAUAACACAUUUAUUAUUAAAUGAAAAUAAUGUUGUUUGGUUGGAAAUGGUCCCACCAUAUUUUACGUUUGGGGAACAAAGCGACGGUGUUUUGGUUGGAGAAGAAGGAAGUAACGUCGUUAAGUACAUCGUUUUGUUUAUCUUUAUUUUAAAUUUGUUUUCUCGUUUUCUAUUUGACGCCGCUAAUAUUCUUUUUUGAGUAAACUAUAUUAAAAGUCAUUCAACUAGUUAAAAAGUUACAAAAUGAUCACCAAAUUAUUAAUAAUUUCUUUUACCUAAUUAUGAAAAGUUAUAAAAUAAUAAAUUUUUAUUAUUAUUUAGCGCAUACGAGUAUUUGUUAUUUUUUUCUUUGAAUUUUUCAUUUAUUCAUUAAAUGAAUUAAUAAAUUUCUCUUUAAAAAAUUUACUCGGGGCAGAACAUAACAAGAGUCAAAGCUUCAGCUUGUAAUAUUGGCUUGUGCCAUGAUAGGCCUUUAUAAGGUGUUGUUCAACUUAUAAUUUGAUGUGUGCCAACAUAAGCAUCAACACACAAGUCAUGUAUAUACAGCCAAGACAUCGACAUCUUUUGGAAGAGUCCUAGUCCAAGCAUCAUAAUUGAACAUAGCCUUGGAAUACCGUCAAAAACAAUUAUUGUCUCAUAAUCAAUUGUGCAUCCCUGCAUUUGAAUACUAUUUGGAANNNNNNNNNNNNNNNNNNNNNNNNNNNNNNNNNNNNNNNNNNNNNNNNNNNNNNNNNNNNNNNNNNNNNNNNNNNNNNNNNNNNNNNNNNNNNNNNNNNNNNNNNNNNNNNNNNNNNNNNNNNNNNNNNNNNNNNNNNNNNNNNNNNNNNNNNNNNNNNNNNNNNNNNNNNNNNNNNNNNNNNNNNNNNNNNNNNNNNNNNNNNNNNNNNNNNNNNNNNNNNNNNNNNNNNNNNNNNNNNNNNNNNNNNNNNNNNNNNNNNNNNNNNNNNNNNNNNNNNNNNNNNNNNNNNNNNNNNNNNNNNNNNNNNNNNNNNNNNNNNNNNNNNNNNNNNNNNNNNNNNNNNNNNNNNNNNNNNNNNNNNNNNNNNNNNNNNNNNNNNNNNNNNNNNNNNNNNNNNNNNNNNNNNNNNNNNNNNNNNNNNNNNNNNNNNNNNNNNNNNNNNNNNNNNNNNNNNNNNNNNNNNNNNNNNNNNNNNNNNNNNNNNNNNNNNNNNNNNNNGCAGGCCCAUAUUUCUAAUUUUUUAUUUUUUAACUUUUUUGUACUAUUUUGAUAAAUAAAAAAAGUAAACUAUUUUGAUAUUUUUUUAAUUUUUUUGUAUUAUUUUAGUAAAAAUCCCGUGUUAUUCAGCUUGUAAUUUGAUUGUGCCAACAUAAGCAUCAACACACAAGUCAUGUAUAUACAGCCAGGACAUCGACAUCUUUUGGAAGAGUCCUAAUCCAAGCAUCAUAAUUGAACAUAGCCUUGGAAUACAGUCAAAAACAAUUAUUGUCUCAUAAUCGAUUGUGCAUCCCUGCAUUUGAACACUGUUUGGAACAUUAAAAUUGCGUUUUUUCCUGAGUUGGUACAUAUUAUGCAACAAGGAAAAUAAAGAACACAAUUAAGAUGUUUACGCAGUUUGAAACUCAUCCUACGUCUGCGGGGCUUUGCCCAAAUAUGACUCCACUAUGAACUUCAUAGUACAGAGAAAUGAUUCAAGCUUAACCUCUCAAACACUUGAUGCAAUCUCACUUUUGCACAAUUAAGUAAAUUAUUUCUCAACUCAUUUUAGCUAUGCAAGUGAAAAUUCACAUUCAACACUCAGAUGGUUUUCUUACUAUGAAUCAAGCACUUAAUAAGCUCCAUGUAAAGUGAAAUAAAUCAAGCACUUAAUAAGCUCCAUGUAAAGUGAAAUAAUAAAUUUUCAAAUGCAGUAUGUCUGGCAAUUGUCAUGCUUGAACAACGACUCUUCCAAAAGCAUCAAUGAACCUGAAAAUUAUAAAUGCCAACAUAGAAUAUGUUACAAAUCCCAUUAUUAUCAGCCUUAUAAUUGCACAUAUGUGUGUUUAGUAUAAUGUUGUUGAUAUAUAAAUAAUGAAACAUUUUAUCAACUUCAACCUCACCACCAAAUAUUCUGAAGCAUCUUCCUUUUUUUUCCUGUUUGGACCUUCAAUAGUAAAUUUGGCUGGAAUUCUAAAAAGAUAAAAGAGUGCCCUGCAUCAAUGAAUAUUAUGAAUUUGAAUACCUCCAAAAGCCUGUCAGUAUCACAGGUACCAUCUAAAAUAGUAAUCAGUUGGCAUAUAUUAAGAGAAAACAUAAAUAUAUAUAAAGAUAUGAUGGGUAAGUGCUUAAAUGAAGAAAGCAGAGCAUAUAGUACAACCAUUUUGAAGGCUUCAUAGGCCUCUCUCUCCACAUCAAUGAUUUUUUAGAAUUAAAUUAUUAGAAGCAAUUGUCAAGUUAUUAUUAUGAUUUAAAAGUAAAAAGCAAAUAGAUAAAUUAGCACUCUUUUUAUGCAUAUAAAAUGAUUGAAGUUGACUAAUGCCUUUCUCCAAUGCCUUACUGCACAAAUCAGCAAAAAUAUUAUGAAAGAUGAUAAGUAAAAAGUAGGAUGAAAACAAAGGGAUUUUAACAAGGAAAUUAACAGUAUCCAACUUCAAUGAAAAAUGGCAUCAGACCCCUCACUUGGAGAUUCAAUAUACCACUCAUAUUUUUCUUCAAAAAAAGAUAAGGUCAUCAAAAUAAAUAAAUAACAAGGACGGACCAACCUGAAUCAACUCAAUGUCGGGGAUGUGAGCAAUCUUAUGCCAAUCAGCGCCACUGUCCUUCCGACAUCUUUCCUCCAACUGAGGAAUUCUUUCCAUAAAUAACAUUUGCAAAUUGGUUAGGCAACGCAUCUCGUCUGGAAGAGAUGUUAAAUUGGGCAAAUUAACGAGAAAAAGCCGUUGCAGAUUUGUUAGAUGUUGAAGCCACUCCGGAAGAUGCCGACACUUUGGAAUAUUUUGCAGCUGUAGAAAGCGUAGGCUUGUAUGAUCUUGGAAUAUUUGGAUGCCAGCCCCAGAUAACUCCAGCUCCUUGCAGUCCAUUACUAAAAAGUCUUCAAGGGAAGUGAGAUGUUGGAACACAGGAAGCAGUGACCUCAAUCCAUUGCAGUUAUGAAUUUUUAAUGUUUUCAAUUGAACAAGAUGUUGAAGCCCAAUGGGGAGAGACACCAGCUUUGGAAUAUUAUCAAUCUCCAAAUGAGAGAGAUUCUUAAGGGGUUCCCAUUGCAUGCCCUCUAAAUCAACCUCCUUGCAAUCUUCUAUUGUUAAUCUUUUGAGGCUGGUGAGAUGUUGCAGGCAUUCAUCUAGCGUGUGAGUGUCCAACCCCUCAAUCUUGUGUACAUCGAAAGAUUUCAAUUUGGAGAGUGGAAGAGAAGAGGUUGAAGUUAAUGGGGCCUUAGCAUUGAUGUUCAUCUUGAUAGUCUGCUUUAACGGCCUUGAACUGGUAUUCGACAACAUUAGAUCUUCAUCGAGUGAUGGAUACAGCGGCAUUGAUGUCAAAGGGCAAUUUUCAAUUGUUAAAGAGGAAAGACAAGGAAAUCCCAUGGUUGAUGUUCCCAUAACUGUUGUGUCGUCCUCGUUGGAAUCAUCAUCGAUUGGUUUUGUCGUCCUCCACCAACUCAUCAUAUUCGGACAGUACCGGAGCGAAAGAUGCUUAAGUGAUGGGAAGAAUGAUUGUGGUUCUCCUUGACUUCCUUUUGGGCUAUUAUCAUCCAUGUACUCCAGCUCAGUUAAAUUAGAAAUCACCAGCCCUUUAAGACAAGGAAAUUGCACAAAGGACGGGAUUUGUUUGAAAUUACCCUGAUGUAUUGUCAUAUAAACGAGAUUUGUUAGAAAAGAAAGCCAACUUGGAAACUUGGCAUCACUCCUCCAUCCUCGAAUACAGAGCUCCUUGAGAUUAGGAUGGGGUUGGAGGUCUUCAAGUGAUUUAUCAUCAUCAUAUUCAUCAUCGUUAAAAUCAAAAUAAAAUUUCCAUUCUAAAAGCAACGAUCUCAAAUGUUGCUUCUCUUUCAAAUUAGCAGCCUUAAACUUCUCUUUUGCAUUUUUUACGAAUCCCAAAUUUCUUAUUUCUAGCUCUCCCCUUAAAUUGUUAAGCAGUCUCAAUUCACUUAGAUCUGCACCGCCAUGGGACCCAUCUUUAUCCACUACAAACAUGCUUAACGUCUCAAGUGAAGUCAGCUUCCCUAUUCCACGUGGCAUAUGAGUUAAACUCAAACAGCCUUCACACCCAAUAUGGGUAAGAUUCACCAAUUUUUCAAUCUUCUUUGGCAAUUCUUGAAGCCCAUCACACCAGUCAAGUUUCAGCGCUAGCAAAUUCUGAAUCUUGCAAAUACUCUUUGGGAGAAUCUUAAUAUUGAAAUUCCAAGAAAGAUCAAGGUACCUCAAAUGUUUCAACUUACAAAUGGAGGGUGAAAUCUUUCGAAUACCCAUAGAAUCCAAUUUCAAUACACGCAAGCAUCCACAAUUUGCAAUUAUCAAAUCCCAAGUUUCAUCACUCAAUUUUUGAUCGUUGUUGUCUUGAAAAUGUAACAAGGUUCGCAACUUCUUGCCCUUAAACAAAGGAAUUAAUGAAGGAAUUAAUAAAGGAUUAAUUGAUAUGUGGCGACAUUUUUCACCAACAUCACUUGCAAUUUUAUUUGAAUCUACAAUACUACUCUCCAUCCCUGCUACUGAUUCAGCUAGAUCAUGCAUUAAAUCAUGCAUUUUAUAUGUUAGCCCUUCCCAUGGAUAUCUUUCUCCUACUUCUUGGAAGAAACUUCUUUCAACUAAAUCUUUAAAAUACCCAAACCCGAUCUCCUCGAGAGAUUGACUUUGAUUCAAUUGCUUUAUGAAACCCUGUGCAAUCCAUAAUUGAACAAGCGCUUGUACUCUAAUUCUGUAAUCUUUUGGAUACAAUCGGCAAUAAGCAAAGCAAUGCUUCAAAUGAAACGGGAGAUGAUCAUAACUCAAUUUCAGUGUAGGUAGAAUUUCUCCUUCAAUUUGUGAUAUUUUAGCAAGUUCAUUUUCUUUGAAAGAAUGCCACUCAUUUGCAGUUUUCUUCAAAGAUAAUGUACCAGCUAUCGUCCUUAUGGCUAAGGGAACCCCACCACACCUGCCCGAAAUCUGUCUCCCUACUUCCACAAAGGCUGAAUUUGUUGAGUCUGCAUAUCCUUGCUCAAAUGCUAUCCUUUUGAACAAAGACCAAGCAUCAUCAUCAGACAGGCCUUUCAAUUUCAAAACAUGGGAUUGACAUUUAUUAGUUAUCUCCGCUACCCUUAGAGAUCGAGUAGUUACUAUUAUCCUACUCCCUUUAGCCCCACCCAUCAAUAACUUCUUUAGCCUAGACCACCUUUCUGGGUCCUCAUUCCAAAUGUCAUCCAAAACAAGCAAAUAUUUUUUCCCAUCAAUUUUAUCUCGAAGUUGUGUUUGCAAUUGAUCCAUUUCAAGAUUUUGAUCAGGUGCUUGAUUAGUCACAGAUUUGAUAAUGUUUGCUACAAUAACUUUCACAUCAAAAUCAUCUGAAACACACGCAAACAUCGUCAAGUCAAAAUGAUUUUUGACCAUUUCAUGGUUAUAGACAAGUUGGGCCAAAGCAGUCUUCCCUAACCCUCCAAACCCCACAAUUGGAAUGAUAUAAACAUUCUCUUCACUUUGAAACUCCAACACGAGUUUUAGAAGAGCUGCUUUAUCAUCAUCCCUCCCUAUUAUGUCAUCGUCACGCUCAAAAGAGUGCGUUUGCUGCCUCCUUUUAGUCAUGAAAGAGGUUUCCGCGGGGCGAUCACGCGGAAUGAAGCCAAAAGUGUUGGCCUCCCUUUCAAUUGAAGCUAAUCUCGCCUUAAUGGCCUUCAUUUUCCGACCCAUUUUGAGACCAUAAGCAAAUUGGUUUGAGGUUGAGAAGAAAAGGCGUACCUCUUUCGUCAGCUUGUUCCCACCCGAUAGAUCUUUCCGCAAAGCUUCAGUAGAGAAAUCAUCGAGCAAGUCGUCGGCAUCAUAAAGUACAUCUUUCAGCUCUUCAAGCCAAACUUUGACGAGAUUGUCGGUCACCGAUUUCUCUUCUGCGUCAAGAAGCACAGCUUUGACUUGACAGACAGUGCGUUUGAGGUCCUGGAUGUCAUGUUUUAGAUUCCACCACAGCCCAACUUGAGAGAGAGCACGAGAGCUCAACUUAAUAAUGAGCUCUGCGGCAAUAUCGAAAGCAAUUGCUUCGGCCAUUGUUGGUUCAAACUGAAAUCAAGGCAAGAAAUGUUUGAUUAGUGAAAGAGGAGGACUAAAAUGAGAAUGAUUCCAACAAGAUGAAACACAGAUGUGGAUCCAUCCACCCAGCAAGUAGUAUAAUAAAAUAAAAAGUAAUGUUGAUUGGUGGGAAAUGCUCCCUCCAUGUUAAAGUCAUGUUGAUUGGUGGGAAAUUGUCAAACUUCUCAAUGGAGACAAAGUUGGGAUGAUGACACUUGGGGCGGUCUGCACAAUGUGGAGCCUUACAAAUAAUUGAAAUUAAUGAAAAAGCUAUGAAAGAAAAGAGAAAAAGAUUGAGGCCCAAAAGUCACUACCUCAUUUUAAGUUGCAUCAUAAAUUAUAAUGUUAUAAAUAUCGCUAGAAUAAUCUAUCUCAAAAGACAAAUUAUAACAUUUAGAUAGAACCCAAUUAUAAAGAGAAUCGGCUAAUUUAUUACAACCACGUUUCACCCAUUUGACCUCAGCAGAAACAAAAGAAUCAAGCAUCUUGUGAGCUCUUUGAUGCAAUGAUCAAAGAUUAUAGUGUCCUCCUUGUGAAACUAAAGCAGUUGACAAAGCUAGCACAAUCUGUUUCAAAAAUGACAUUUUCGGCUUUAAGAAAUUGAGCAAGCCAAAAACCAUCGAUGAGGGCAUCUAAUUCUGCUUUAAUAGUGAUUUUUUAUUCUCAUUUUAUCGAUAUAUUUACAUUUGAAUUCAAAUACAUAUUCUACAAUUAACUUUAAUCUCACUAUUACAAUACUUAACCUCACUAAAUUAUUUGUUUAACAUGAUUAUGGUGAAUUUAUAGAAAGAACAAUUACGAAACAAAUGCAGAUGCACUUAUGUUUAAAGUGUUAUUAAUGGAAAUUUUAUUAUUUUGAAAAAUAAAAGUAUAACAACUUUUUUAGCAUUCCAAUUUUAUAAAAGAAUAAUUUUAGCUCUCUUUUUAUUUUCCUUCUCUUUUAGUCUUUGAACUUACAUUUUUUUGUCAAACCAUCCAAAAUGAGUGAAAAAGUUAACAUUUGUUAACUUUGUUGACAUGACAUAUAGGUGGAUUACCACUUGUAUGUCACGUUAGUAAUUAAUUAUUUUAAAAAAUAUAUUUAAAAAAUAUUUUCUUAUAAUUUUUUAAUUUUUAAAAUAUUUUUUAAAAUUUUUUAAAAUUUUAAAAAAUAAUUAAUUGCUUAUGUGGCAUAUACAUGGUAAUCCACGUAUAUGUUACAUUAGCAAAAUCAACAAGCAUUAAAUUUUCACUCAUUCUAGGGUGAUUUGACAAAAAUUACAAGUUUAAGAACUAAAAGAAAGAAAAAAUUAAAUGAAGAGUUGAAAUAACUUUUUCUAUAAAGUUGGAGACCAAAAGAAUCAUUAUGGCAAAAAAUAGUUGUUUUUCUUCUUUCUUUCUUUUUUUUUGGCAAUUUUUAGUGCUAAAAUUCAAGAUGGUGUGGAAUAGUUUCUAAUCUUAUUAUUGUUAUAUAUAUUUUCGAUCUCAUUGGAGUUAAUUUCAUUGUCAAUAUAAAGAGAGCUUAAAUAUAAUUUAUUCCACUUCUAUUAAACAUGUUAGCGCUCCUUUGUAUGAUCAUUUACCUCCCGUGAGUAGGGUCGAGUAAAAAAAAUAAAAUAAAAUAAUUGAAAAUCAAUCCAAAUCAAUGAAUUUAGACGGUUUAUGGAUACAAAUUAAAAAUUUACAAUUAUUCGAAACCGAACCAAAUUCAUUAUUAUCACAUUACUACGGUAUUCAAUCUCGCUAUAUCAACAACUAAUCUCACCACCAACGUUAUUUUUAAUUUCACUAGAAUUCAUCCAAUUAUACAUCCAAAGAAAACCAUAAACUUAUCUAAAUACAAAUAAAACUAUAAAAAACUUAUUUAGACAUAAACUUUAUUAUUUGACACAAUAAAAAUAUAAUUACUUGCUUGAUUUAUACAUUUGUCCAAUAGUAAUGUAACCCAUUCAAUUUGGUCAGAUUGAAGGUUAUUCUUUGAUAAAUUAUUAUUAUUAUUAUUAUUUGCUUUGGGCAAACUUAAUACAACUUGAUUUACUCUUUAUUAAUUAAAAGCAUUUUAUUUAUAUUUAAUUAUAAAAAUGUGUAAAUAUUAUUAAAAUAUUAUUUUUUAAUAUUAAAUGAAUAGUGAAAUAGGGUCAACUUAUAAGGGUUAAAGUGUUUAGGAAGUCCCUAUAUUAUAGACUGUAUCAAAUUAGUCUCUCGAUUAUUAAACAAAUCAAAUUUAUUCUUGUAUUAUUAAAAAAGAAUCAAAUUAUGUCAAAUUGUAACAAAAUUAGCAUUUACUGUAAUAAUUUUAACAUUAACAAAGUUAACAAUUUGCAAUAUAAUUUUUAUGCAAUAAAUGUUAACUUUGUUGUAAUUUGGUUUUAUUUGAUCCUUUUUUAAAAGUACAGAGACUAAAUUGACCAUUUAAUAAUAGAGAGACUAAUUUGAUGUAGUUCCUAGAAUAGAGGUACUUUCACCCUUAUAUAUGUAUUUGAAUCUUAUUUUGGAUGAAAUUGAACAAUUGAAAAAGAUAAGAGUUCAAAAAGGUAAAAAUAAAUUGUAAUUAUAUACAAAAUACUUCCCUCCACAUUUAUCCGAACAAAAGAUUCCCUCCCUUUUCCCUCGUUUUCUACUCUCUCUCUAACGUCUAAACUAAAACCCUCACUUUCUUUCUCUUCCUAUUCCCCCAAUUCCAAUUAUACCCCCACCUCCUUCCCCUAGAAAUCAUAAACCUCCAUGUCCGGAGGGGCUGGAGCCUCCGAUGGUCCCACGCUGCCGUAUCAACCUCCUCCCACGGCUUCAACUGCACCAGCUUCGACGGUUCCUUCGGUUGUUCCGCCGAUACGUCGUCACCUGGCCUUCGCUUCGACGAAGCCGCCGUUUGUUCAUCCCGAUGAUUAUCACAGAUUUUCAUCUAGUAAUAGUCGUGGAAUCGUCGCCGAUCAAGAAGUUGAAGCAAUUGUUGUGAGAUUUCUAGUGAGUUCAAAAAUUUAAUGUAAGAAAAGGCGUACCUCUUUCGUCAGCUUGUUCCCACCCGAUAGAUCUUUUCGCAAAGCUUCACUGGAGAAAUCAUCGAGCAAGUCAUCGGCAUCAUAAAGUACAUCUUUCAGCACUUCAAGCCAAACUUUGACGAGAUUGUCGGUCGUCGAGGUCAUGUUGGAGAUUCCACCACAGUCCAACUUGAGAGAGCGCACGAGAGCUCAACUUAGUAAUAAGCUCUAGGGCGAGGUCGAAAGCAAUUGCUUCGGCCAUUGCUGGUUCAAACAGAAAUCAGGCAAAGAAGCGUUUCGUUAU
rnacentral:lncRNA from 1 species